GAAGUUGCAUGUUGAUGUUGGCACAUAAAGAGUAAAAGUAGAUAUUAGAAAGUUACAUAUAUUGAAGUUGUAACAUUUCAGCCGAUUACAUGAAAUGAAAGGGCUGCCUUGUAAGACCCUUUCUUUUUAUUAUUCAUCCUCUAAACCCUAAUCUUUCAGUACCUCAACGAUCAACAACAAAAUCCAUGGCGGACAUAGCUCUGCAACUCUUUUUAUUACUUCCUACUUACGUUACCCUACAAAGAUCCCCCUGAUUUUGAUUGCAUUGGCAUCGGCUGGAGUUUAAGCAUCGGCCCUCCUCUCGGACUGUGAAGGAGUGAAGAAAAAGGUGUUUUUGUUGUUGAACUUAAUCCGCCUUGCAUCUUCUCUUGACACCUGAUACGACGCUGCCACCACUUCCUCCGGCAGUGCUCGCAUGAAGGAGACACUUCCAGCCAUUGGGGUGUUGGUGGCUUCGCUAUUGGUGAAGAAGGAAAUCCAUUCGGCUCCUUCGUUUCCUGCUUGUUUCAUGAACGCAAAGUUCUGUGGCACCGUCAGGAGCUGACCUUGCUCCACGUUAUCGUCGAACACUGCGUCGCCGUUGUGGUUCACCACUUGGACUCUGGCACAGCCUCUUAACAUGUAGAGUAUUUUGUGAGCGUUGACGUUCCAUUGUGGAAUCAAACCAGCUCUCUGCAAAAACAAAUGUUACAUACAGUGUUAUAUAUGAUUCAAUAUUUUAUUGAAUAUUGUUAAGAAAUAAAUGUCUCGAGCUUACGUUGUAGAGGACACCCCUCUCGGCGCUGAGCUCAAGUCGUUGGAGGAUGGGGAGGUUAAACCUGUUGAGGGUGGAAAUACGACCGGCUUGUGGGUUGAAAAUGUCGGCACGUUCAGGGUCAGCAAGGUUCUCCUUGAUCCUCAUGGAGCAGAAAGUUUCCUCGAGGCCAUUAUCUUGAGACCCUCCUCUCGUAUGGCGGUAUCGCUGCUCCUGCUGGCGCUCCUCACGUUCUUCUUCCUCCAUUCUGGGUGGUGUUACGACUUGGAGUCUGUCCCUGACUCUGAUGAUGGUGCCUCUAUUUCCUCGUACACGUUGGAUUUUCCUAAUGAUGUCGUGGUCAACGUUGAAAGCUUGAGCGAGGAAGUUUCUGUCGAAGGCACAGAGAAGGUUGUUGCAUGAUGAGCUUUCCCGCCCCUGCUCCUCCUCCUCCUGGUGGCGGCUGCGGCGGCUGGGGUUGUCUUCUUCUUCUUCUUCUCCUUCUCCUUCUUCUUCCUCAGACUCCUCCCCCCUCUCACUUCUUCCCUGCAUCUGCUGUGCUAGCCUCCUCAGUUGCCUCUGUUCCUCUUCUGGGUUACCAGCAAGAUGGAAUCUCUAUAACAUUACAAGAGAGAGAUCAUCAAAAACAAAAACAAAAAGUUAUGUAUAGAAAGGGAUUGUCAAAAUUAUAAAAAAUUAUAUACUCUAGGGAUGUUGUCGAGCUGAUUAGCACUGUUGCCAGUGUCAAGUAGAUUGAUAGUAACAACACGCUCAUUGCCAUCAUUGUAGCUCCAGUGAACCACACCCUGCGGCAAAGCAAUGAUGUCACCCUGGCGGAACCGUCGGACUUUCUGGUGCUGGUCCUGGAACCUGCCACGGCUUUGAUGCUGCCAUUGCUGUGAAUCCUGGAAUGUUUCGGCACAUCCAGGCAUCACAAUACCUUGAAUACCUCUUCCUGAAAAAACAAAUUUAAACAUCAUUUUGUAUUUUAUACCAACGAUAAUAACACCAUUAGUGACGCACUAUUAUACCUUGGACAAUGUAGAGAAGCUGAGGAGCAUUGGUGAAGGAAGGCAAAACAAGGCCAUUAGGUUCAAUAGUCUGCCUCAUUACAGAUACACCAGCACACCUGAGCUGUUGACAGUUGGGGUUCCACCACUCGGUGGUGCCGGCUUCGGAGCGAAUUCGGGUCUGGGGUGCAGAGGCGCGGAGCCUAUUGAUUUGACACUCAUUUUGGGACUGCUGUGACGAAAAGGUCUGGCGAGCUAGGCAGCCAUUGAAGAGAAAAAGAAGAGAAAGAAAGAGCAAAGAAGGGUUAAUCGCCAUAUCUACGUGUUGAAAUGGUUAUUUGGUGAAGAAGGGAGUGGAGGGAUAGUGGUAUUUAUAGGGGAGAAAGAGUGGAAAAGGAGGUCAGGGUUGUGUCGACACACAGCAGUUUGCAUGGGGGAGUUGAGGUUAAUGGCUUACACAUCAUAGACUGGGGGAGGGCAGGUGGCUCAAAGCUUCGAUGAAUACUUGCAAAUAACAACACCAGGAAAUGAAGAAGAAUCCGAAACCACGAUAUGUCGCCAGAUGAGAUUGGUUAAGGAGAGAGUCUUGAAUUUUGGUUACACUAAUCAAACCAAAAUGAUUCAAUGCUCAAACAUGUUUAUCACAUCAAUUUAUUAAUUAAGCGUUCAAGAGUUCUUUAAAACAUGAUUCAUUAUAUUAUGAUUUUAUUUAAAUUUCCAUUUAAUAGUUUCAUCCUUUCAAAAUUUAUCGUUUAAAAAACAUUAAUUGAUUUUAUUGUUAAAUAUAUAUAUUUCUACUCGUUAACUUGUACAUAUAUUAAGAGCUUAAAUGAGUCGGUGGUACUCAUCAUUUAAGUCUCAUGAAAAUUCAUCCAUUCUACAAAACAAUAAAUUUUAUUUUUACAGUAUUUAUAUAUUGUUAUAUCAUUAAAUUAUAUUUAAUUUUUAACUUUUUACUAAUCUACAAUAAUAUAAAAAGUGUCAAAAUUAUUUUAAUAACAACUAAAAUGGGUAAGGAGAGUGAAAAUGUGGUGUGGAGGCAGGACGUACGUGAAGAACCUACGCAGGGAAUUGCUUGUUUGUUUGUGAACUGUGAUGGUGUUGCGACAACUGGGCCGUAGCAUGUUAUACCUCUUGCCAUCUGUUGUACUACAUUCUAUACGGUCGUACAUUAUUCCGAUAAUUGCAAUUUUUACGAUAUUAAAUAUAACGGAUGAAGAACAAAAAUAAGUCAAACAAAAUCUAUCGGUUAUUAUAGUAGUGGUGGAAAGGGUAAUUUUAGAAUUCUAUUUUUGAUAUUUAAAUCCGUAAAUAUUAUUAUUUAAUAUGUAUGAGGUUAAUAUAAAGGUUAAUUAAAUUUUGGUAUAUUAAUUUUAUCAAAUUAAUAGUUAAUUAAGAUACAAAAUUUAAAUUGUAAAAAUUCAUUGUUAUAAAUUUUUAAUUAAUCAAAACACCAAUUGAGCAAUUAAACUACUAUUAUAUGACCAAACGGUGGUAGAUUUUAAGUGUUAUCCACUAAGAAAUGUUAAUUAUGGUUAAGGUUCAUUAAUUUAAAGUUAAUUUUAAUUAAUUAAUUAAUUAAUAAAGUGCACAAAAUGAAUGCAUUGAAGUGUAAGCUUAAAAUAGGUAUCAAAUGGCCUAAAAUGUACUAAAAAUAGAGUCCACGUUGCGACUUCAGCGAUGGAGCUCUGGAUUUCAAACCACGACGUGAUGAGGAACAUUGUAGUCACAACGAGGCCAAGUCAGUAUGUCGCGUCGCGACGAGGAACCCCUCAUGUCACGACGUCAAUCCAAACUUUUUUAAAACUUUUACAAAUCGUUCCUUGUUUGAUUCCAGGCUAAUUUUAGACCAUAAGUAAGCUUGCAUAAGACCCGAGAAAAGUUGUAUAUCAUGUUUAUGGCUUGAAAAUGUUAUGUUUGUAUGCAUUAAGUUGUGAAUUGAAAGUUAAAUGUUUGUAGUUGCUUCGACAAUGAAUGUGACAUCCUGUAGCUCGGAUCCAGUGAUCAUGUCGGAUGAGGUGUGUUACAAUUUGUUACUAUUUUUUAACUCUAUCAUUGUUCAUAUUCUUCUUCCUUAACCCAUUUUUUUCUCCACAUCACCCUGCUUCCCAAAUUGAGUAACUCUACUUAAAUGAAUUGAGGAAUAGAUUUAGUGAAUAUUUUGUGAAGCAGGAGUGUGGGAGGGUGGCGUGGAGAAGAAAAAGAUUAAAUGCUAAAUUGGGAUCUAACUUUUUAAGGGUUGCUUAAAUAAAUGCCAAACCUUUUAACUAUUCAUAUAAGGCAUAAUCAUUAAAACGUGCUCAAAUAAAGGCUUUCCAUGCACUUCAGUCUUGUUUGUAGUAAAAAUUAGGUGAAUGCUGACAUGUUUGAAAUAAAACACAUUACAACUGAAUUUGAUAUUGCUUGAAAAGAAAAGAAAAUAAAAUAAAAUAAUAAAAACAUCAACUGAAACCUAAUAUACGACAUUUGAGAAGUCCUUAUUUAAGCACUUUCGAAAAAGUUUGGCCUUUAUUUGAUUGUUUUGAAAGGUUUAACCUUCAUUUGGACACUUUUUGUAAAUGUUAGGUCCUUAUAUAAGCAAUGUCUAAAAGGUUGGCCCCAAUUUUAGCCAAAAAAAAAAAGGGUUAAGGAAGAGUAGGAUGAACAGCGGCAGGGUUAGAGAAUAGUAAAAAAUGAUGGCAUGGCAUGCACAAUCAAUCGUUUUUAGAGGUUCUAACGCUUGGGUGAUUAAAAUGAAAGUACUCUCUAAUGGUGGUGAUUAAAUUGCAAGAAUUUUUAUUUAGGUGACAAAAAUAAAAGUGGACUAAAAGUUGGGUUAUCAGCUAAGUAGUUUACCCUAAAUUUUUUUAAAAAAAAUUUAAUUUUUUGAAUAAUUUAUGUAUUAUAUAUGUUUUCUUUAUUUUCCAAUUAAUAUAAUACACAUAAUAUUAAAAUUAAAAAAAACUGAUGCAGGGCAUUUUAAUAGGGUCACAUGUCAACUUCUUUUUUCUUUUUAAUGUCGUAGGCCAAUUUAAAUAAUAGAUGAUAGUUGAGUAUUAAAAAAAGCCCAAUAAAAAUUUAAAUAUCAAAAUGAGGAAAUAAAUAUAAGAGACGAAAGGAUGCAUUAAACAUUUUAAUAUAUUUUAUUAUUUUAUUUCCUCACGUUUUAAAUUAUUUUUAUUAUCCCCAUGAAUAGUUAGUUUUACCUAUCUAACCUUUUUUUUAGAUUUAAAAAUAAUAAUUAUUUAUUUAUUUUAAAUAUUAUUAUUUUUUAAAAGUUUACAACUAAAAAUAAAGUUAAUCAUAAUUCAAUCACAAAUAUAUGUAAAAUCAAACAAUAAUAAACAUAAAAAGACUAAGAAUCAAAAUAAUUCGGACUAAAAUUAACCCUCUAAAUUAAAACUUACACAUAUUAAAAUUAAAGACCCACAAAUAAUAUUUACAUUUAAUGAGACUUGAAUUUAGAUACUCAAACAUCUAAAACCUAGUCUUUGCGAAUGGUACUAAAGCUUCACAAUUAUUAUUAUUUAAAAUAAAAAUUGAAAAUAUGUUUAAAUAUAUAUAAUUAAUUGAUGUUUGAUGUAAAGUACAGAAAUCUAAGUUAUUUAUUAUUAUUGAAAGUGAAAAGGUCAAAUUACACUGGAAUCAAAAUUUAACUUUUGGAAUUUAAAUUGCGGCCAAAUAAGCUGCCGCCGUAUUCGAGAAAAUCACAAAAUCAAGCGAAAUCCUAAAAGUAAAUUAAAAUAGACACCGUCCACGGUGGGACUCGAACCCACAAUCUCCCGCUCCGGAGGCGAGCGCCUUAUCCAUUAGGCCACGCGAACCCUUUGUUCUAUGAGGGUACAAUUUAUUAUUUAAAAUAAUAAACAUUGCGUAAUAUUUGUCAAGGUAAUCAGGUUUAGAUUCCAUAUUAGCCCUAUUAAGAUACGAGGUUGAAAUAUAACUAAAAAAUAUAUUUUUAUUUAAGAGUCACUUUCGAACAAUGUGCAUGUAUCUCAGUAACUACUAUUUAUGAAAUUUAAAAACUCGUUAUCAAUACUUUAUGAUUUUAGAGGGAUAGAAUUAUAAUGUAAAAGGGGAGAAUCUCAAUUAUGAAUGCACUUCCAAGAGGAAAAUCAUUGAAUUAUAAUGUACUUGGGACUUUUAUCUUUUGUUUGGUUGUCAUCAUUGCAGUGGUAGUUGAUUUCUAGUUAAAUAUCCAAUUAAACUAUACAACUUGACAGUACAAAGCAAUGAGGACUGCAAACAAAUACAUGUAAUUAUGUUAUCCAGAUUUACCAUCUUCUUUAAAAUAUAUAUAUAAACCCUCUAAAAAGGAAUUUAAGGACUUGAUUGUUAAAAUAUUCAAUAACUUUUCAUGUAUAAUCCCAAAAUUGUUUAAAUCUCUAAGACAAAAGGGUUUACACCAUUUCUUUCCCAUAGAAAAGAGGUUGAUGAUGCCAAUGUAUAAAGAUCAAUGUAGCAUCUUUUACAAGAUAUAUUUCAAAUUCUGAAUACAUGUCUACCCAUGUUUGAUUUAAUACUCCAUGAACAAAUCUGAAGCUGAACUGGUGGAUGAAUACCAUCUGUAAGUUCUAUAGGAAUUCAUAGUCUUCCGUUGUCUACACCGAUAUAAUGGUUUGUUUAUUGUUCUCCAGCCUCUGGGAUUAAGAAGUUUAACAGAAAAGAAUUGGCUAAAAAUGUGCUGUAUGAAUUGCAAAGGUGAGACUAUUUGGUAUUGAUGUUACCCUGUAAAGCUAAGAAGGACCCAAGGAAGAACUCUGCAUAAUAUAUGAAAGAAUGUCAGGACACCAACCGAAAAAAUAAAUUUGUUGGAGAUGCAGCUCCUUGAUUUGUUUGUAAUGCCCGCUAAUGUCAGAACAAGCUUAUGGGGUUACAGAUGAACACCUGGGGCAACAAAAAUUAAAAGAUAAGAUUCAACAGCAGAAUCGAUAAAUAAUAAAGAUCACCACCCAUUUACCAAAUUGCUAUGUAAUUUAAUACUCGAGUUUUCAAUGAGCGUAACAGAAGAACUGAAGAUAUUUAGAUACAGAAUUUUCACAAAAAAUGAGGCAGAAUGAUGUCAUGUGAUAACACAAGGGAAUAUGCAAAUUUAUGUUACGUUGAUUCGGGUGUUUGUGUCAAAUACAAGCAUGUGCUUGGUAUGUGUAUGUUUUAAUUCUUUCAUUUAUUUGGAAGGUCCUAAGAUCAUAUUCCUAUAUUUAUGUUUGAAUAUGUGUUAGGCACAAAUACUUUAAAAGAAUGAAGAACCAGAGUAUGAUAUACAGUGCAAAAAGACAGAUACGAUAGUCACUGCAUCUGGGGAUUCCAUGACUCUGUAUGUUUACUUCUUUAUGUGGCUUUUGGAAUAAGAAACUACACUAAUAAAGUUAUCAACAAUUUGAAACAAAAAAUGUAUAUAUGAGAACAUUGAAUAACCAGCAUGUUUCAACCUUUCAUUUGAACUUAUAUGAUAAUGAUAAAGCAAAUCACUUUUGUAUGCCAACUCUAAAUCAAGUGCACAGUAGAGUAAUAUUAACAAAGUUAUCAAACUGUGGAUCCAAAUUUUCCUCAACAGGAAGCAUGUGAACUUGAGCUGAAGGCAAAAAUAUAGCAAUAAAGGUGACCGAGUCAAAGCACAUCAUAAAGAAUUAGUACCGUCAAAGAGGGAACUAUAGCAAUAUAGGAGAGCAUCAGUUAGUAGUAAAAAUAGUAGAACUGAAGCGGUGAAUCUGUUUGUAUUUCCUGAUUCUGCCAUUUGCAAUUUAUUAUCAAGCCUAGAGACCAAUUUACGUUUUAGUUAGAUGGAGAAGAAACAAGAGAUUAGCCUACCUUUAUUCUAUACAUAAUGCAGGAGUGCAUCGGCUGAAGAAUUCCUUAACCUACAGCUCUGUCCCAAAUGAACAUCACCAAAGACAUACCUACAUCACCAUACAUCAGUGGAAAUCUUAAUAUAACUUGGGAACAGGAGGAAGAGCCAAAAAUAAAAUAAAAAACGGAACCUGUAUUCACAGUAUUCAGGCCAUGCACAUCGAGCUUUUCCGUAGUCCCAGUAACAGUCAUCAUCCCUCAAGGGCCCUCGCUUUGCUAUCAGCAUUGUUAUAAUGAGUAAAACUCAAAUUAAUCUUUGAGAAAAGUAAAACAGUAAACCAUGUUUUACCUUUUGUAACAAAUUUGGAUGGUGAAUCAGCAUGAAUAUCAUGCCAAAUCUGGAGCCAUAACUCUCGCAUUAGAGCUGGUGAUCUAACGAUGUUCCUGUGAUUUGCUACAUGAAGAUGAUAUCAGUUUUACCCACUUGUAAUGAUAAGAAGGCUGAUGUCAAAGAACAUUAGUUAGCAUUGUUAACUCAAUUUUCUUGUAAAAGAAAAUAAGGAAAAAUUGACAGGGUGCAACUUAAUAUGGAGAACACAUUAGUUAGAAACGGUUUAAAUAACGCUCCUCAACAUAGAGAUACGGAGAAUGCAAAGUAAACAAGCUAAGCAGCUAAACCAUGAAUGAUAGACAAGCUUUUGAAUUAUUUGAUUGUCCUUUAGCAAGAAUCUGAAAGAGGAGCUCCCCAAUUAACAUCACUCUGAUUUUUAUAGAUUAUGCUGGAAGUAAAUCAGCUGAAAGAAAUUUAUCCAAAACCAUAGAGAACCACUUUCAUUAAAAUCCCUAACUGGAUAACAGCACAUAAUCACAACAACCAUAAUGCCGGGCUAUUUAAGAUUCUUAAAAAGCAUGGUAGCAAUGCAAUUAAGUUCAACAUGAUUUGAAAUCGUACUACUAUAUAAGCCAUUUACUGAGAAAAGCAUUAAAGGUAUUGUCACCCACCUUUAUCAAGCUCCCAAACUGCUGUCCUCUUUCCUGGAAUGCUUUCCGAGUCUUCAUAGUAAGUUAUGUAUUUGACUCUAGGUGACCUUGUCAUGUUGGGGACUACAUCUUCAUUAUGAUGCUCAACAUUCAACUCCACUUGUACAUCUGACCCAUCAUGCUCCGACUACAAUAUGCAUGAGAAAGUUUUACUAUUUCAAACUCCCAAUAGUUAUGUCAUAUUUCAGAUAUGGAUUACAAAACCAUAGCAGACAUACUCCUUUUUAUUAUAUCAGAUGGAUAGUGUUCAUAUGUUUUACCUAUUUGCUGCACGAAUGAAAUACUCUAUUUUAUUAUAUAAAGGGAUUGAGAGAAACAUGCAACAAACUAUGUUAUACAGCUCAUAAAUCAAAUAGCUCAUCAAACUAACCACAAAAAAGAAAAAAAAGCAAUCUGAUAUAUGUGAUGUGUUAAAUAUCCAGAAGAUUGAAAGCUUUUCAAUAUCAUCAUCAUAAUAAACAUAUCAAGGCACUUGCAUUUGACCAAGAAUACCUGUGGAGCUCUUGUUAUGUUCACUCUGGGCCCAAGCCAGUUCUUGCACCAAGAUAGGGAAUGAUAUGGUACCUGUCACAAUUAUGUAAGUGUUAGACCAGUAACUAUAAAACUCAGAUCAGUGAUUGUAAUCCAGUAACAAAGAUUCUUGAUGCAUUUGAAGAAUGAAAUAGAAUGAUAUAAGGGUCACUGAGCUCACUGUCUCAUCACCACUUGCAGGUCCUGGAUUUCCUUCAACCUGAUUCCCUGACCUACAAGAACAAGUGCUACGCUAUUUAAAAGUAGAAUCUAAUGAGAUCAAAUCAUCUUUCAAUAUUUAUUACUGCAGCCACUGCUUUACCUCGUUUACAACAAAUAAUAGUUACUGUUAGAGCUGUUUUAGUUCUAAACAUAGGGAAGAGAUAUGAUUUAGGCAUAAAUGCAGUUAAACAAAUUAACUGAUCCAGUGUGGAUGAUGCUUACCGCGAGACCAGUGAUCCUUCAAUUUCAUAGAUGACAUCAGUAAUUAUCCAAUUAUCAGGGUAAGGUUUGCCGCUUGGUGCAAAAUAAUAACCAACCUGCUCGCAUUAUCAUUCAACACGAUAUCAUCAUAAAAAUUAACCACAAUAAGUAAUAGAAAAGCAAUAACGAUGUGUAACAACUAUAGUGCUAUUCCCCUUUUGUCAGUUAUUCAAACAGCUCUUAAGGGGUUCCUAAUGCAUGACAAUAGUCUCAAACAUGAACAAGAUAAUUAGAAUUUAUAUUCAAAAUUUAACCAUACCUCAGUCCUAGAAUCUACUCCAUAGAUACAGAAAACAUUCUUAAUAGGUGGUCUAUCCCAUGGUGUAAGAGGAUUCAGAACAGGAUCAUCAUGAUAUGACCUGAAAAAUACAACAUAGAAAUAAAGCCAAGUCAAAAUAAAGAAGUCUAAGUUACAUGGUUUGUAUUAAUUAAACUUCCAGGAAAAUCAUUAUUCAAACCAAUAGAAGAAAGUACUAUGAUAAAUUACAAUUAAAAAUAGAAAUUUCAGUUUGUCAAGUAUCAGCCAACAAUGAGAAACAACCACAGACUCUGAAAGAAAACAUGUUGAAAGCAUCUUGACUGGUCUUCAGUGCAAGCAGAUGGGAAUUGAUGAAAGUCCAUUUAACAUUAAUAACUUAUGACAACUGUCAAGCCUGCUUAUGUGAUAGUUCCAUGAAAAAACCACAAUCAUCGCAUCUCCAUAUAAUUUUAAUUAGUACACGUGAUUCAUGUUCAAGAUGAAAUCACUUAGUAUUAGUAUGUCAACAAUCGACAAACACUAAGAAGAUAUCAGAGUCAGAGAUUGUUAAAUUAUUUGAAAGUAUCAUAGCUAGUAUAAAAUACAUUUAAACCAUGCCUAAACACUUCUUCUGUAGCUCCACAUGAUCUUUUAAAGCAAAAAUGCAGCUCAAGACUCUCAAUAACGAGAUUUGGGAUGAAAAGCCACUUCAUAUAUCAAAACUAGCACCUACAACAUGGGACUGCAUGCAUGAUACACUAGGUGCCAUUUAAGUAAAAUUUAUGCUGAAAGAAGAUUUAAGACCCGACAACUAGAGUUAUAAGGCUUCUAUUAUGAAAUGUUCACCACAGGCAAUAAAGUUGACAGACAUCAUUCUUACAAUCAAUUACGUCUAUAUCACCAAAUAAUGACCUAGAAAAAGGUAAAUCAUAAUUUUCUCAAAUGGCAUAAAGUUGUGAGAAUACCCACUUCUUCAGUUGGUGCAAGGUCCUCUUGCUAUCUGAAUCAUAGUCCUCUAUUGCUUUGAAAAAGGUCCCAUCUGAUAUUUCACGAGCUGAAAAUGACAACUGUGUUGGGAGUCCACAUUCCAUGCUAGAGUAGUUGGUCUGGGAAAACUCUGAAACUGAUGGAUAGGCGUCAAUCCCUGUUAAUAAAAGAGAUUGCUGUGAGCUUUAUAGCAAUUAACUACAAGUCAUAAAAACAAAUAAAUAAAUAAAUAAAAGAAUAAUUUAUUCCAAAGCCUUACCACGGGUUGAAGGUAUUUCAAUGUUGAUUAUAUUAGUUGAAAAACCAGAGUAAUUUGACUGAAAUUCCUUUUGCUCACAUUGAUAGGCAUUAGGCCCCUUCCUGAUUCCCCCAGAAAAAUGCUUCAAAUACAUGGCGUCUGCCCUACAAUACUUUGAAAAUGGCAUCAUCCAUAAUGAAGAACCAAAUGAAUUGAACAUCAACCGAGCAGUUCCCUGAUACCUUGCCAAAAUAUAAAGUAAAUAUAUGUUAAAAAUGCACCAUUAUAUAACAAAUAUUUUUAAUUCCUACAUUUUAGGAAGCAAUGGCAGUCAGUAACAGCAGUAAAUUGAUAUAGAUUCCAUCCCAGUAGUGCAAGUUAAUUUGAUUCAAUCGAGUUGAGUUAUACAAAAUUGAGGACAUCAGGACUUACAAAGAAAUUAAGGAAUUCUGUUGCCAAUUUGCUAUUCCUACAUGUGCUGUAAGGAACAUCAAUAACUUAACUGUUCAGCAUAAAUGUUUUUAACAUCUUGAAUUUUCUCUGGUACUAUUGAAUCAAAGUUUUUCAUAUUGCAUUACUAGACCUGUUUCAUGGAAUCAUGGGAAAUCUUCGGGUGGUUUUAAGACUUCAACAGCAUGUAUCCCAUUGGAAAUCUAAUAUGUUUUCUACAAAAGCUGCCUACAAUUACCUAUCAUUGAAUGUGACAGCAGAUUAAUUUGUUACAAGGUUCUACCAUAAGUUUAAUCUUCAUAUGCUAUUUCCAUAAAGGGGACUAGUUUCAAAAAGCUGUAUGAUAUACUCCAGAGCCAAAAAUCAAGACUAGAUGGAAGAGAAUAACAGCUUGGAGUAUUAUGUUUUAUGAUAUUCUCCAGGGCACAAAUAUCUAUAGUUCUAUAUUGAAUAUCCAUUACUGUUACAUAUGCAUGCUCAUGUAUUAGCUGUUUAAUUGAAAAGGAACCAUAACAAAGGUAAGCUGCUUUCCACUUGAACAUUAAAAGCUGUUAAAGAAGUUCAUGCAGGAACUUAGUUUUAAGAUUGAGAAAAAGUAGAAUGCAACCUCAGAAACAGGAAGGCCAAAUGUGUUUCCAGAAAGCAUUCCUUUGACUGUCUCAGUUGAACCAAGAAGAGGAGCUCCUAGAAGGAAAAAGAAUAAAAUGUGAAACCCAAGAAAGGGCAAACAUUACUAUUCCAGGAAAAUAAUAAAGGAUUUUAUGCAGAGGAUCAUACCGACAGCAAAAAAAGCAUAAAUAUGAUCAUCCAACCAUUGGAUGUACUGUUUUGGUGCAAUUUCUAGCUUUAACCACUCCAAAAAGUAACGGAAGACAUUAUUACCCAAUGAAUGAGCAAACACAAUUGAUGGCCCCCCUCGAAGUUUAAGAGCAGUUUCGAAUGUCUGCCUACAACCAGAACUUGCACACUGAUUAAAAUAGCCUAACUCCACUGUCACAAUAUUGCAAUAAAGCAUAAUAAUCAGUUGGAAAUCUGUAACUAUUAUGUUAAUUUAGUUUAACAUCAAUAAGAAAUCAUGAAAAUUCAACUUAUGAACAUCUACAACAAUGCACAUUCGAUGUAUCCUAUAGUUAAAAGUGGCAGAGUAGCACCCAGCCCAAUAUACGGCUCUAGGGUUCUAGUCUUGAGAAAUCUGGAGUUGGAUUCUUAUGUUGGGUGCAUAGAAAAUAAGCAAUUGCAAAGCACAACCCAAUAUAUAUUUUAUGCCUCACAUAUAAGUAUCUAUAGACGCAACAAUUUUCUCUGACUUGGAUUUAAACGAAAAGCAACUAUAACUAAAUUAUACACUAUCAAGAAAAUAAAAGAAAUGCUACAUCAAAAUCAACUUUCAGACCAAUGACCAGAAAAGUAGUGUGUCUUUGGAAGUUACUAAAAAAGAGGCAUCACAAUUCAGAUUUGCAGAAAUCAUGUAAUUUAGGUCUCUUUUGGUUAUCAGAAAAUAGCACUGGAUCCAAGCAUUUAAACAAACAAAUACAAUUCCACUUAUACAAUUUCAGAAUCAUAAAUUCAGUCUCCAAGAUGACGAAAAUACUCUUAUUAGAUUUAAGAAUCUUAAGGUCCUUCAUGGUGCCCAAUCAUUCAUAUCAGUGAAGUUCUACAUUCAUUGAAAAUAUAUAUUCAGCAAAAUCUUGUCAGAAAUAGAUGUUUCAAUAGGAAUAAACAUAUUUACUUUCAGUUAUGAAGAAUGCAUCCAUGAUGUACCAAAAGAUUAGUUACUGCAAAUAAAAAGAAAUUUAUUUGGCUACAUGCAUCAGAGGUAGUAAAAAUAGAAUGAACCAGGAAAUAUGCAUACUUUAACUUGUAAAAGUAAAGGUCUCGCUCCUCAAGCAUUGAUGGUGACAAUCUCCAAUCGUAUGGGGCAGCUAUAAUUGCAUUAGCCUCAAUACCAAAUUCAAUGCACCACUUAACCCAUUCUUUCCACACCGAAGAAAGAGGGCCUGUGGCCACAGAGAAAUUUUAGUUAAACAUGAAGCAUUUUGCAGCCACUUGAAAUACGUUUUAGAAUCACAGAAAGUGUAUAUUAGAAAGAAAAAAAAAAGGAAAAAAAAAAAGAGAGAAGAAUACCUGUAAUGUAACCUGGAUCAAGUUCAGUAAUAGCAGAAAGACCACUAUCAGGACGUGACUUACAUUCUGGAUUAUCAGUUUGGUUGUACGGAUCAAGUAACAUACACUUAAGCCAACAAUUUACAGCUGAGAGGAGCUGCAGAUCAAAGAAGCGUAACAAUCUUAGUAUAUUAAAAACAACCAACUAUUCACCACACGAUACAACCUAUGUUACUCCCAACUCUUCAUUUUUCCUGAAGUAACCAUGUCCAAAACUUAUUCGGAUAUGGAUAUAGGAGCAUGAUAUAUGCAAAAGAAGUCAGAUAAAAUUGAGUGUAUCCAGGUCGGGCACAUACCCGCAUCCCACACUUAGCAUUUAUCUACUAAAUUCCUAGUCGAUAACAUCCUUCACUGUUAACCAAGGCCAAGACGUACAUAAGCUUUAUCGAAAAAACACUCAAAUUCAACUUCUUAGAACCUAUAAUACAUCCUAAAAUCCCAUGCACGAGCAAAUAAAAACAAGAUACGAGAAAUAGAAAAAAGGUUAAACAGGAAUAUAUGUGCAUAUAAUAUUCAAAAAGAAAGUUAAAAGACAAUUUUAUUCUGCUAUCUUAAAAGACAAUUUUAUUCUGCUAUCUCUAUUAAUCAACCAAACUUUUACUUUUUUCUAACUAUUUUGUUUGUUUAAUCCAAGAACCAGACAGAAUAUAAGCAUAACAGAAACACGAGGAAACCAACUGUAGAUUAAAACGACAAAGAAGAUUGAAUAAAACGGCGAUAAGAAGACCAAAAGUAGGGGGAAUCCUUACUUUAGUAGUGUCGAGCCAAACCAAGUCGAGGGGAUUGAAAUCGAGAGGAGAGUAAGGGCAGUCGAGAAUGGACCAAGCUCUCAACUGAGUUGAAGCGAAUCCAGGGAUUAUUAUCCCCGAUAGCUUUGAAUAAUCUCCUCUCAACUCUCCUUCACCGAGUUGAAAUGUUCCCAAGAAUAGAACUGCCGCAAGUGUCAUCGCUAAACGGCGGUGCUCUCGUUCGUCUCCGCCCAUGGUUGAUUCCUUUGUUUCUCUGUCAUUAGUCAUUGCCUGGGCCUAGCAGCCAUUAAAAUGUUUACAGAGUGUGUGAUGGCUGACUUUUCAACUUCCAUUGGGGGAAUUAAAAAAUAAUAAUAAACACGUUGAAAUCGAAUUGGUUUUUAAAUAUUUUGUAAAAAAUAUAUAUAUUGAAAAAUAAACAGUGAAACGACGGCGUCUCGCUUUUAACUAACAACAUUCCGUGGCGCCAAAAGGAAGGAGCUGAAGUUUUUCGAAGCAACGAAGAAUCCGAAGCUGAGAUCCGUCCAUCAACUCCGGCAACGGCGGAAAACGACGUCUCAAAGAUCAAAGCAGCAGUCUUCCAUUUCCUCGAAUCUUUGAGUCGGCUUUCAUUUUCUUCGCAAGAUUUGUAUGGCACAAGCCAAAAGAAAAUCAAGUAAGAUCUCAAAUACAAUAAGAAAGAUCUGAUUGGACUCUAAAUUUAAUUGAAUCUAAUGCGCUUUCAAGAAAUUAGGGUUUCACAUCACUUGUCUUCUAACUCAAAAUUUAAAUCGAUUCUAAAAUUUAAAACAUUUUAUUUGAAUCCUCAAAAUAUUAAUAUUGUAUUAAUUAAGCCUUUUCAUUAAUUUGAUCGUCAAUUUAAAUGUUAAAUGUCAAUUUAAAUCUAUAGUAGCAAAUUUAAAACACAUCAAUAAAGCUACAAACACUUGUGUACUUAUGACAUUAAAAAUAUGUUAGAUCCAAACGUAAGUUUACAAUCCGAUCCAUAUAUUUUAAAUAUACUACAAAUCAAUUUACUUUAAAUUUUAAAGACUCAAUUAAAAUAUUUUAAAAUUUAGAUACUAUUUUAAAACUCGAAUAAUAGUUUGAGGAUAUUUAAUGAAAUUAACUACGUAUAUUAAUCAAAUUCCAGCCGCCCAUUUGUGUCAUCGGCCUUAACGUCAAGACUGAGCUCCACAAGUUAUAACAUUGUCGAAUUGAGUCAAGGAAUUCAGACCAUCAAAUAAUUGAAUUUGAACAUUUUAAUACUUGAUUCGAGUAGCUCGAGAUCCUAGUUGAGCUUUAAUAUUUUAAUACAUAUUUUGAUUAUUCAACUAUCAAAUUAUAAAAUUUAUUUGAAGAGUAUAUCUGGCUCACAAAAUAUAAAAUUAUCAGAAUGUAAGAUUACUUAAGACAUCAGUAGAUAUAUUAUUACAUUGUCCUAUUUAAUUCAUUUGCUUAAAACGUGAAAUCUAUUAUUUGAUUCACGGAAUAUAAAAUUAUCUAAAAGUAUAUUUUAGUAAUUAUAUAAUAUUGUUUGAAGAAUAUUGAUACAAAAGUUUAAACAGUAUGCUUAUAUUAAUAUAUUAAUUUUCCUUUUUAAGUACAAACAUUAUCUCAUUAUUUGAAUGCAUCAACGUCCUUUGUUUUUUUAUUUUAUCACUAAGUAUAUUUUUUUUAUAAAAAUUAUUUUAAAUAAUUUCUAAAUUUGAUUAAUAUACUAUUUUAUAUUAAAUAUGAUAAGCUAUAACUUUAUAUAUUUUAUUAAUGUAUUAAUUUUAAAAUAUUACGCUAUAAUAAAUUUAAAAACUAUAUACAGAACAUAUAUAAUGUCGUAAAAUUAAGACUUAAUAUAUUAUUUGAUAUUUAAAUUUGACACUUUUUUAAUGUGGUGUCCGUGUUUUUUCUUUUGUCAAAUGUGAUACAUGUAUUUGGUAAAAUUUAUGAAUUUUGCUGCUUGAAAGUAAUUGUGUUAACCAGUGUUUAAUUACGUUUUGGGGGUGAUUUAAUGAAAAUUUAUAAUUAACUAAUAAUUCUUUUAUCAAAUCGAUCUUAAUAUGAAACUCUAUUUAACAAAUAAAACACAAAAUUAAACAAAUUCACAAUUAACACUAAACUUUUUCCAUUAACAAAAUCAUGAAAAUUCAAACUUAAUAAUGUUAGCAAUUAACUUUUAUCAAAUCCACAAUAAAACUCAAACUAAAUACUAAUAAGUUACCAUUGUUAUUUUUUAGUAUCAAAAUGUAUAACUUUUGACAAAUUCAAACACAGGUACCAAAUUAAAUUUUUAUUACUUAUUUUACAUUUUUACAAAAAAAAUAAACCUUAAAAAAAAGUUAUUUUCUCCAUCUUUGUUCUUCAAUUGAUCGGAAAUUAUAAAGCUUCAUCGGAAAAGUUAAAAAUUCCCAUACUUUGGUGAGCUUUUCUAGAUUUAAACCAACUCUUUUUUCUUUUUUAAAUUUCAAUUUUUGUAAAUAAAUUUUUUUGUUUACUUACUUUCAUACGAGAGUAGCAUCACAAUUCCAAAUUUUUAUUUUUUGAUACAAUGUCUAGAAUUACCCAUAGCCCUCCCCAACUAUUAAAUAAGAGGAUAAUACACUUUAGUGCAUUUGAACUUACGUCAUCUUACACUAGCAAUUUUAUUUUAUUUUCCUUGAAUAGAGCUACUCGUAGACAAAGCACAUUGCAAUUUUAAGUUUUUUUUUUUUUUGGUAAUCCAUUAUGAAUAUAUUAUCUAUCUCUUUAAUCAUAUGAUUCUUUUAAAGAUUAAAAAUUAACCACAAAUUUUCAAUAUUAGGCAAGAAUAACUAAAACUAUAGUUUAUUCAUAACAAAAAAAAACAUAAUAUGAUACAAUUAUUUUAAAAAUAUGCUAAUUUCAUUUCUUACUAUGUUCAAAAUUUGCUCUUACAUAAAAAGAAAAGUUGUAAAAAUAAUAGUUAAUAUAUAUGAAUUCAAAAUAAAGAAAAUGACAUAAUUGUAAAAGUUAAGAAAAAAAUGGGUAACACAUGGUUUGAGGGUGUAAGUGUCUCGGGCCGCAGAUCAAAGCCUGUGACCAAUGCACACAUAACGUUCCAUGGAGGUCGACUAAUUAAAUGAGACUUAUUUGACCCACUUGAACUGACCUGAUUCAUGGAACACAUGGAGAUUAAAGCCUUGGUGGCUUAGUGGAACGCUCCAGUAAAACUAGAGUUAUCAUGGUGAAUAUUGUAAAUCCUAAAGGAUAAGAUUGUAUAGAGUUUAAAUCUCUUUGGACUCUAAUCUUGUAGAUAGGCACUAAUCUCAACCAUUGAUGUAACUCAAUCUGUACCGCUAGAUCUAAGAAAUUUAACUAUAAAUAGAGCCCCCUCUUUAUUUGUAAUCAUUUCACUUCAUUAUUGAUUUAAAGAAUAUAUUUGAGAGCAUUUACUUAAACACCUUGCGUGCAUUGCUUUCUUGUGGCUUUUCUAUUCAAUUUAAGUUCAUUUCUUUUUUGAAUUGCUUCAACUUUAUUUUUGGUGCCUUAGAGAAUUUCUAAGAGAAGUCUCACUUAAAGAGAAUUAGGUUGACUUAGGUGGAUUUGAAGUAGAGAAAUCGCCUAAGGCCGCGCGGUUUGUAAGACUAAAGUUUUAGCCCCAUGACAGUUGGUAUCAGAGUCAAGGUUUAAAGGUAUUAAUUGAGAUGAAGAAAGGACUAGAUAAGUAGGUUGACCUUAAAGAAACUGGCGUGAGGGAGGUAAGAAAGAUAUCAGAUCAAGGAAUAAGAUGCCAACUUUAGAUAGUAGGGUUGCCAAACUCGAGAGAUCCAUAGGUGAUGUGAAGGAGACCCUUGAAGAAGUUGAGGGAUGCAUUGCAAAGCUAAAAUUAAGGCAAUAUCAGCUUAAAUGGCAAGUGGCAGAGGCCCUUGAUGUUAAUGUAGAUGUGAUGCAAGGGGUUCUCAAUAUCGUUGUGUGUAAGUUGACUAAGAAGAAUGAUGCUCUCAAGGUAGGCCAUGGCGUUGGCCUUGAAGGAACAGAUUGAGGAGCUCAAUGAGAGCACGUUAUCUGCAAAGUUGCUUUGGUUAAUGGGGUGUUAUUUGCGAUACCCAAGCCUAAGGUAGAUAUCGAUGAGCUGAAAGAGUUCAAUGGGACGAGGCCUACAAAAGAUAUGGACAACUUUUUGUGGGGAAUAGAUCAAUACUUUCAUGCCAAAGGCAUCAUGGAUAAUGCUACUAAGGUAAAUACUACUACUAUGUAUUUUACUGAUGUCGCUAUAUUAUGGUGGCGUCGUAGGUCUACAGAUGAAAGAUGAUGUGGUAUCAUUAUUUAGACUUAGAAGGAGUUUUAGAGUGAAAUUAAGGGGUAGUUUUACCUAGAGUAUGUCAAGGAUGAGGCUUGAGCUAAGUUGCAUCAACUUACGUAAUAAGGCAUAAUUAGAGAGUAUAUACAACAGUUUAGUAAAUUAUGCUCCAAAUUUUCAAUUUGGGUGAGAAUAAUGCAUUCUUCUCUUUAUGGAUGGGCUGAAUUCUUAGGCAAAGUAAGGGUUGCAACAUCUAGGAGUCAAAGAACUUACCAAAGCCAUGACAAUAAUGGAGUCCUUAAUCAAGCUUGUUCCGAGGAAAGGCAAGUUUGAGUUUUCCAAGCCUAAUGAGAAGGAUAAUGGUGGAGGGAGAUGAAGAAAGACAAGUUAAAAAUAGCAAUAGUGGAAAUGGUGGUAAUGAGAAACCUCAUAAUGGGAAGUGAAAGUCCAACAACAAAUCAAAAGAGCUAAUGGGGUGCUUCUUAUGUAGUGGUUUGCAUAGGGUACGGGACUGCCCAAACAGCGAUCCAAAAGCUAUUCGUAAUCAGUAAAGAAUAUGAAGUGGAGCCUGAUGAGGAAAGGAUAUUAAAGCUUGGGUCAAUAAUACUCAAUUAUGCUAAAGCGAAGAGGGAUCACAAGUAGAAAAAGUUGAUGUUUGUGGACAUCAACAUCAUAAGAAAAAGGAGAAAUGUUCUUGUUGAUACGGGGGAUUUUGAUUUGUUUACAUUAGAGAAAGUUGUGGGUAAACUUGUUCUCUUAGUUAGCAAAUUGAAUAAGAAUAUCAAGACUUUAAUUCUAAAGAGGUCUCAACUAUGGGAGUAGCACAAGGAGUUGAGCUACAAAUCGGUGAGUGGAAAGACAAGGAAGACUUAAUGAUUACAACUUCAUGUUUGGUUUGAAUUUCAUUGAUCAUAUUAAUACUCUUUUGGUUCUUUUUGCUAAUUGUAUUUGUAUCUUAGAUACUCAUCAACGACAAUGCAUUGUGUCGGUGAGUCAUGAUGAGAAAGGUGGAACCAAUGUAUUGUGGGUAAUUCAACUAGCCAAGAAUGUUCAUUGUGGCAAGAACAUUGACUUGGUAGAUCGAAGUUUACGAAGGCCCUUUAGAAAUGCUAAAGGCGCGACAAACCGAAGUGAAACCUGUUGGGUUAUCAAUGGCUUACAAACAAGAGUCAGCAACAAUACUCAAGGUUAACCCUGUGUUGAAGCCUAUUUGUGAGGAUCAAGGGGAUCCGAACGAGGCAAUUCGCAAUGGGGGCAAGUAAAAAACUAUAGGCUCUUGCGAACAAUAUGAACAAAGAAAGGAAAUAGUUCAAGUUAGACAAUAACAAAGACAUAAGCUGAGGAAAAUAUUUUGCGGGGCGAAACUACCUAAUAAAGAGAAUGGUUGGGAAUCAACUAAGGUGUCGUGGCAGAUUUGAGAUGAGUUAGACCAGUGUCAUUCCGAAGAGGACAAGAGCAUCGCGAGAAUGGGUGGGGGAGAAUGUCACAGGCUGUAAAUCAAAGCCCAUGAAGAAUACACACAGAAUGUCCCAUGGAGGUCAACUGAUUAAAUGUGGCUCAUUUGACCCAUUUGAAUUGGCCUGUUUGUAGAACUCAUAGAGAAGCCCAUCUACUUAAAGCCUUGGUAGCCUAGUGGAACACUUUAGUAAAACUAGAGUUACCAUAAUGAAUAUUGUAAAUCCUAAGGGAUAAUAUUGUAUAGAGUUUAAAUCCCUUAAGACUCUCAUAUUAUAGAUAGACACUAAUUUCAGCCAUUAAUUUAACUCAAUCUGUACCGUUGGAUCUGAGUGAGCUCAACUAUAAAUAGAGCCCUCCCCAUUCAUUUGUAAUCACUUCACUUCAUUCUUGAGUUAAAGAAUAUAUUUGAGAGCAUUUACUCAAACACUUUGUGUGCAUUGCUUUCUUGUGGCUCUUUUGUUCAAUUCAAGUUUCUUUCUUUUCUUUUUUUGAGUCACUUCCGCUUUUAUUUUUAAGUGCCUUAGAGAGUUUUAAGGAGAAUUCUCACUUUAUGAGAGUUAGGUUGACUUAGGCGGAUUUGAAGCAGAGAAAUCGCUUAAGGCCGUGCAGUUUGCAACACUAAAGUUUUAGCCGUGUGACAUAAGGUCCCUUCCAUGAUUAAAAUAAGUAAUAUUAUUUAACAAUAUUUUAGUCCUUUCACUUAAAAACAAUAAAAAUAUACAUACGAUGAAAUUUGAACCCACACCAAUUGCAUUAAUAAAACCUUUAAUUUACCGCUCAAGUAAAUAUUUAUUUUAAUAUUUUUAUACAUUUUACUUUUAUUGUGCACACUUUAUUACCUAUAUCAGUUGUAUCUAUACCAUUAUUUAAACUCCUUAUUGAAUUGGUGUCACGAAUCAAUUGGACACCAACUAGGUUAGAGAAAUUAUGAAAAUAUUCAUUCGUAAUUAAAAUAAGUUAUAUUAAUCAAUAGUAUUUUAGCCUUGCAUCUAAAAACAAUAAAAAAAAAUAUAGAUAUAGAAAGAGAUUUGAACCCCCACCAAUAACAUAAAUAAAACUUUAAAUCUACCCAUCAACCAGAACUCUAUUUUAAUUUAUUUAUACAUUUUAAUUUCAUUAUACCCACUUUAAAAAUAAUUUUCACAUAAUUUUCACAGGCAUGCAUAAUAAAAUUUAUAAUUUUUAUUUAUUAUUUUAAAUGGAAUCUUCACAUCAAAGUUGCGGACUUGUUUGGCUUUUUAGUUCCCAAGAGGAUUAAUUUCAUUUUAUUUUUUUAGCACUAAUGGCAUUCUCAUAUUGACUGAAUUGAGGCAGCUGGAUAUAGUAGCUUUGUCUUUGUUUUGUAACAUUCACUCAAUGAACACACUAAAGUUGAAAUAUCAAAUUUCAACAUAAAAAAAAUUUGAAAUAUUAAAACGUGAAAAGUUUAAUUUAAAAAAAAGACAAAGCUAUAUACAAUUUAAGAUAUUCAACCAAGCCUUAUAGUUAUCACCAUUUGUUCAUUUCAUAGCCAUAUCAAUAACCAUCAUUUUCUUGUAUUUCAGAUAAAUACAUAUAACCAUAUAUAAGCAUGCAAUUCACUAUUUCUUCUUGUCAAUCACAAUUUCAAAUGACAGAUUCAUGUAAAUGAGCUCAAUAUCAUUAGCUGUUUAAUUUCUGUCACUUAAAUUCACAUACACAUAAUUUAUUAACAUAACCUGUCAAACACAACCUCUGAAUGAUAAGAUCAGAUAAUUGAGCUCAAUUUCACUGUUCAAUAUGUUUUAUCACAUAAAAUUUGCUUAACACUUACCACAAUUUGUCAAAUUAGAGAACGUAUUACGGAAUUGAGUACUUUGUUUUCACAUUGUCAUAGUAUAACUAUGGUCUUGCACAUCGUCACAUAUCACACACCGAAGCCAUAGCCUAGCUAUGGUCUUACACGGAAACACAAAUCACACCGAUGUCAUAUCCCAUAUAUGGUCUUACACGGAAAUCACAUAUCACACCGAUGUCAUAUCCUAGAUAUGAUCUUACACAGAAAUCACAUAUCACAUCACACCAAUGCCAUAGCCCAGCUAUGGUCUUAUACAGAAGCACAUAGUCACAUCACACCGAUGACAUAGCCUAGCUAUGGUCUUAUACGGAAGCACAUGAUAAUCACAUUUUCACAUGUUGUCAUGGUCAAACCAUGGUCUUUUCUGUCAAUUCAUCACAUAUCAUUGAACGAAAGUAGUCAUUCCUGCCUUCUACUCAAUUUGACCUUUUAGUUCUUUUUACGUACUUUUACAAUAUUCACACUUUAAAUACAAACAUAUGAAAUGAUUCAUCAUUUCUUUCAUUUACUAACAAAUAAUUAUUAAAUUCAGCUAUAUGAACUUACAAUUCGAUUUUUAUAACAUAACGAUAAUCAUAAUUUCAUAAUAACUAUUUGAAAUAAAACAUUAUAUCAUUUCUAAUUCAACGUUUAUUGAUUAUAAUCAGGCAUAUGACCAAUUUAUACAAGAGUCAUUCAUAUAUUUUCCUCCUUCUCCUCUCCAUUCCACAUCCUUAAUGUAUAUAACACGCUUAUAAGUAACAUUCUCUAUAAUUUCACUAUUUACUUAUAUGUAUAUUCAAAGCUGUCCAUUCGUGUCAUAGUCACUAAAUUAUUUUUAUCUUGAGCUACAGAACUCCAAAUUAAGAUCAGCUUGAUGUUUUUGAAACUAGAUUCAUAUAUCUUUCUACCAUAAAAUUUUAGAAUUUAUAUUUUAGCCAAUUAGUACAGUAAAAUCUUCAAAUUUAUCCCUGUUCUGCUAUUUGGCAGCUUUGACCUUUGCUUACUAAAAAUUAAUUAUCUCUUAGAAAAGAACUUGGAUGAUAUUCCCAUUUGUUUCUCUUAAAAAUAGACUCAUUAAUAAUUUAAAAAUAUAAAUUUAAGCUCAUAAUUAUUUUUCUCCAAUUUUUUAUGAUUUUCCAAAGUCAAAACAGGGGAACCCGAAAUCAUUCUGACAUUGUCUCACAAAAUUUAUUAUAUCUCAUGAUUUACAAUUUCAUUACUUACACCGUUUCUUCUAUGAGAAACUAGACUCAAUAAGGCUUAAUUUCAUAUUUUAUUCAUCUUGUAAUUUGAUUCCCAUAAUUUUUUAUGAUUUUUCAAAGUUAGGCUACUGCUGCUGCCCAAAACUAUUUUAGUGCAAAAUGUUGAUUGCCAUUAAUUUUAUUAUAAAGGUUUAAUAUAACUUUUGGUACUUCAACAUGUCAUUUAUUUUUCUAGUACUUAAAUUUGACACUUAUUCCUAAUAGGCAUAAUGACUUAUUUGGUCUUCCAAUUUUACAAAAGAUUUUAUUUUAAUCCUCAAUUUAAUUUUUCAUUUCUUUUAAUCCUUAAACUUGCAUUGCUUGUCAAAUCAACUCAAAAUGGAUGGCAAAAUUAACAUUUGUUAAUAUUGUUGAUAUUGCCAAGUAAGCAAUUAAUUUUUUAAAAUUUAAAAAUUCAAUUUUUUUAUAAAAUUUAUUAAAAUGAUUAAAAAAUUAUAAAAUAUAAAUAAAUAUUAAUUUUUCCAUCCAAUUUAGAUUAAUUUGACAAAAAACGGAAGUUAAGGGCUAAAAGAGACAAAAAAAUUAAAUGACGGCUAAAACAAUUUUUUCUAAAGUUGAAAGGCCAAAUAAAUCGUUAUACCUUCCUAAUCUGGUACUUAAAUUUUUUUUAGGUCCAAUUUAGUACAUAAACUUGACAACUUUUCUUAAUUUGGUACUUAAUAUUUUGUUCCAGUCCAAUUGGGUACUUGAACUUGUCAAAUGUUAUAUAAAUUACUUCAAUGUACUAAUAAUGUUAUUUUUAUUAUGAGGUUACAAAAAUAAUUAAUGUAUAGUAGAUGGUAUGAAUUUUUUUAUUUUAUUAAUUUAAAAUAAUGAAUUUAUUUUAUUUUGAAUUUUUGAAACUCUUAUUUUCUUAUUCAAUAUUAAUUCGUUAAACAUAACUCAAUGCAUAAUUUUUUAACACAAAUUUCCUCUACUACCAACAAUAUUUUUGUUAAAUUGAAAGCUUUGUGGUCCUUCUUAAAUUAUUCUUGCCAUUAACAAUCAAAAUAAUCUCAGCCCCAAUAUAAAGUAAUAUUUGAGCAUAUUGUUUACCGUAAUAUAAAGAAACCAAAUAAAAGUAACCAUUCCAUGUCAUUUAUCAUAUGUUACUCAUACAUUUUCUAUUUUUAUCAACUUAUAAAAAAAAUAACACUGUUAGUGUUUUGCAAUAAUCUGUAUAACAUUUGACAAGUUUAAAUAUCAAAUUCAACCUAAAAAAAAUUUAGGUAUCAAAUCAGGAAAAAAAUUUAUUAAAAUCAAUAAAAUUAUAUCUCAAAUUAAUAAAAAAAUUUGUCAAAUUCAAGUACCAAAUGUUAUAUUAAGCAUAUUACAAAACCCAAUUUUUUCUCACCUUCCGCAUUUGCCCUAAAAUUUCACAAAAAUAGGUUUCUUUCUCCCGUUUCUCUUCUUAAAUACCUUCUCGAUGUCUAAAAUUGAUACCUUAUUAAACUCGCGUUAUCUUAAUUUUUAAAAAUGCAAAUUUAAUUUAAUAUUUGAUUGUGAUCCAAAGAAAUGAAGAAAUUUAUUUAUACAUUUUUAGAGUAAAUUGCAUUUUAUUUAAAAAUAAAAAUAUCACCAAAUAUUCUUCCAUUAAUCACAAAAAUAUCAGGUUCUAUUUUGAUUUAGUCUAUGUAAUAGGACAUCCCAUUUUUAAUAAAAAUCAAUGACAUUUCACCCAACCUAUCCAUGAUUUAUAAUAAAUCUGAAAUUAAAUCAAGACAUUUUUUGAAAAAUUAGGUAUAUAUGUUGGUUUAAAAAAAGUAAGGUUUUAGGCCGUUUUAUUUGAAAAUUAGGGAAAUAAUGUGUUCUACACGGUGAGUUCUCACCCUCUCCUAUCAUGCCACCAGAAAUCACUUUUUGUAAAAAAUAAUAAUAAUAAAUUAAUGAUUAGAUUGAGUUUUGAAAACCCGAAAAUCCUGGAAUAAAAUUUACAUCUCAUCGUUUUCAUGGCAAAACAUGAAUAUUAUCUUUAAAAACUUCUCAAAAAACCGCUUCUUAUUAGAAAGUUUUUUUACUUGUCAUGACCGAUCUUUUCCAACAUUUUGAAAGAUUUUUCAUAUUCGGUGGUAGAGUUUCCUAUAAAAUGAAGAUUGAUAUGGAGAGAUUGUCAUAGUUAAAUUUUGAGCAUAAAAUUUACAUAAGGAGAAAAUUGUUGAUGUUAAAUAUCUUAAGUUUAAAAAUCGACCCAACAAAGUAAAUUAGAUCAAGUAAGCGUCGUUUGAAUUUGGUUAAUGAGUAUAUAUUUUUUUGUAUAAUAUUUUAGUUUUAAACAUGUGAAACAAGUUUUUUGGCGAAGAUAAGUAGACGAAUUAAAUUCGUUAUUUAUUAUGACGGUCAAAUUUGUUACACCGAAAUUAUGGUCAUUUUUGUAUCAACCCAAUAUACAGAAUUGGCUUUCAACUAGAUCAUCAAAUUGAAUGAGCUUCUGACAAGAAUUAGAAGGAAAGUCUCAGUUUCAAGCCAGAGGAGAAUUUCGAACUUGAAAUAUAUAUACCUAACAUCAAUCAUGUAACAACCUGAUUUUCAGUGGUAACGAAAACGGCGAUUCGAGGUCACCAAUUCCGUUGAGUAAGAUCGUAAAUUUUACUAUUUAGGAUUUAUGAGUCAAAUGUGGUUUUAGGAAGACUUUUGAAUUAGUAAUUUGUGUUUUAUAAGGAUUUAUUCAGUUAAAUGGUUUAGAAAAUGAGGUAUUGAGACCUCGAUUCUUUAAACCGAGCGUAAAUAUUUUUAUAAAUAUUUACGGAGUGGCAUUAAGGUAGUAUUAAAGUUUCGUUAGAAAAUUUUAAUGUUUUGAUAGCUAAUUAAUUAAAAAUGACUAAGUUAAAAAAAGGUGCAAAACUUGCUAAAGUGAUUAAAUAGCAUAAAUGGUAAAUAAGGGAGGACUAAAAGGACAAAUAUGUCAAGUGGAAUGGCUGAGGCGGCAUAAGUGUGAAAAAAAUAAUAAAAUCAUGUGAUUUAAGGGCAAAAUUGGAAAUAAAUAAAAUUCAAAUAUUAAAUUGAAAAACCUAAAAGCUUCUAGACAUUUUCUUCAUCAAUUUUCUGUCCAAAAACACCAUUUAAGAGCUCUCAAAGUUGGUUUUCAUAUUUUAGCUUCAUGUGAGUUUAAUUCUUGCCUUUUUCUUAUAAUUUUUAUGUUUUUAAGACUUUUACAAUUAGGUCCACUAGCUAUUUCAUCAGUUUUGUAUUUUAUUGAGAAUUUUAAAAGUUACCAUUGAUGAAUACUCGAUAUUUUUGAUGAAAUAACAUGGAUUUAGAGCUUCAAUUUUGUUGUAUGAUGAUUUUAAUAAGUGAUUUUGUUAGAUAUUGAUUUUAGGACUAAAUUGUGAAGAAUUAAAGAAUUAGGGUUUGGUAUUAAAUUUCUACGUAUCAAGGGAUGUAAGAUAGCCUAGAAUAUUUAGAUAAAUUAUCAAUUGAGAAAAAUUAGUUCAUUUGAUAGACUAAUUAGUAAGGGGACUAAAUUGAAAAAGUUGUAAAAAUUAGAGUAAUUGUGUAAUUUCAAAAAUUGAGGGUUAUUAAUUGUGAAGUGAAUUGGAACUGAAGUAUAUGCAACGGAUGAGUUAUUUUAUAUUUUAGAUCAAGAGCCCGUAGAUACUCGUGAAAAAGGGAAAUUAGAAGAAUAGUCUCUGAACUUUUACAAAUUUUACAAUUUAACCCAGGUAAGUUCGUAUGGUUAAAUUUUAUUAAUUAUAUUGAAUUGGUGAAUGAUAUUAUGUAUUUUAUUAUAUUGUUGAAAAAUGGAAUAUUGUUAAAUUAUAAAUUUGAAGUGAAUAUCCGGUUUAAAUGGAAUGCGGUAUUGAGCACAAUCGUUGUGUGGCGAAAGACAACAAAGGAAGAAUUGAUGAAAAAUCACCCAAGUAAACCGAGGUUCAGCAUUUGUUACGAACUUUCGUGUUUACUUUCCUUUUAGCUUUCACUAGCUUCUGUUUAACUCAUAUGAGUUUCCGUUUAGCUUUUUUGAGCUUCUGUUUAACCCUUAUGGGUUUCCAUUCAACUCUUAUGAGCUUUCGUUCAACCCUUAUGGGUUUCUGUUUAGCACUUAUGUGCUUCUGUUCAGCCUUCAGGCUUCUAAAAAUGAUGUACUCAUAUCUGUAAGUCGUUCUCCGAUUUGGUAAGACUUGGUAAGUGACUUAUGUAAUUGAAAUUGAAAAAUUUAUUGUUUAUUAUUGAUAUUGAUUUGAAAUAAGUGAGUUCAUUGAUUAAGGUUGUGAUUGACAAGAAGAUUGCAUGAAUAAUUUUGUAAAUUUGAUUUGUUAUAUUCGGUUCGGUAAGAUUUAUGUUUAACCUAUUAAACUUACUAAACUUCAUUAAGCUUACUUGUGUUGUUUAAUGUCCUUGUAGAUAAAGUGAGGUCGGGAGAUCGAAUCAACACAUCAAGUCACAUUAUCCAGCUCAUCCCGAUAGUCUUUGAAACGUAUUAUAUGGUUUAUAUGGUAUGUAUAGGGUUGGAAUGGUUUUAAGUAAAAUUAGUUUGUGCAAAUGUUAAAAAAAAUCACAUUUUGUUAUAUAUUUCCCAUCAACUUAUAUAUGUAUGGUUUAAUCAUGCUUGAUAUAUGUUUGGAGUGGUUAAAUGAUGGAUAGCUUAUAGGCAUAUAGGUGAAUGUGUAAUAUAUUUUAAUUGGCAUAAUAAAUCAAAUAUGUGAUUUGAUCAAUACGGUAAAUUAAAAAUGUUAGGAUGUAGGUGGUAAUAACAUAUGUUUUAAGCUUGAUAGUUGUAUUGAGGGAUUUGUUAUGGCUUAUGAGAGUGUAAUUUGAAGUGUUUAGGUUGGAAUUUAAAUGGGUGAGAAAAGUGGCCUUGAAAUGGCCAAUUUUCGUCCACACGAGCAGAGACACGGGCGUAUGUCUUAGUCGUGUGUCACACACGGCCAAGCACAUGGGCAUGUGGUCUAGCCAUGUGUCCCCUGCAUUCUUAAAAUUUAGAAAUAGAAUACUCAAGUUUUUGCACACAACCUAGCACAUGGGCGUGUGGCUUGGCCGUGUGACCCCUACACCUUAAUUUCAUAACACACGGCCUACCACACGGGCAUGGACACAGGCUAGGACACGACCGUGUGCCUCACAUCGAAAGCCCACACGGCCUAAGACACGGGCAUGUCUCUUGGCCCUAUGAGCCACAUGGCCUGACCACACGGCGUAUGUCCCCUGCACCUAAGAAAAAAAUUUAAAAUUUUGGGAAAAUUUCUUUGAGUUUUCGAUUUAGUCCCGAUUUAUUUUUGAUGUGUAUUUUGGGCCUCAAGGGCUCAUACAAUGGACAAUAUAAGUGAUUUAUGAUUGGUUAUGAUAGGUAUAUUAAAUGUUAUGAAAUUUUUGUAUUCAAAUUUGAAAAGUCCAGUAAUGCUCCGUAAUACUGUUCCGGCGACGGAUAAGGGUUAGGGGUGUUACAAAUGAACUCUAUUAGAUAUGAUAAAUUUGAGCUUGAAAGUGACAUGGAUGUCGAGUUAAUCCUCAAUAUGUAUUGCUUUACUAAAAAAUCUAUAAUAGAGUUAUAUGUCUAAUUUGCCGAUAUCGAGAAAGGUGGUCCGAGUUUGACAAUAGUUCCAAUUAAUUUGUUACGAUAAUGAAAAGUAAAAAGUCCAACCACACAGCUAUGUGGUGGUUUCAUGAUGUUGUUACAAAGCUCAUAUCAAUGAAUGUCGAAAUCAUCAAUAGGAAGGCAUUCCUCGGUUUCAUCCUUCGAUUUUAACUUUAGUGUACAAUUGAGGUUAGUUGAUAACCCAAACGUAAAGACCCAGGCAUGACAUUCUGUAAGUGCUUUUGAUUUCAACUUCAAAAUACUGAUAUUCUAUUUUGGAAACACUUAUCUGGGUAUGCUAUCAAGUUACACGGAUGGGCAAUCCGUAAGUAAUAUUGAUUUUAACUCAGGGUUGACAAAUACGGAUGAUGUUCUCCUUACAACCUGCACCAGCAAAGGGAUAUCCAACCCUAGACAUGAAACCAUAAUUGGGAUUGAUAACAAAGAGGAAGUUGAAAACAAAAAAGAGAUGAAAUCAAUGAUGACCCAAUCCGGGAGUCCCAAUUGAAUGGUUCAUAUUUGUAUUAUUUUUUGAACCAGAGGCUAAACCUAUUGAACCAGAAGGGAAUGGUUUUGACAGUGAAGGUUUGGACAAUGCUAGAGGAACCCAACCAAAUUUUACAAGUUGGAAUAGAGUUUUCCUCCAAAGAUGAUGUUGGGAUAGUGAACCAGUAUAACAUAAAGCAUGGAGUCCACUUUGAUGUUACAAAAUCGUAAGUUAAAAAAUAUAAGACGAAGUGUGCAAUGCAUGAAAGUAGAUGUCCAUGAAAAAUCAUCUGAAAUGAAAUGAAGGUGAGAGUCUAGACAAUUAAAAAAUAUGACGCUCAACAUACUUGUGUUGUUGCAGGUAUGUCACAAGAUCAUCUGAAAUUGGAUUCUGACCUUAUCUCUAACAUUGUCUUAUCUAUAGUGAAAUAUUUGUGUUGUUACAUGUAUGUCACAAGAUCAUCCAAAAUUGAACUCUUACAUUAUCUCUCGCAUUGUCUUACCUAUGGUGAAAGUGAAUCCUAAGAUUCACGUACCAAUUUUGAUUGUUGAUAUUUGUAAUGAGGACGAUUGUACCAUGUCGUACUACAAGACAUGAGUUGCAAAACAGAAAACAAUGGAAAAAAUGCAUAAUGGGUGAAAUAAAUAAUAUAACUUAUGACAAUGGUUGAAGGUAUUGAAUCAAGACAUCCCAAGUACUUUCAUCGGUCUGCAAAUGGAGUCUAUGUAGCAUGGAAAUUAAUCUGUCAUAAUUUGAUAUGUCAAAUUAGGCUUCCCAUUAUGCUUAAAGAGCUUGUUUUUUUAGCAAUUUAUAUGUUUUUUUCGUGUUUUUACUUAGUUUUCGUUCUUUGCUUGAAUAAGUGAUAUAGUGUGUUUUAUGCCACUUUUGAGACUCAAAAUGAUCAAAUGUGCCAUAGAGAACCUAAUGGUUGAUUGAGCGUUGUAGGGAGUCAUAGGAGGCCCGAACAUGAGUGAAAACAUCACCUAGAAAGGGGUAUCGCGAUAUUGAAGUAUGAAAGUCAUGAUACCCCUAACAGUGCUAAAUUAAAAAGGAUCGAGGCCAUCCACAUUGGUAUCACAAUACCAACUAUGAGUAUCAUGAUACCCAACUCCCAAGGAUUCCUCCAAGUCAAUACCAACGUGGGUAUCGUGAUACCCCUGACGAGAAGAGACAAAAAAUGAUUGUAAGGGCAGACUUUGUCCAACUUCAACACCAAUAAAAAAUACACACUAAAGGGCAGUUUGGGCAUAAAUGUUAGGCCAAGAAAAUGCUAAAAUAGGCUAAAUUUGGCUGAAAGAAAAGAGACACUUCACAUUAGCUAGUUUUUACAUUUUUCUCUUCAUUUUUUAGAGUUUAGUUCUUCUUCUCCAUAACUUAAUAUUUAUUUUCAUGUUCAUUUCUAGUUUUUCUUAGUUCCAUUGCUGGUAGUUAAGUUAGUUUUUAUUAUAGCUAGGAUUUAUUUACUCAUUUAGCACUUCAAACUUCAUUGUAUUUUCACUUUAAUCCUAGUUUAAUGUCAUUUAGUUUUCCUCAAAUUUCUUUGUUAAAAAUCAUUCCUUUAGUACUUUCAGUCACUUAUCUUGCCGCCAUUGUUGUCUUCUCCAAGCUUUUGCAAGAAAGCUUGGGUUUUUAUUUAUUUGCUUUUGGUUUAAGCUAAUGUUAGUUUUGUUUGAUUCUUUGUUGUUAAUAGGUUUAAAUAUAAGCAUGAGUAGUUAAACCCUAAGUGAUUGGUUAAUAAAAAUGAUGGAUAACUGAUUUUUCUAUUUGAAACGAUCCCACACUCGGCAGACGUGAACUUGAGGAUAGUAGAGAAGACUACUCGGUCGAAGUAUUAUACUAGACGAAUCGAAAAGGUACAAUUUUGAUUAAGUGUUUAUUACUUUAGAUAUCACAACUAAGAUCUUAUUUUGGAAAAUUUUUAAAACUCUGGUUUUCCCUAAAUUUAUUUUUUGUUGCGUUUUCCAAACUCGUUUUUUCCAACAUUGUGAUAUCCAAGUGACAAGGAAACAUCCUAUUUCAAUACUGACGACAAUAUCGCGAUAUCCAACCCUAGGUAUUGCAAUAUCAUUGUCGUAAGGGAACAAAAAAUGAUGCCAUGGGUAAUUUUUGUCCAACUGAAACACCAAUCAAAGAAGGCCCGUUCAAAGGCAUUUUGGUCAACAAAGUGGAUCAAAAUUUGUUGCUAAAUCAACCAAAAUUGGCUGAAGAGAGUGAGAGGCUACACUAGUUUAGUUUUUUGCUUUAGUUUUCUCUUAGAUUUUCUUCCCCAUUUUCUAGGGUUUCUUCUUAUUAUCUUCUUCCUUAGUUGUAGUUAUUAUUUUUCCUACAAUUUCUUGUUGUUCUUAGUGUUAGUUAAGUUAGCUAGUAUUGUAGCUAGGGUUUAUUUGCACUUUCAGCCCAUUUACUUCACUUGUAUUGACACUUUCAUCUUUGUUUAAUGCAUUUUCAGUUUCUUUAUUUUACUAUUAGAUGUUCAUCUUUGUUUUGCUCUAAAGUUUUCUUCAUUAAAAGUCCCAACUUUAUCAGUUUUCUUAAGCUUUCCUUUUAUGGUUGUCAUGGUUGUUAUUUUUAUGUUUGUUAGUUUAGUUUUCAACAUGAGUAACUAAACUCCUAAAGAGGUUGGUUGAUGAAGAUGUGGUUAAGCUGAUUUUAGGUUAAGGGACUAAAUUGUAACAAAUUAGACUAAAUUGAAUGAACAUAAAAACUUAGGAUUGAUGACCCUAAGGGAAGAUUGCAAGUGAGACCGAUCAGUAAUCCUGUUGGGCACUAAUUCUUUAGUUCCGGGUUAGCCGGCAAGAUCAAAAGAUAAACUGAACUAAUUCGUAUAAUUUGGUAAAGUUGAGAUCGAAACGUAAAACGGAACCACUUUAGGAGUUUAUGCAAUUUAGGACUUAAUUAAAUGAUUAGUGAACCACAUCGAAGCCAUCCAACCACCUCUUGUUAUUUAUUUGUGAAUUUCAUAACUUUACAUCCUUUACAAUUUAGUCCUUUAGGUUGUUAACAGAUAAUUGAUCUGUCGUAAUUUGGUGUAGCAGAUUAAACUAAUUUUCGUACUUUAGGAGCUUGAAAACAAGUAUUAUCAUUAGGUUUUAAUUAUGUUUUAGUAAAUUUAAUUAAAUUCAAUAAAAUAUGCAAAUUGAGUCUUUUAUUGACCUUAUAGGCUGAAUGAGGCCUAAGGGUGACCUAAUGAACUUCAUGAGUGUACAGGAGACCAUUAGAAGGUAUGUUGAACCGAUACUAGCUGCUAUGUCACAACACAGAGGUUCGGUGUCACAGUACAGGAAGCAGAAUGAAGGAAUUUCGAGACUGCCUUCGAUGUCGCGACAUAGCCUGAGUGUGUCAUGACAUAUCCCUAAAGACGUCUUGAAGAAGAGUAUACUGACUUCUACGUCGCAACACAAAUACUGAUGUGCCGCGACAUUGACUCUGGACAAGAAUUAAUACAAGUUAGAGGACCUUUUGGUCUGCACAAUCAAAUUUAAAGUUCGGGAAUGUCAACUAACCAGGGUUAAGGACGACGGUUACCUCAAAUCUAUAAAUAAGCUCAUUUGCCACAUGUUAUGGGUAUCAAUUACUUAGCUUAGAAUCUCUCUUUAAAUUCCAGUUUAGCUUUUCUCUUUUCUUAGGUUUUAGAUUUAUUUUCUGUUUGUUCUUUGUUUUAUUUCAAGAGAUCUGAUUUGAGGAUACAAUCAACUCUUGUGGAUUCACUUUUAUUGACAAUACAAAUCAGUCUUUUUCUUAAACUCUAUACUUUUGGUUCACUUAUCAUGUUUACAGUUUAUAUCGACUCUAUACUGUUUAUGAAAACUAUAAGGAACUAAUCCCUCUAUGGGGAAUUAGUGAGUGGAGGUAUGAUAUAUUAACUAUUUUAUAGGGUUACUCAACGAAUCAGCUGUUUGGGAAAGAAAGAACCUAAACCCUAAGCUUGGCGACCUUAGGAAGUCAUCAAUGUAGGAAUUAACCCAAAAUUGGUCGGAAGAUAAAUAGUCCUUACUGACUCGUUCUAGUGGACGUAUCGAAAGGUCCUACUAGGAUAUCGACUAGUUGAUUGACAAGAAACCCAAAAGGACAGUUGAUGAAGAUUACAGAAGAGCUAAUCACCCAUAAUCAGAUCUGAUUAAUUCCACUAUUCAAUUUGUUGAUAUUUAUUUGCUAUAGUUUAUUAUCAUAAAAAUCCCAAAAAUCUCUGUACAACCAAAAUUUGCCCAGGCCCAAUGUCAAACAAAUAAAACCUAAACCAAAUAAAUAAAAUCAAAGCCCAAUUCAAACCAGCCCACUAUUCAAUCAGACCAAUCCAACAAAAACCUUAGUAGCCCACAACCCAAUACAACAUAAACAUUUAGCAGAAAAGAAGAAAAGAAAACCCUAGCUUCCAGCCAAAUCAAGGUGCCGCACGCCUCACCAGCCUCCUCGCUACCACCGCCACCGGCGCCAAUCGUUGGCCCUCCACGCGUGUCAGACACCUGCAAAGAGCAAUAAACACGCAAAAGAAGAAGACAACAACAACAAUCCAAGGCACAAAACAACAAAAUAAAAGUUUAGGGACUUUAAAAUUGGUUAUAUAAACUGAAUACAGGCACUGUAAUAGCUCCUCUCGGUUUUUUUACGAACAUCUAAAUAAAAAACAAGAAAAGCAGAGAAAUUUCGAAAGGAAAAGCUUUAUUUCGGUUCUUGUUUCAAUUUUAUUGUUUUUAUCUCUUUUUAUUUUUUUAUCUCUUUUAUUUUCGUUUUUUGUACUAAAAUAAAAAAGGAAAAGAGAGAAGCGUACCUGAAACGUGCCACGGCCACGUCGUUGGGGGGUCUUCCCUUAGUCGCCGAAAUUGGCCGUUAACAGCGAGGCCGGAAGUCGGGGGGUCUCUGGCUCGUUCGGGUACUUUCGCUUGACUUUUGAAGAUUUUGGCUUCAAAACGGGCAUGGGGAGGUUGAUUGGAUCAAAAUGGCUUCUUUUCUGGGACUCCGACCGCCGUAUACGGCGGCCACCGCCGUCGCCGGCCGACGGCCAUGACGGACGAACGUUGGCCCCAUGGCCGGAUCUUGGGCAAUGCCCAGAGAGAAAAUAAAGAGAAAGAUUUUAUUUUUUAAAAAAAGAGAAGCAAAUAGCCUUUUUUUUUUAAAAAAAAAACUCUGCCUUUAUAGCACACCAAAACGGCGUCGUUUUGGGUUUUAUUUCCAAUCACCAAAACGGCGCCGUUUCAACAAUAACCCAGAAUCUGACCCGAUGACCCGACCCACGGGGCUAGGAUCCGCGUGUUUUCUAGCGCAUGGGUUAUUUGCGCAUUAGGUCCUUUUGCAUUUUCGGCGUAUUGCAAUUUGGUCUCUUUUGCUUUCUUUUCUUUUAUUUUAAUUUUUCCACAUAAUUUUAUUUCUGUUUCAUUUUAAUCCCAUGCGAAACUGCGCGUUUAGAUGCUUUGGGAUAAUUUCCCUUUUGGUCCCCUUUUUUCAUUUGUGCAUUUAUUUUAGCCCUUUAUCUUUGUUUUACUAUUUUUAUAAUUUUUAAUUUAUACCCCGAAUUUUAAAUUCCAUUUCAAUUUCAUCAUCAGUCCUUUUAAUUUAUUUAUUUAUUAAAAAAUGCUCUUUCAUCAUUAUUUAUUUUAAGUUUUUAUAUUUACUAUUUAUUUGAAACUGUUUUACAUAUGAUUUAUUUAAAUUUCUUUUAUAUAUUGUUUAUUGUAAGCUUAUGUAUAUAUUUUUCAAAUUGUUAUAUAUAUAUAUAUAUAUAUAUAUAUAUAUAUUUAUUUAUAUAUAUAUUAAAAAAAAUUGUUUUCUAUGUUUAUAUAUAUUUCUAUUUUAAUUAGCUUCAUUGUUAUUUUAUUUUUUUAUAUAUUCUGUUAUUUCGGAUCAUUUAUUAUUUAUUUUUAAUUGUCUCUAUAAAUUAUUUAUUUUAAGUUAUUAUUUUCUUUAAUUGAUUUAUAUAUUAUUUUGUCUCGUUUACUUUGCUUAUUAAUAUUUGUAUUUGAUGUGUUGUGUAAUUAUUACCAUCAUGUGUAUUAUUUCGUUUACUCGUAUUUACAUGCUAUAGUGAUUCAUUCGUUUAAUAUUUUGGUCGUAAACAAUUUCUCCAUGUUGUAUAUUAUCAUUCCAUCGAUAUAAUCCUUCAUCUGCAUAUUGUUUUUAACAUUACAUCAAUUUUUACCCAAAUUCGUAAAAAAGGAAAAUUUUGGAAAUAAAGGCAAUACUCGAUACUUGGGAUCUUCGAGAGAAUUGGGCCCUAACAUGCUGGGUUCUAAUUUUUUUCGUUGAAUCUAAAUAAUCGAGAAUGCUCUUUAAUAAAAAACAUAAAUAAAAGCUCAUUAUCGGGAUUUCAAUACGUUGUGCAUUGGAUAUGACACGUUGUUUUCUCGAUACGAGGAUUUUUCGAAAAUGAAGGCCAUAUUCCGUAUUUAGAAAAUUUGAGAAAAUCGUGCCCUAACUUACUGAGCUUCGAUUUUUCUCGCGUUGAUCCUAAAUAACCAAAUAUCCUUUAAAAAUUAAAAUAAAUGAGGUUUAAACAAAAAAUAAAGGCAAGCUUACUCUCGAAAAUAAGAUGUGUUGUGUCCUAACUUACUGGACGUGACAUCUUGUUACUUCGAGAUAAGGAGGCAUUUUCCAUUUUGAUUUAUUCGAGUAAUUUUAAAGUAACGAAAUAUAAAGAGGGAUCAUAUUUUUAAAUUCUUUUCGAGUUUUUAAUUUUCGACACCAAGACAUUAAAUAAUAGACUAGGUACCAAUUUUGGGCGUAUUGAGGGUGCUAACCCUUCCUCGUGCGUAAUCGACUCCCGAACCUAUUUUUCUGAAUUUCGUGGACCAAAAUCGUUAUUUUAAUAAAAUCUAAAUCGUUUUUAAAAACAACCGUUUUACGAGGUGACCCAAUCACACCUCAUCAAAAAAAAGAUUGGUGGCGACUCCCAUUUUUAUUUUUAUUUUUUUAAAUCCAGUCGACCCAAUUUUAUCAAAAAAUGGUGUCAACAAUCUCUUUUAUUUAUAUUUGCGUAAUGUAACCUAUUUCGAGUACUAAUUAUAUAUUUUGGUGUCUAGGUUAAAAUUAAUCUAGCACUAGCCUCCCUUGGGUACGAACACAACUAGACCCGUAUACUUGUGGAUACAACUUUAUUUAUAUAUCUUUAGUAGUUUACCCUAAAAUUUAAAAUAAUAUAAAAUUAUUUUUACAUUAAUAUUUAUAUUUUUUAUAGUUAAUUUAAAGAAAAUAUUUUUUUACCAUAUAGAAAUUAAAUUGAAUCAGACCCACCCCGUAAAAUCUAGUUAGGUGAAUCACACAUUUUGCUCUUGCAUUACCAACAAAAUUAUAAGAGAUUUUUUACAAACAAGAUAAAUCCCUUUUAGAAUCACAGCAAAUCAACAAUAGUGGCAAAAAGGAAAAAUAAAAUAAUAACAAAGGUUUGUAAAACACCAUUUAGCACUCCACGCCACAUUGUUUAAGAACUGGACCUGUUUGUUUGGGCAAGAAGGGAUCGAUCCGUACCCAAACAAGUGAGAAAAUCGAUGCCAAAAGUACGGACCAAAGCACAACAAUGGUGGGCGUCCUGUUUUGUCUCCCCAUCAAACCUUUGAGGAAUGGGUAAAGAUGAAGAAUGACCCAGAAUGCGAAGAACAGUUUGCCAAACAAUGGACCCCAUGAACCAUAGCCGUUGUUGAUUGCGUCUGAAACUCCGGCCACAACUCCGACCAUGUUCAGUAUUAUCAGAGUUGUGGGAGGGAUUAAGAGAGUUGUCCAUUUGAAGAGAUAAAGUUCACCGAAUUCUGUGUCCUCUGCUGCUUUUGCUGUUACGGUGAAGUUGGUGUCUACUCCAGCUAGGACUUUGAGGAGGCCUUGGAAGACGGCGAAAAGAUGGGCGGAGACACCUCCGAUCACCCAGAAUUGUUCAUUGCGCCACCAGUCUUGGAUGCUAACCCCGCUCCAUCGAAGUUCAAGCACUCCAGUUGCAAUGAUGGAGAGGAAAAGUGCUAAGAACCACACACUUGUAAGGUUGCUUAGCUGCAAGAAAACCACUACUUGUCAAGCUUACAGAAUCAAGCAAAAAAAAACCCGCCCCAUUGCAUUGCCAUCCUUAGCCAAAUUCGUAAAAUAAUGACAGUAAAUACUUACAGUUGGGAUGAUGAAUUUGCCAGUGAGGAGACAAACAGCUGGAAUAGUACAAUAGGCGAGUAAAGGGAUCGAGGUGAAAGGGUAAACAAUGGUGUUGAUAUAAGCAAGCCUCUCGAGCCAUUUCAGUUUUCCGCCAUAACCAUACCAAAGUGGACAGUGACGACUAAGGAAAAUUUCUACAGAACCAAGUGCCCAUCUCAAAACUUGGUGCAACCGAUCCGAGAGAUUGAUUGGAGCGGACCCUUUGAAUGCCGGUCUUUUCGGUACACAAUAAACCGAUUUCCACCCUCUACAAUGCAUCUUGAAACCUGUUAAAAUAUCUUCCGUCACCGACCCAUAAAUCCAUCCGAUCUGCAAUGCCAAUAAUACAGGCUCGUUAAUGCGUAAAUUGACUCCUGACCUAUAUGAAAUGUAUUGAAACAUAACAGUUGCAAAUGGCAUUAGUCCAUUGAAGUAAUCCGUUGAAAUAUAUAAUAUUACUCGCCUCUUUGCCCCACUCAGUUUUUUCUUCAUAACCACAGCUAAUUACGUGAAUGGCUUCUUUAAUCAGUGAUGUGGAAUUAGUUCCUUCAGGAAGGCCACCAUUUUCCAUCAAAGUUGAGGCAAUGAAAACCGGUGAUUGCCCGAAUCGUUUCUCGAAAUUCUUCUGCGACAUUAACGACGAUUUCUCCAAUUCUUCAAAUCCUUCAAGCCCUUCUUCGAUUUCUUCGAGAUCAAAGACUGGCGCAGACCCUUUCUUCACAUAGUUUUUGCCCAUCAUCUUCUUCUUCUUUUUUCCGUAUAAAAGACCUCCGAGUAAGCCCUUCUUUUCACCUUUCUUCUUUGAUUUCUUCCUAGAACCUCUGCAACAACAGCAACACCAAGAAGGCCAGCAAUCACAUGUCAUCUUCUGUCGUUUCUCAGAGACUGGUGGAUCGUAGCCAUACAAUGCCUGCCUGUUGAAAACACACCCUGUGCCUACAUAUACAGGGCCUUGAAGUCCAUCUAAUCCCAACAUGUUGAUCUAUAUAAAUCGAAAAUGAUGUUUUAGGCACUAAUUUUUUUUAAACCAAAAUUUUAAAAAAUGAUGAAUGAAAGUGAGUCAUACAUCAAAGAAGACGACGUUUCGAUUAGCAUAUCGAUCAUGACGAUCAAUACCAUCAAAUCUCUGUGGAAAUUGAACAUAACAAAGCUUCUUUCCAAACUGAGGAUCCAUUAAAAAGCACAUCGCUUCCCUCAUGGCCUUACUAUUGUUGAUGUAAUGAUCACAAUCCAGAUUCAAUAUGAAGGGUGCAUUAGUAAGCACUGCAGAAACUCGAACCUGCCGAUGGCAUACAUGACCCAAACAAGAUCAACAAUGAAUAUGAUAAAAUGGUAAACAAUUACGAUUCAUAUUCAGUAGUUUCACUUUUCAAAAACCAAACGAAAAUUAGACCAGAAAAUGAGUAAAUCACCAGAGCAUUCUCAGCACCGGCUUUCUUAUGGUGCUGAUAACCAGGUCGUUUCUCACGAGAAACAUAGACAAGUCGAGGCAGCUCUUUGCCAUCCACAUCAAGUGCACCGGCACUUCCUAGAUAGACCUGUGAAAAUAAAGAAUUACGUGGUUCAGUUCGGAUGUCUAUGGGAAAAGAUCCAAAAGGUUUACAUUGUAGAUAUUAUGAAUCCUAUCGUAAUCUCUAUAUUACCUGAAUCAUUCCAGGAUGAUCACGAGUGUUAUUUCCGGGCCAUGGGGUGCCAUCUUGCAUCACCCAUCCUUCUUCUGGUUUCUUCUGAGCUUUUGCUACUAAUGCAUUGAUCCUUACUUUAAAUUCUUCAUAUUCCCUCUACAGUAACAUAAGAAAUAUAUAUUAAACCCUUGUUAACUUGUGAACAAGAACUAUGAAGUUACAAGUUACUCGAGCUCGAUGACAAAAUUCGAAUUCUUUUAUCAAGUUGAGCUCAAGCUCAAGCAGCUCAAGCUAUCAAAUAAGUCAAAUUUGAAUUCAAUAUUCUAAUGCUUGGCUCUAGCAACUAGCAAGCUUCUAAUUAGUAUUAAAACUGAACUCAGGCUCAAACACAAAUAAUCGAAUUUAAAGUUGAGCAUAAGAAUAAGCUCAAAUUUCACUAGGUGAACGAGUCUAAUCAAGUGAACUCGAACGGGUCCAACCAUUCAAUUUAUAGCUCGAAUUUAGCUCAAACUUUAAAAUUAAAACUUGAUAUAAUUAAGCCUAAUCGAUCAAUUCGAUCUUUUUUAUACUUUACCAAACUCAAAUCUAAUUUCAAUUCGAGACGUAAGCUCUAACUCCUUGAGUUCGAUUCAACUGUACUCGAGCACACACAGAAACACAGCGAAUAGGCAACUUACUUUCAUGGCUCUCCGUUCUUUAACAAAGCUAGGAUGGACCUUGUCCUUCAAAUAAUCAAUCUUCUCAUUGAAAUAAAACUCCGGCGCCCUGGGCUCAACAUUAUGCUUCUUACAAAACGGAACCCAUCUCCUCGCGAACUCAGCCGUUUCAGACAACGAAUCGAAAAGAAGCAUGGAAGCACCAUCGUCCGACACAUAACAACACACUUUCUCGACCGGGUAAUCGACGGCCAAGAUCGAUAGAACCGUGUUGGCCGUUAUGAUGGGGGGUUCCUUGAGAGGGUCGACGGUACUGACGAAGACGUCGACGGCGCCAAGUUGAUUGGGCUCUCCUUCACGCUCGAACCUCAAGGAGAGGCGAUCGAGGUAAGUUUCGCGAGUAAUAGGGAACCAUUUGGGGAACUGAUCGAGAAUCCAGGAGAAGGCGAACCAAACUUCGCAGAUGACAGAGAUUAGCCAUAACGGGUAAGCGUCGUAGGCGGGUGUUAGAAUACGGAACCGGAGGAAAAAUGCGAGGAUGAAGAAUCGGAGAACGAUGACUAUCCGGUAAGGGCUUAUCAGACUUGACGAAAUUGGCACUUUUCGCCAUAGAGGUUGGCGAGCUUCAGCCAAGCUGCAAAAAGUGAUUAUAUUACCAUAAUUAUUCGAAAUAAAUUAUCUUUGUCUAAUAUUUUAGUAAGGUUGAGUUUUUAUAAUUAGCAAUUUAAAAAAUUUUAAAAUUAAGAGAUUAAAUUUUUAAAAAUAAAAAUAAAGAGGAAUUUUUUAAAAAAUUAAAUAUGCUUUUUUUAUUUUUAAAAAUAAAAUAUUGACUUACAGAUAAUCAUCUUCUUCAGGAGGAUCAUUUCCGCCAUUAUCGUUGCUUACCAAACCUCUUUUUUCUUGCCUGACUUUCCAUUUCUCAACUCUUUCUUUCCAUUCUUCGCUUCCGUAAAUCUCUUUAUCCCCUUCCAAAUCCUUCCCCGCCGCUGCCCACAUCAAUUUAAACACUCAUACUUCGCAAUCUUAUUCAAAUCCAAUUUAAAAAUUAUUCAAAUCGAGAUUGCUUGAAUUGCGCUACUUACUGCUUCCGGCAACUGAGAAAGCUUGACCAUUGGGAUGCCAUUGAUGAUUAUUAUUAUUAUACUCCUCAUUUUCCUGCAAAUAUUAACCAUUGUUUUUUUUUUUUAGAAAACUAUCUGAUCGAUCGUAUUGUUCUUUUUUCACCUUAAUUUUUUUUUUUCAAAUACGUACAUGUUGUGGAUGCGAGUCAUCCUUGCGGUUCUUAAUCUGAAAUUCAUCAUCAAAAUCAUCUUGAUCUGAAUCAUCUUCUUCAUCUCCUGAAAUUCUUGGACUACCUGCGGAACAACAAAACACGAAGCAAUAUUAUAUAUAUGUACGUAAGUACAUGUGAGAAGGGUUAAAACAAAUUAGGGCUAAUUGCACUAUAGUCCUCUGACUAUUUCCUAGAUUCUACAUUGGUCUGUGAAUUUUAAAAUGUCUUAAUUGAAUCUUCAAAAUAUAUCAUUUUAUCAACCUAACUUACACAUCAACUUAAAUUUGAGGUGGAUCAUAUUUAAAACACGUGUAUCAAAUUGUAAACAUGUAUACACUUACCGUAUAGACAACUUAGAUCUAGCAUGUAAUGUUUUAAAUCAAAUCACUAGUUUUCGGUUCAAUCAAUUCGACUAUUGAUAUAUAAAUAAUUAAUUAAAAAAUUAAAAAAAUAUAUUUAAGAAAUUAUAAAUUAUUUCAAUUGCUGAUUUUUUAUCUCGAUUUUUAGGUUUUUUACCAGUUCCGAGUGACUCACUCAAAGGCCAGUUCAAUCCCUUUGUUCGAGAAGGAAUAACUCUCUUAAAUUUUAUUGCCUUGCCUCUUUCUUUUUUUUUUCUUUUUUUUAACAAGUAAGAUCUAAGUUAUUUAUGUAAUAGAUAUACACUUAUUUACAAUUUAAUUCAUGUAGAUCCAAACUUGCAUCUAAUAUCUAAAUUAAUGGUUAAGUUAACUAAAGGACCUAAAAUUAAAAUAAUCCAAAAAGUUUAGAAAUCAACAAUAAUUUGGAGACGUCUAUGAAUUAAAAUAUAAAACCUUUGUGACGCUUAUAGCGAGUAUUGCACUGAGGACAGCACUGGUUUCCUUCACUCCUUUCAUAUUCAUAACAAGGGCGGCAAACCGGGAAAGCACAGACAUGACAAGCCACGAACGGUUGUCCGUUUUCCUUUUGCCCGAUCUUAUCCCCACACACUCUGCAUAUGUUCGUUGAUGAUUGAUGUGUCGAUGAUCCCCGAUUCUGCCAUCAUCAUAAUCAACAAACACAUAAUUCCACACACUAAUAAUUAUAAAACAGAGAAAGAAGAAGAAGAGAAUACCUCGUCGACAGCAAGUGAACCAAAGCCAGCAGCCAUGGUGGUUGAAGCCAUGGCAAAACCAAAAGAACGAAAGAGAAAGAGAAGGUGAAGAUUGAAGGGAGAGAAAGGGAGAAGAAGGGUAUUAUAAGGUGGCAGUGUGUACCAAACUGUAAGUUGGGAAGUCGUAGGUUUGAGUCUAAGAGACGUUACCGGUGAGAGCGGUAGGGUGUUUUUUUCUUUUUUCUUUUGUUGAAUAGCUAGCUUCGAUUCAAAGGGAGGGACAUCGUCUCACCUCGCCAUGCCUAACAACGAUUUUUAAAAUUUGGGAUAAAGCAAUAUUUACUCCCUGACAUUGUUAAUAGUUUUCAAUUUGAUCCCUAAACUUUUUCUUGGUCCACAUUUUUUUUCGAUUUGAUCCCUGAACCUGGAUUUCAUUAAAGUAUGAUGGUGCGAUCUUCACCUAUUUUUUUUUGAAUUACAUAAAUUAAAAAUACGAAAAAAAUUAAAAGAUGACAUGAUACAAUCUUAAAGCGCGACUAAAAAUUAACCAUGUUUAGAGAGUAAUUUUUACUUUAUCCUUUUAAAUUUCGAUGGUUGAAUUGUGAUUCUAGUCUCACUAUUUAAAAAUAUAUAUAUAAUAUGUUAGUUCAAAUAGAUAAUAUCAUUAAUUACUGUAUUAAUAUGGAUUUUUUUUAAAAAAACACACAUUCUCGUGGACUUUUUUAUGAUGGAAGUUGUGUUUUUGAAAAAAAAAUCCACAUAAUUACAAUUUUAAUGAAAAUAGUUAAUGAUGUUAUUUAUUUGGACUAACUACUAAGAAUAUAAAAAUUAAAAGACUAAAUUAUAAUAAAUUAAAAUAUAUAGAUUAAAUCUCAAUUUUGAAUAAGGACCAAAAUCAUAAUUUAACCAAAAUUUUAUAUUUUAUAUAUAUAUAUAUAUAUAUAUAUAUAUAUAUAUAUAUAUAUAUUANNNNNNNNNNNNNNNNNNNNNNNNNNNNNNNNNNNNNNNNNNNNNNNNNNNNNNNNNNNNNNNNNNNNNNNNNNNNNNNNNNNNNNNNNNNNNNNNNNNNGUUAUCGUACCGAAAGAAGCAUUUUACAACUUUUCUAUAACUUUUAUUGAUUUUUAUUUUUUUAUCAUUUUAUGUCACAUGUCACUUUAUGUUGCGACACGUGAUGGUUUUAAUUGAAAAAAAUUGGGGGUCGUUAACUUUAAUAGUUAACUGUUAAAGGGCAUUUUUAUGCAUUUUAUAAUCUUUUUUUAUGAUUUUUAUAAAAUUUUAUAAUUUUUUUCUAAUAUUUAAUAAAAAAUAAAUAGUUUUAUUUUUUUAAUAUUUAAAAAAUAUUUUUUUAUUUUUAUUUUUUUGGCACAUGUCACAUCAUAGUUGUGAAACGUGGAGACUUUAAUUGAAAAAAAUUAGGGGUGAUUAGCUUUAAGGUCAAAUGACCUUUUGAUUUAUUUUGGAAAUUGAGUGCAAAAAAAAAAGUAGGGGCUUAAUUAUUUUUUUUUGAAAAGUUUGAGAGCAUUUUUGAUAUAUUUUGGUAGUUCAAAUACUUAAAUGAAUGAAAAAAAAACAGGGGCUUAAUUGUUUUAUUUUUUUGAAAAAGUUUGAGAGCCUUUUUUAUGUAUUUUGAAAGUUCAAGUACCCAAUUGAGUAAAAAAAAGCAGCAACUUAAUUGUCUUUUCUUUUUUUUGAAAUGAUGCAAAAUGUUUAAGUAAUUAGUAUAACACGUUUAAUAGAUACGGGCGAAUUUUAUAAUUAGAAUUAUUUAUAUUGUAUUUAUAUUUAUACAAUUUAUCAAAAAAAAACACAAAUUAUUCUCUUUUUUAUUAAACCAAUACGUCCCUUUCCCAUUCUUAAAAUUCCAAAAAUUUAGCUGCCUUUAUAUGAAUUUUGGGUUGGAAUGUAUUGUGGUAAUGUAUAGCACAUAAGGUUUGGUGGAUGUGUUGUCAUUUUUCUUACAAGGCAGAGCUAGUUAUUCAGUCAUAAUUAAAGCAAAACAUUAGGUCAAAUAUCCUAUUCCUACUUAAAUUUGAAAGAGAUGAUACCAUCCCUUCCUGUUAAAGAUUUAGCCUUGGUCGCAAUAUCUCAAGAUUUUGGUUUCGUCUUUCAUGGACACACUUUGUAAUCGCUUAGUUAAGUUAUAUUACCGCAAUAUUUUCUCUUGGUCAUUCUACAUUUUGUUACAUAAUCAUCUCUGUAUGAUACGUGAUAAGUUGUUGAGUAGUUCAUAAAUUACUCUUCAUUAGGAGCAGUUCGUAUACAAUCCUCCGCAAAGAACAGUUCGUGUCAACCCUUUGUGUGGUAUGAUUCGCAAGCGACCUUCCACAAUCCUAUGCAUCUUUGUGAGAACCACCAAGGCAUAAUCACCUCAUAUGGCCCUAAAGGGGAGUGUCAAAGCAGAACCAUAUAGUACACUAUAUGUUGACAGCUAACUUGCACAACUAUGCAAAUACAAGCUUGACUGCACGAGUGACCAAAGAUCUACUCUCUCCCUUAGCAAACUCUUUUUCUUCUUCUCCCCUUCCUUCUCCUACUUCUCUCUAUUCUCGCUACCGACUCUCCACUUGUCAUAGGUGAACCGACACUUCCCUCCAUCAUCCUCUCUUCUCUGUUGGUAACCUGUGUCAACAAAUUUUAAUAGGAAGAAGAAAAAAAUCAUGUUAAAUCCGUUUCAAUUUCAAAUUUAAGCAAAUUGAUCCUUUAAAAAAUAUCUAUCAAUAAUAAAAGUUAAUUUAAUCUUUGUCAAGUAUAAUAUACAAUAAAAAAAUAUUCAAAAGGGUCAAGCUUGAAAUUGAGAUUAUGAUUAAGCAAGUAGAAAAACCAUCCUACUCUAUCUCUACCAACAACAAAACCAAACUAGCAUUUUUAAAUUGCCAUCGGAAUUUUUCAUCAUUCCGACGUCUUUAAUCUCUCGAAUCUUUGUUAAUUUAAACCAGAGAUGGAUCCUCAUUAGGAUAGGGCUUAAGGGGCUUUUGCCUUCCAAAAUUUUUGAAAAUUUUAAUUAUGCCUCCUAAAGUUUUUAAAAAUUAUUAUUAAACGUUUGAAUUUUUUAAAAACUUCAAAUAGACUCUUCACUUUCUUUGCUUGUCUUUUUUUUUUUUAAUUUCCAUAAAUCUCUAAAAUUUUGGAACUUUUAAUUAGACCUACCAAAAUUUUGGAAAUUUUCACUAAAAUUCUCAAUAUAUAUAUAUUGAGUUGCGUUGUCGUUAGAGUUUUAUCCUCUUCUUGUAAUUCAUCAAUACAUAUAUAUUUAAAAUUUUACCUAAGUCUGUUAAAUCUCAUCCAUUUACUUUAAUAUUUCAAAAAGGUAUUUAUAUUAUUUAAAUUUAAUAUUUAAUAAUUUUUAUAUUUUUAUUUAUUAUUAUUUUUAAAUAAUCAUCUUAAUAUUUUUUAAAUAUUUACAUUAUACUAUUAUAUAUUACUAUAAAUUUAAAACCCAUGAAUCAUUUUUUAAAGGAUGUUUUAAAAAAUUAAAUUAAAUUCAUCUCUAAUUUUAAAUAUAUGAAAAAGACGUAUUUAUAUGGGCAGUGAAAGAUGGAGAGAGAGGAUAAUUUUAUUUCAAGUAUCUCAGUUUUAUUUUUUCAAUUUAAUCCAUAAUUUUAAGUUUUAAUUUAUUCAAUUUAAUCCCUCACACCAUGUUAUAAUUGAGUCUUACAUAUUUUUUAUUUGUUCAUUUCAUGGAUGCAGUUAUGGGUUUAUGCAAUUUGGUCAUGAAUAUGGUUUUUACCCAUGUCCUUAAAUUCGGUCAAUAAUUAGUUUUAAUUAUUGUUUCAUUUAUUAGUUUUAAUUCUUUUUCAAUAAUCAGUUUGUACUUUUUCUUCUAUGGUCACUCAGAAAAAUUAUAAAAAAAUCUAUAUUUAAUAUAUUUUAAUUGAAUACAUUAUAACCAAUUUAUGCAUCGCACGAGUGAAAAAAAUAAUUAUGUAUAUCACAUUGGUAUAAUAAAAAUUACAACAUAAUAUCAAUUUUUUUUGGUAGAAAAAAAUAGCAUAAAACGAUUACGAAAAAACAUACAUUCUAGGAAUUAUAAAAGCUUAUUUUAUCAGCUAAUAGAAGCCUUUGGAUCGAAAUUGAAAAUUCUUCAAAAACGACUAAACUUAAAGAACCAGAUACCUCAAGCCUUAUCAUAUGACCAACAACUACAUUUUAAGAUCUAACACACAUGAUCAACUUUUUAUUACAAAUAUUAAAGCGAAUGUUGAAUAAUUAUUUGUUAGGUAAUUAUAAAAUUAUUAGAUGGAUGCAAAUAAUGAUGAUUAAUGUAACAUAUUAUUACUUUUAAUAGAAUAAUGGAUAUAUAAUUUAAUUUAUAUGUACAAUAACUUAUAUAUUAAAAAUAAAUCCAAUCCAAAAUCGUAAAUAAAUAAUUAAUUAAAUGGAUGGAGGGGUCUAGAGAAUGUAAGUGGAUUGAAGAAUCUAACAGACAUAUUUUUUACACCAAAAGUCAUUAAAUUAUUAAUAAAUUUAUAUUUUGGUUAUUCAACUUUAAAAAUUAUAAAAAUAUCAUUGAACUAAUUAAAAUUUUUUAUUUAAGUCAUUGCAUUGCUAAGUUAUUCGAAAAAAAACUGUCUAAUGAGCUUUAAGCGAUAACUCGACAAUCAGUAUAGUGAAUUAGUACUCAUCAAAGAGUAGAGAUCGGAAAAAAAAAAGUUGUUUGGAUUUUAAUUUACAGAUUCGUACUGUUCAAAGUUGUAUCAUAAAAAAAAUUGAACCAUAGGAAAGAAUGAGAAAGAAAAUUUCUAAGUUAGUGCAAGUGAUGUGGAAAAAUAAUGUCAUUCAAUAAUCAUUUUAAUAGUCCGGUAAAUUAAACGAAAGCUUUGAACCCCAUGUUAUCGUUGAUGGUCAAGGGUGUUCACCGCCCUAGAUGUGGCUUAAGUUCGAGUUACGCUAAUCGUGUUUAUUGUUCAGGCUUUACCCUACUAUUGUAAUUCACAAAAAAAAAAACUUUAAUAGAGACUUUCUUAUAAUUUAGUGAUUAUUUUGUAAUCAAAAUAUAACAUAAUUUUACUAAUAAUUUAAUGUGCAAUUUAUCCUUUUUUAUGUUUUGUGUAGAACAAAAAGCAUUUUGAUCCAUUUUUUCAAAGAAAUUGGGAAUAUAUCAAAAUAAUGCGGACAGGUUUAAAGAUCAGCAGCAAAGUAGCAUCCAAAUCUUCACUUUACGAAAAAAAUGUUCGGGUGCGAAUGUUUCUACAGGAAGAAAAUGGAUCUGUUGCCUCUUUCAGACCCUGAACCCUUCUCCCUUCCAGCACCUCUCCCUCAAUGGCCUCAUGGUAUUACAAUUUUGAUUUUUUGGGUUUUCUUCGCAUUGUGUGUUUCUUUAAUGGGUUUGCUUCUUCUUCUUUUUUGAUUGGAUUUUUUAGCCUCGACUUGUCCUUUUCAUUGUUAUUUUCUGAUUGAUGGGGGUGAUUUCAUGAGCUACUGUUUUACUUAUUGUAUGAACUGAUGUUAUUUUUCAACCUUGUUUUGGAAAGUUUGCAACAAUAUGUUUGCCUCUUUGUUAUAUCGAAUUAUGGAUCAGUUGGGUAGCUGCAAAUAUGAGAUGUUGUUUUCACAUCUAUGGUGAAUGCAAAUAUAUAUAUAUAGCUUGUACUUGGGGAUGUUGAGUAUGGUAUCAUGUUUAUUAAACAUAUCAUGUUCGUGUUAUGUUUUCUUCUCGUUUCUAAAUUUUCCGGGUUUAGAUCGGAUUAUUGAUCAGUUGGGGGUAUCUGCAAAUAUGAGUUGUAGUUUCCACUUCUACAAUGAAUGCAAAAAUUUAGUUUGUGGUUGGGAUUUUUUGAGUGCAUUGUAGUGCUCAGUUAUAGUUUUUGUUCUUAAUACAAUAUUGAAAUGAUGAAACAAACGAUAAAAUCUGGGAAAAUUCUUGAAGAAAAAAAAAAUUAGCAGGCUAAGAACAGAGGGGUCUGUUUAAAAACUAAUUUACUGCAUUUGAAUAGACAAUUGAGUUUUGCUCUAAUGAUAUCAGAGAUGUAGUCUUUCCAUAUAGGUAUAUACGUUCUUAUGCUUCUUCAGUUUUCCUUUCAAAUGAUGUAAGCUUUUGAGACCAGCAAAUCUUGAGAAACACAGCUUUGAAAUAUCCCCCUUUUGAAAGAAUUUUAGCCUUCUCAAUCCGCUACAGAUCUUUGUGUUUGAGAGGCCGAAUUGUUAUGUCCUUAGACUUCCUGCAGAGAAAGUAAGCACUUCUACUGAUAGAUGAAAUCCAGAUAUAUGAAACUGAGGUAGUGUGGAAAAUGUAUCUAACAUGGUUAUACAAUUAUCCAAGAAGUAAUGAAAUGUUAUAUGAUUUAGUGCUAAUGCUAGACUAUGUCACACUGGCUCUUCAUUUUUUUUUAAAGUAUUCAUAUUUGACACCCUUGGUUUUUUCACACAUAUUUGGAAAUCGGUGUGGAGACACGAUAUACAUGUAUGUAUGUCCUAUACUUGCUUCUGAGUCCAGAUAAUAUAGGUCCUGGAUACGAAUCCGUUUACUCCAAUUAAUUCUUUGUAGCUUAUGCUGACAGGGCCACUAUGUUCUACUUUGAUUAUUCUUUUAAUUGUGGGUGAACAAGAACAAAUCUUUUUUCCUAGAACUGUUUCAUUUGUUAAUUUUGUAUUCCUUUCAAAAAACAAAUAUGAUACAUCAAAUUGUUUUUUCCAUGAACUCUAGAUGUGGCCCACUGUUGUUGCAUAAAUACCUUGAGUGUGAAUGGUAGACAUGGAUAUUUGUCUGACACGGGUAUACUCAAUUUUUUUUUCAAGAUUUCCAUCUAGUCGGAGGGUCCUUGGAGGAUUGUAUCCUUGUACUUAUAUCCGGAUAUUGUGUAGGACAUAUGUACUUCAAGAAAAUAACAAGUCAGAGCAACAUAAGGCAAAUCCCCCAUUCCCAAAUAAAAGUUUUUCAGCACUUAUUUUUGAGCUUUCUCUUAUGUUUGAGUAUCAUCUCUUUGUUUCAUCAUUCUUCUUCAUCAUAUGUCAGCUAAAACAAUCUAUAGGGUCCAUUAUCGAAUUCUUGAACUGGGAUGUGAGUGUCAGAUAUUUGUAUGUGUCUGACACAGCAAGGUCAGAUUUUUUAAAAUUUUUCUAUGUAUUUGGAGGAUCCUUGUAUGCCAUAUCUCUGUUCCCAUAUUUGGACACGUCUGUUGGACACUAAUAUUUCAAGAAAAAUGAAUAGUCGGAACAACAUAAGUUUUGAUGUCAUGUGAUGUUUAAAUGCAGCAUAGUCCAUAGCGGAGGCUGGUAAAAUACAAUGCAAGUUCAAGUCAAAAGGUUCACUUGAGCUGAUGUGGUUCAAUCUUUUGUUAUCAUUUUGAAUAUGACUUAUCUUGAAAUUUCUUUUAUUGACCUGCCUGCAUUUUCAGGUCAGGGAUUUGCUUCUGGAAAAUUAAAUCUCGGAGAACUCGAAGUCGUUAAAAUCUCGAGAUUUAAGUUCAUCUGGAGCAGUAACUUGGAGGACAAGAAAAAAGGUGUCACGUUUUAUAAACCAGUUGGAAUACCUGAUGGAUUUUAUAUCCUUGGUCACUAUUGUCAAUCUAAUGACCAACCUUUAAGAGGUUUUGUUCUUGUUGCUCGAGAGGCACCUUCCAAAUCUGAAGCCGCUGAUUUCUCAACUCGUGUUACUUCACCAGCCCUUAGGGAGCCUCUCGAUUAUACACUAGCUUGGAAAUCGAAUGAUGGGAGUGAGGGAAGUCUUGAAGGUUGCGGUUUCUUCUGGUUGCCACAGCCUCCUGAGGGUUACAAGUCCAUAGGUUAUUUGGUCACAAGUUCUAAAAAACCAAAAUUAGAUAAAGUGAGAUGUGUUCGAGCUGACCUAACUGAUAGAUGCGAAAAGUAUCGAGUUAUGCAUUCGGAAUUUUCGUUUCGAGUUUGGAGCACAAGACCGUAUCAUCGAGGGAUGCUGGGGAGAGGUGUCUCCGUUGGGACUUUUUCUUGCAUUAGUGAUUUGAUACCUGGACUAGAACUGCCUCUCUCAUGCUUGAAGAAUUUAGAUCCUUCACUACAUGGAAUGCCAAACUGUGAUCAGAUUCAUGCACUAAUAAACCACUAUGGACCUACAUUCUUCUUUCAUCCCGAUGAAAUCUACUUGCCUUCUUCAGUUUCAUGGUUUUUCGAGAAUGGAGCACUCCUGUUCAGAAAGGGGGACUCAGUAGGUGAACCAAUUGAUGUCGGUGGCUCGAAUCUACCUAGUGGUGGCUGCAAUGAUGGAGAAUUUUGGAUUGAUUUGCCAAGUGGUGAUCAGAGGAAAACUAUAAAACUAGGAAAUUUGGCAAGGGCUAAACUUUAUCUACAUGUGAAACCAGCACUUGGUGGGACUUUCACUGAUAUUGCUCUGUGGAUUUUCUGCCCCUUCAACGGACCAGCAACGCUUAAAGUCGGUAUUAUGAACAUUGCACUUAACAAGAUCGGACAGCAUGUAUGUGAUUGGGAGCAUGUUACACUCCGUAUAUGCAACUUUACCGGAGAGCUUUGGAGCAUAUACUUCUCUCAGCACAGUGGUGGUGUAUGGGUGAAUGCAUAUGAAUUGGAGUACACACAAGGAAAUAAAGCGAUCAUCUACUCGUCAAGAAAUGGACACGCUAGCUUUUCUCACCCUGGGACUUACAUUCAGGGUUCUGCAAAACUAGGAAUCGGUAUUCGAAACGAUUGCGCUAGUAGUAACUUCUACGUAGAUUCAAGUACUCAUUACGAACUCGUUGCAGCUGAGUAUCUCGGAGAUGGGAUCGUAGCUGAGCCUGGUUGGUUGCAGUUUAUGCGAAAAUGGGGUCCAACUAUUGUCUAUGAUUCGAGAACUGAAUUGGAUAAAAUUGUUCAUGUUUUACCGGUGAUGCUUCAAUCGUCGGUGAAGAACAUUUUUUAUAAGCUUCCGGUUGAGCUUUAUGGAGAGGAAGGCCCUACUGGUCCUAAGGAGAAGAAUAAUUGGGUUGGCGAUGAAAGAGGCUAGUUUUGUGGGUUAGCCUCUGAUCUUAAUAGCAUCUUGCUGGUUCUCAUCUGCUGCCUAGCAAGUACCGGAGAUGGACACGUAAUACGAGUACCGGACAUUGCCCCGGUGGGAGUGUAUGUGCUUCCUAGGCUGCCGUCCUUGUGUUCAUAGUACAACAGUUGGUGAAUUACAUGUUCAUACUUGGUGUAAUGAUUUGUAUAUUUAUCUUCUCAUUUGUUUCGGCUUUUCAUUUUUCUUGAAGUGCCUAUAUCCGAUGCUCGUGUCGAGUGCAUAUUUUGAUACUGUGUAUAGAGAUAUAAUUCUUCAAAAAUUCUCUAAAUAUAUAAAAAAAAAUCUUUGAAAAUAUGACAUUUGUACACUCUUUGACAAAAGCCUCAGUGCUCCAUAGACAUUUUUUUAUGGAAUAAUGCUAGGAGUACGUUUAAAUAUAGACAUUAGAUAUGAUCUUUUACGAAUCUUUAAAAUACAUAAAAUAUAUUUAUAUCAGUCAUAUAUGAUACAAUCAUGUUCAAAUAACAUGUCAUUUUUGUUGCUAACAUUAAAAAAUCAAUAUAAAUAAUUAACUAUUCACUCAAAUGUACUUUUAUAUUUUAAAUUAGUUUUUUUUAAUUAAUAAAAAUAGCAAUCUAUUUUAAAAACAACUACUGUCAUGUUAUUUUAAUCCAUAGUUAUACUUAUUUUUACUACCUUAUUAGUAAUAAUUGUGAAAGUUUUUAGGUCACCAGUAAACCUGUUCAUGGCCAGGUUAGGUAGGAUUCAGGCCGAGCUUUAAUCAAUUUCUAGGCCCGUUUGACAGAUCCAAGCUUUGGCCAGUCUGGAUUAUUGAUGUUAAAUCUAGGCUCGACCCGUAUAAUUUUUUUAUAAAAAAAUUGGCAGCAAAACAAUAACAAAAUUGUGAGAAAACACCAACAAAACAAUGAGAAAAUAACAGUUUUUUUUUUUUUUUGCAAAUAUGGGUUGGGCCCAGACCAAAAGAACCUUACUCGAGGUCUGGCCUAUUUUCUAAACGGGCAUUAUUUUUUUGUCCAAUCUCAUUUUUUGAGUCUAUGUUUUUGUUCAAACCUUUCCACUUUUCAGGUGAGCCAGGUGACCCAACCCAAGGACAGGUCUAGUCACUGGUUUGUUGGUCCGACCGAUUCGAUCAACCCAUCCACUUCAACUAAAUAAAAUUAUAACAAUUAAAAUAUUAAAAAUUCGAUUCAAGACCCUCUUUGAAUUGAUAUCUUAGUUGGUUCUUGAUUCAACCGAACGGUCUGGUUCAAACAACAUUGAUAAUUAUUUUAAGAUAGUUCAAUAAAAUAUUACUCUAUUAAUGCACUUAAGUACACUUGAAUCUACAUAUUCUUAGUUGUUACAAAACAACUAUACCAACUGAGUUAAGGCUUAAUCAGUUUUUAGUAUCGUGUUUUAAAAUGUUAUAUAUUUUAAAAUAAAUUUUGAUAUAUUAAUAUUUUGUGUUGCGUAAAUUUAAACAUACAUAUUUCCUUUUCAUUUGAAUUAACAAGUUUGCAGCAUUGACAUUUAAAAAUAAAACAAGAAUUUUCCGAUUAAGUCUUAUCUUAAUUGGCAUGGGCAUUAUUGCCAAUGCAGGAGGAUAUAAGUUCGAGUGUGCUAAAGUGCAUUAUCCUUCAAUUUACGGGUUGGAGAGAGGUUAUGGGUAGUUUUAAGCGUUGUAUCAAAAAAAGCAAAUAUGAUCAGAAUCUAUAAAUUAUGUUUGUUGGGAAGCGUAUUUUAUAUUUAUAUAAAAUUUAAUACGUUAAUGAUUUAUUAUAAAAAUAUAAAAACACUAAUAUAUUAGUGGAUAAAAUACGUUAAAAAUAUUUAUACUUUUCGUAUAUUUAAAAUUUAGUCUCUCUAUUUUUAUUUUCAUGAAUUUAGUUUCUCUAUAUUCGAAGUCGAAUAAAAAUAAAGCCGAAUUAAACCAAAUACUAAAAAAAAUCUAAAUGAUUGCAAGGUUGAGUUUAGCGAAUAAUAUGGAUUCUCGGUCUAUAUUUUAUUUUGAUAAUUUUUUCAUUUGUUUGUUUGCUUAAUUGGGUUGUGUGUGAUCGAUUAAGGUGUUGUUUGAUAAUAUAAAAAUUAAGCACAAAAUUUUAUAAGUGAUAAAUUUAUAUUAUAAAAUUAUUUGUUAUAUUAAUAAAACUUAAUUGCAAAAUAAAAUUAUGUUGUUCGAUAAUAAUAAAUCUUUAUUUUUUUUACAAAUAUUUUUUUUUUUUGGUAAUGAAUAAAUUUUGAUUUUUGGAAAUCACUUGUGUACAAGCCCAAUAAUGCCCGAGCCCAAACCAAUAAACAGACCCAACUAAACCUAGAAUGGCCCAACACCUGACCCAAACUAAACCUAGCCCAAAGCUUAACCAAAAAACAGAAACCCUAGGAGCCUCCCUUUCCAGCCGCCGCAAAGAUCGGAGCAAGCCUCCUCUACGUGCGCCGCUCCUCCCCGCCCCGCGCACGUUGCGCAUGUUGAACCUACAACAACAAACAAUCGAUGACAAUAUCAGAAUGACGAAAAAGAGGGGAUUUGCAUUAUUAUUUUCGGCUAUUUAAAGCCAUAGAAAAUUUGUAAAAGGGGGGAGGAAAAUCUGUAAAAAGGGUUUUUUUUCAGUGUAAGAGGAUACAAAAAUAAAAGAAAAGAUCAGUUUCUUUUGAGGUGAUUAGGUUUUUUCUCUCUUUUAUUGUUUUUCUCCGUUUUACUUCCUAUAUACGUGAAAGAAUAAAAAGAAAAAGGAAAAGACUUACCUUGCUGACGGCCGGAGAAGAAGAAACCGAGGGGUUUUUUCGGUCUUCCUCCGAUCUUUGAAGGCUUUUAGCGAGUUUUAAGGAUAGAUCGGAGUCCCCGGGGUUAAGACGGUUUAAAAAGGGUCACUUUAAGAUUUUCGGCCACCGCGGCGAUGGUGACGGCGCCGGAGCUCUCACCGAAAUCCUCGCCGGAGUUAAGCCGGAUUUUGGGCCUACUUGAGAGGAAAAGGAGAUUUUUUUUCCUUGUUCUUUUGAAACAGAAAGGGAAAAUGGAUUUUUUUAAGGGAAAUUUGGCUUUUAUAUGGGCUAUGAAACGACGCCGUUUGGGGCCAACUUCAAUGGCCUCAAAACGACGUCGUAUGGGCUAAAAACCCGACAACCCGACCCGUUUUCUCAGGAUCCGCGUGUUUUAUUUUUAAAUGGUCCAUUUGUGCAUUCGGUCCCUCAAAUUUUUUAAAAUCGUUUUCAAAACAAUUUUUUUUUAAUUUGGCCCGCAUGUUUCUGCCGUUGUUCAAUUCAGCCCAUAUAACUGCACACCGUUUUGGAGAGGCGGAUUAUUUCCGAUUUGACCCUCCAUGUAACUCGCGUGUCGCGAUUUGACCCAUUAUUCUGCCUAAAUCUCAUUGAUUUCUAGUUAUUUUAUUUUUUUUAACUAUUUGGUCCUUUUUUUGCGAUUUGUUGUUUUUUUUAAUUUAUUUUCUCCCAUUAUUUAUUAUUAUUGUUAUAUUAUUUAUUAUCAUCAUUAUUAUUUUUAUAUUUGUACAUACGCAUAGUUUUUUAUAUAAUGUACACAUGUGCAUUUUUUGUAAUAUACGUGUUUUUUCCAAAUGUUUUUAUUUCAAUUUUAUUUCCUAACUUCUAUAUAUAUAUACUGUUUUUUUUUCCCUUCAAAAAACCCUUUUUACCUUUGUAAAUGUGUAUAUACAUAUAUUUAUAUAUAUAUAUACAUAUUUUACAUGUAUAUUAUCCUUCAUUUUUUUUCAAACGUAUACAUAUAUAUAUAUAUAUAUAUUCAUACACUAUUUUAAAUUAUUGUAAAUAUAUUAUCCACGUUUUGUAUACUAUAUGUACAUAUUUUUAAGCUUUUGUAAAUAUAUACACAUAUACAUUUUAUUUUAUUUUAUUUAUUUUCACGAUUUUAAAAUACAUACAUGCAUUUUUUAUUAUUUUCUGAUUGAUAUAUAUAUUCCAUCACAUCUUUCUGUACUCUUAUAUAGGUGUAUCAAAUGUAUGCGUACACAUAUUUGCAAAUUUACUCGUAUAUUGUACUUGUAUAUAUAUAUAUAUUUGUAAAUAUUUAUUCAUAUAUAUUUUAAAUUAAAGUUUUUGUUUCAUAUUAUACAUUAACUUUUAACAUACCUUUUAAGAAGUAUAUUUUGGUUUUGACAAAACAUUAAAAUCAUCGUAUUUUAUAAAUUUUCAACAUAUUUGGCAUUCAUGAUUCUCGAGAACGAUCGUGUCCUAACUUACUGGAUUGCAAUUAUUUUUCGAUGAAUUUAGAAAGCCAAGUAUUUGUUUGCAAUAAAUUCGCAAAUUUUAAAUAAAAGCUUGGGAAUUCAAAAUGUUGGGUCCUAACUUACUGGUCAUGACAUUUUCUUCUCGAAAUAAGAAUUUUCAAAAGCAAAAGGCAGUAUUCGGGUAUUUUGAAGAUUUAAAAACAUUGUGCCCUAACUCACUGGGUGUGGUGUUUUAUUUCUUUGAAAUAAGAAUGUCUUAUUAUUUUGAUUCAUUCAUGAAAUAAAAGGUUUCCUUUUAAAAUCUUUUCAAAUUUUCGACACCAAAGCAUAAAAAAAAAUCAAUUUGGUACCAAUUUUGGGCGUUACGAGAGUGCUAAUCCUUCCUCGUGCGUAACUGACUCCCGAACCUGUUUUCUCAAAUUUCGCAGACCAAAAUUAUUUUUAAGGUGGGCCGAUCACACCUUAAUAAAGGAUCGGUGGCGACUCCAAUUUUUAUUUUUAAGUCGACAACUAAAUUUUUGUUUUUCAAAAAAACGGUUUCGACAACUUGUUUUAUAAUUUUAAUCUUAGUGAUAUAAUUUUUAAUAUUAUUUUGAACAAGUUUAUAUAAAAUUAAACAUAACCAUUUGAAUGAUUUUUUUAAAAAUAAAAGUAAAGAGCUAACUUGUUUUAAAUAUAAUUUUAAAAAUAAAAUUAAUUAAAAAAUUUUAAAAUUAAGUGAUAAGUAGCUAUUUAUCUACUUAUUUUACUUUAUAAUUUUUUGUUAAAAAAUUAAAUUAAAUAAACAUUUAUCUUGAUCAUAAAACACAUUUAAAAUUUAAAUAUUAUUUUUUAAUAGAUGAAUAUUUUCAAUGAAUUAUCAAAUAAAUGCUAAGUUUUAACCAUUAUAUAAAAAAAUAGUGUCAAUUGUCGAUUGAAUUUUAGCUCAAUUGGCAUGAGCAUUAUGUGGGUUCGAGUACGCUGAAGUGUAUUAUCCUCCUAUUUAUGAGUCGGGGAGAGACUAUAGGUAGUUCUAGACAUUAUGUCAAAAAGAGCAGAUAUAAUCAGACCAUGUUUGUACCAACUAUACCAACUCAAACCAUGUUACAAUUUGCCUUUUAGUUAACUAUCAAUCAAUUAUACCAAGACACUUAUUAACUAUAAUAAGACCAUAUACUUAUAUGUAUCAAAAUGUAUCAAACAUAAGCCAUUCAAAUGGCUAAUCACAACAAAACAUUUAUUUGCCAUCAAUGGCCAAAUUAACCUAUACCAAAGUUGAUUUAAUAAUUAUACCGAAAAAAGGAGAUUGAUAGUGUGAUGUGGCUCCAACCAGCUUCCAACCUUAACGAGCUUCCAGGUUACUAUAAAACAAAUGAAGUAAAACAGAGUAAGCAUUUAAUGCUUAAUAAGUUCGUAUAACAGGAAUUUAACUUACCGAUUAAUUCAAAUUUAAGGUAAGCAAAUAAACAUGCUCAGACCAAUUUGGCCAAUUUCCUAAACACAUAUCCUCAUUAAGCUUGUUAGUCAUGUAAUUCACAAUAAUACCAAGAAACAUGAAUGAGCUCAUUAAUAUUCAAUUUCCACAUACAUGUAUUUAUCACUUCAGGUGUCCAUGAACAUGUACAUAUCAUAUCUUUGUAUUUCAAGUAGUUCUCAUAAUAAUUCAUCUUGAAUUCAUAUAAUCUCAUAUCGGAACUUUACCUGUUAAAUCAUUUAAAAUAUUGAUGGAUACAAUGGUAUUACACUUGAAGUGUAUAAAGCUGUAAACCGUCAAUUCAUAUUCGGGAAUGCUCAUACAAGCACAUAAACGGGAAGCUCUCUCUCGAGCCAUAUAACAGGAAGCUCAUGUGAGUUAUGUAACGGGAAGCUUAUCCGGACUAUAUAACAGGAAGCUCAGGCAAGCCAAUAACGGGUAGCUCUGAAGAGCCAUUAACGAGAAGCUCUGGAUAGCCAUAUAUCAGGAAGUUCAAGCAAGUUAUAUCGGGAAGCUCCGGAGAGCCAUUAAUCAGGAAGCUCACAAAGAGCCUUUAAUUGGGUAGCUCACGAAGAGCCAUAUAUCGGGACGCUCAUAAGAGCUGUGGUGUGUCCACAACACAUGCAGGAUCAUAACCGAUCGGGAUGCUCCGAAGAGCUAUUAACGGGAAGAUCGCAGUAACCAUAUAAUGGGAAGCUCGAGAGGGCUAAUAAUGAGACGCUUUUUCAAGCUGUGGUGUGUCCGCAACAUAUGCAGGACCACAACCAAUUCGGGAACCCUGUAUCCAUCAAAUCUCAUUUAUCCAAACAUGACUUAUUAUUUAUCGGAAAUUAUCGGAUAUGUGAUCAAUUUCAUACAUAUGACAUUUAUACAAUUCACAUAUACAACAUUAAAUUCAGACAUAUAAAUAUACACAAUUUAGUUACACGAACUUACCUCGACAAUUAUUCGUGUACGCAAAAUCUACUAAUCCGACACUUUUUUUUCUACGAUUUAACUUCGUUUUUUAUCUAUCUGGAUCUAUACGAAUGAAUUUAACAUCAAUUCAAUAUGAUUCAUAUUCAGUUCAAUCCAUUUCACAUCUUAGGCAAAAAUUACCAUUUUCCCCUAUUCUUUUAAUUAAUUCCAAUUUCAUCCCUAGGCUCGGAAAAUGAAAUUCAUGCAAUUUAAUUCUUAUUCCAAGCCUAACCGAUUUUCAUAUAUCACAAUAGCAGCCCAUGUAUUUCAAAAAAAAAAAGAAUUUUUUCAUGAAUUCUACAUCUUUUCAAUUUAGUCCCUAAAUUACAAUUUCAUCAAAAUUCCCUUUACAAAAGUUGUUUAUCUAUCAACAACCUUUCUUUUUCUACCAUAAAACUUUAAAAUUCAGACAUAUUCAUCAAUGGCAAAACCCUAGUACUUUGAUAGCUUUACAAAUUAAUCCCCAAAAUAGCUAAAUUAAGCUAUUACGAUCUCGAAAACAUGAAAAUCAUUAAAAACGAGACUUGAAUACUCACCUAAUUGAGCCAAAUAAGCUUGCUACCUUCAAGCUCUUCUAACUAGGGUUUCCAUGUAAAGAAUUUGGGAAAGAUGAUGAAAAAGAUGAUAUUUUCAUUGUUUAAUUACUUAUCAUCUUUUGUUAUUUUUACUUUCUAAUUUAGUCAUUUUCUUUAAUUAAUUUUCCAUAGAUGAAUCAUCAUUAUUAUCUACUAACUCCUCUUAAUGGUCUAUUUGCCAUAUAAGGACCUCUAAUUUUGAAUUCUAUAGCUAUUUUAUAGAUACUAGAACUCAACUUUUGCAUUUCAUACAAUUUGGUCCUUUCCAUCUAAUUAGACAUGUAACCGAUAAAAUUUUUUUACGAAAUUUUCAUACGAUAUUUCAAUCAUAAUACAGACCAUAAAAUAAUAUUAAAAUAAAUUUCCUUCCAAGCUUGGAUUUGUGGUCCCGAAACCACUGUUCUGAUUUAAUUGAAAACGGGCUGUUACAAAUAAUGUGACACAAUCACGUUUAGGGGUGAGUCUUCGAUUGAUUUGAGUUGAAUCGAGUAGAAAAAUUUUGAGUUAGUCGAGAUGACGAAUCCUAUUUUAGCAAUCAAAUUCAAUUUGAAAAUUUUUCGAAUCGAAUUGAGUAAAAAAUUUUCGAGUCAAGUCGAGUUAACAAAUCCUAUUGUUUAUACUCAAUGUUGUGUUUAUAUGGACCGAUUAUUUAACUAGUAGACAAAGUAUGAGAUUAGUUAACUACAUAAACAAUAUAAUUGUUUUGCUUUUUAACUUAAUAGGUAAUGAUUUUGACUUUUAACUUUAGAAAAGAUAAAUAUUUAUCAAAACGACAAAAUUUUUUAUUUUUUUAUUCGGAUUAUUGGAUUUUACUCAUUCUUAAUCAGGUGUUGAAAAAAAGAUUAAUUUUCCAAUUUUCUUACUAAUAAUAAUUUUUUAACAACUCUCAUUUUCCUAUAUAUGUAUAUAUAAAUUUCUAACCAUUUACUUAUUCAUUUUUUGUAAUUUUCCUUCCACCCUACUAUAUUUCGCUUUUAUGUUUUAAGUACGUUUCAGCGUUUCACUUUCCCCAAAAUUCUCAGCCAGAGGGAAAGAAAAGAAAGAAGAAAACCCUCAAUACGAUCAACAGCCGUAAAAACCCUAACAUUCUAAAUCGACGGAUCCUAAACCCUGAAUAUUUUCCAAUUUCUUUUUACCGAAAGCCAAAAUUCACAAGUCAUUAUCAAUUCUUCGUGGUUUCCACCAUGUUUUCGCUUUUGAUUUGUACUCUUUUUCUUUUUUAAAUUCAGAUUACAGAAUCCUCAAAUUCCCCCAUAUGAUAACUUACUAUAAUUUACUUCCUUUUAAUAUGUAGAAAUCCUAAAUUAUUGUUACUUUCAUCGGGGUUUUUUUUUGUGAUGGAGUCAAAUCCAGUGGUUUUCGAUAUAAGCUCCGACGACGACGAUGAGGUGGCGUCGGGUUUGGAAGAGUCUAAAGGGGAUGACUACGACUGGUUUUCGGAAGUUCUGGAAGCCGUUAAUAAGGGUUUCGACGAUUCCGAUGAGGUGGUGGUGAUCGGGGAGGUCAACCCUAAUAAGAAGUCGAAGACACGGAACUCAUCGGUGAGGAAGGAUGUUACUGAAGAAGACGAUGAUUGUAUCGUUUUGGAAGGUGACCCCGAAAAGGUUGUGUCCGAUGUUAAUGAUUACCAUGAUGAUUCUGAUGAGUUGCUUGUUGUCGGCCACAAAGGGCAGGUAAAAUAUUGAAAUUUUAAUCACUAUUUUGUUGUUUGAACUUUUGUGUUUAGUGGUUUUUGUGAUUAAGUACAUUGAUGGAGUUUCAUUUUUAUAUGUUUGGUUGCUGAGAAAAUUUGAACAAAUCAAUCUCUAUGUGGUUUCCAGUAGUUCCUAGUGAAAUUUGUCUACGAUGUAUGCUAAGGAAGGGAAUAUAGAGGUAUAGAAAUAGUUGAUUGACUUGAUUCUUAAGCAUUAUUGUUGAUAUUACUUCUGUUAUAUCUUUAUGUCCUUGCAAUGAGCAUGGCUUUGCGCAGUGUUGAAUUUUACAAUUGGGAAUAUGGUUUUUCUGAUAUCUGGGUUCUUAAAGGUGAAUGUUAAAAUUCAGUUUUGCUAUUUUUUCAGCAUUUCUUGAAUUUUUUUUUGUGUAUUUUGUUGUGGUUCUAGAUUGUUCUUUUAGUAAUUGUCUUCUAGCUCCUGCAAUUUUGAAUGUUCAUGGCGUUUAGAGAUGCCCUUUCAACCAGCUGAAGCACCAUCAUUAUUGGAUCAUCAGUAUGUUGUGCCGUAAGUGUCAACUUGGAUGACAUGAAAGGUGAGAAUUGAGCCCUUGAAAAACUGUAAUCAUCUGUUGCAGUGAGAAAUUGCCUCUUAGUCCUUUCUGUUUGCAACUAGAUCAGUAAUUUUUGGAGAAAUAAGCUGAUCACUAGUUUUCCGGCUAAUAUUCAAGGAUUGAACUUGCUGCGAUGGAAACUACUUAGAUGGAGAACCAAAAAGUAUCAAUCUUUGUGCUCAGAUGAUCUUAAGGGCACAAUAAAUAUGUUUCAUUGAUACUAAGUUUCCAGAUGAGCCCUUGAAAUGUCAAAAGAGUGAAAGUAUGAAUGAAGUCUCAGAGUUUUCUUAUGCGAGAUAUCUAGGAGCUGAUGUGAUAUUAGGGGCAUUUAUAUGCUGGUUGCAUUACUUAGUUUUUUUUUUAUAUUAAUGUUGAACCUACACUUUUUGUUUUGCUUUACACAUAGCAUGAAAUUUUGAAUAGCUGUCUCAUUUUUCUAUAUCAUCUGUUUGCAGGUUGCUUGCAGAGAUUUCCCCCAUCCACGACAUGAUUGUGCUAAAUUUCCAUUUAGUUCAACUUCUCAUGAUCAGCACUGUGAACUGGUAACUUUUUGAACCUUUUAAUUUUGAGAUUCUUGAUUGUACUAUGAUUAUUCUUUUUGAAAUUGCAGUGCCAUUGCUUUGUUUGUGACGUGCGAGCACCAUGUUGUUAUUGGGGCUCAGGUAUCACUAAUACUGAUCAUUGUCAUGCCACUGAUAAAGAGGAAAUUUGGAGUACUUUGCGGAAGAAUUUCAGGCAUGGGAGAAAUGUUUCCGUGCCUCCUGUCACAUCUCAUUCUACAAUAGUGCCCCAACAUAACCAAGUGCUGCAUCGCGACAUUAUUCGGUUGACGACACAAAAUCACGUUUCCAGACCAACUCCAGUUCGAGCUUCUGGGAACUGCAUACCACAAAAUAAUGUCCCAAGGCCAUCCAUAAUUCGUGCUUGUUCGUCCUCCUCUACCAAACAUGGAGUUCCAUAUAACCCAACUGUGGGUAGCCGACAUGUUCUAAAUAGAAGCACGAUUCAGCCGCGCUCGGGUUCACAGGAGUUGCUAGGUGUGCGUAAUUCUGUAAUUCAAAGGGAUCGAGGUACUAAGACUAGGAACAUGAGUUCCCAAUUUGUCUCUUCCAACACAAUGUCCAAAAGACUAGAUACUGAAGUUCCUGCAACAGUGACCCGCAACGCAUAUGUUCCACCAGAGAACAUUGAGAACAUUAUUUCUGCUCAUGCAUCACAGUAUCAACCAGAGAACAUUGAGAACAUUACUUCUGCUCAUGCAUCACAGUAUCAACGAAAUCCUGCUUCAGUUACAACAUCAAACGAAAGGAACUCGAACCUCAUUGUCUGCCCAAACAAUUCUGAUACAAGUCUAGGAACACAUACAUAUCAGAGCUCCUCACAACCGAGAAUGGACCCCAUUUUUGCAAACUCAGCACCCUCCCUAUACCCACCAUACAAUCUGUGUGUUCCUCAGUCUAAUGUAUACAACGAUACCAGUCGUGUUCAGAAUCAAAAUCAUCCUGCAACAUAUAAUGGUUUUUCCGAUUUUGACAUUAAUUGGGUCAAUAACAUCGAUUUAAGCAAUCAACAAUCUUCUGCUGAUUAUUUACAGUUUCAAACCUCAGGGUCCACAAAUGGGGAAGGACCAUUCAAGGUAAAUGGGGGAGAUAAGUCUUAUUACAAUGAGCUUGAGAGCCUCCUUUUGGAUAACCAGUGUGCUCCUGGAGGGUCUCUUACUGCAGGACUUAAUGCACCAUCUCCUCCUGAUCAUAUACCUCUCGAAACUGGUAUGCUUUUCUUUGAUAUCGAAAGCUCUUGGGAUCGUCUAACUUGUGCAUAGAGCAGAUUAGCAUUUGCUUGUGUAUUCUUGUAUGCUUUUCUUUGAUAUUGAGACCUGGCGGGAUCGUCAUUUAGCUUGUGUAUAGCGGAUUAGCAUUUGCUACUGGAUGUUCUAAAAGAAGGUAAAGUAUGUUCCUUGCUCCACAGACCCUGAAGAAGUCAUAGUUAGGAUGCUGUUCCGCAGGGGGGAACUCGGAGCACAGAGCUUAGCUUAAUUGGUUUGUACAGUCAUCUUUAAAAACCGACAUCGGAGUUAAAAUCUUGAAAUAUGCAACUUUUUUUUUAUUUCUCAAGCUACGGUUUCCUUUGUGUGGGAAAAAAACUUAAGAGGCCGAAUGAUGUUGUACAGAAAUAUUUAAGAAUCCAAUGGUUUUAACUUAUUGAACAAUGUCCAGAAUUCAUUCCUUUCUUGAUGUUUUUGCCUUAAAAUAAUGUUUUUGGAAGAUGGACAGGGUUUGUUGAUACUAAAUGUGGUGAGAAUGUUGGUGCGGUGGAGAUUAAGAUGGUUAGAGAAGGCGAAGAAAGGAGGAAGAAGUUUGGAGUAGGGGACGAGAGAGAGGUAUUAACCUGAAUAUGGGUCAAGUGCCUAGUUGGUAACUGAUGAUUGUUUUGUUUUAAGUGGUUUGGUUGUGUGAAGCAGUGUGAGGUAUAGAUGGUGGAACCCAACAAAGUAGAUGGCGAAACCGAAAUGGUUACAAGAGACCUUGGCUGAAUUGUGUUUCUAUUUAGGACUUGUGAACCAAAUUGCAAUUCAGUGUUUUUUCCUUGGGAGUCAAAUCUAUCAUAUACAAUAGUGAAUCCUAUAUUUGUUAUUUAUGUUGUAAAUUUUUAAUUAAGUUAAAAAAAUAUUGCUCAUUACAUAAUUAUUUAUACUCAAAUUCAGAUCCACAAUUUAACCUGAGGAAGGGCUAGUUUAGUAUUGCCUCUUAGAAGUAUUUUUGGGAACUAAAAGCACUUUUGAGAUUAAAGUACGGUUAAAUAAGAUACUUUUGAGCUUUUUAAAAUUGUUCGAGACAAAAAAAAAUGUUUUGCAAAAGCAGCAAAAGAAGAAAAUGAUGGUUUUUGUUCAAAGGUGCUUUUUAAUUUUAAAGUAUUUCUGAAAUGUUAAAUUGACUCGAAUUUCCACAAAACAGCAAUAAUCGAAAUAUUUAAUUUUUUUAUUAUAAAAAGUCCGAAUAUCAGCCUCUCGGACGUGAAGGAAAAGAAUUGGUUGGCUCCAAAGUUGCACCUCUUUAUCCAUGUUUCAACGCCCGUAGCUCUUACCAACGAUACUCCACUAUCUAUCCCUAAAGAAAGCUUUAUUAAGCGGAGGAAGAAGAAAAAACAAUGGUGUCAUCCUUACUUUCGCCUUUCCCCAACGUCAUUUCACAGCUUAACCUCGUCUCUCGCUCCUCUCCUCCUUUCUUUACCAGGUCUCGUUCCUGUCCUUUAUUAAUUUUGAGGAAAUCCAAAUUCAAAUAAACCCCACAAAGAAAUCUUUAUUGUAUCGACAUGGAUUCAAGCACUAUAACCAUAACAAUCCCAUUCUUUUGAUGCAAGAUUGCAAUGGAGAGAGAUGAUGAAUGAGUUUGAUACCAAUUCAUCUAUGAAUUUUACAUUUCAAAAAUUAAGAACUAAUAAAUAUAUAUAUAUAUUAAAUUUUUUUGUUACUUGCAUGAAAAAUUAUAGUUGUUAAAACUAAUUUUGUGUGUGGUACUGUGGUUUGCUCAAUGGUCAAUGCUUCAUUUCUAGAGAUAUUUUUUUUUUUCAAAUUUCAGGGCCCAAAUGUCAUCCGAAUCGCUUCCACCACUUCCUGAACAUCGCAUCGUCGUACGCUUUUUUUAUUUUUAAAUUGCAUUAUUGUCUCUAUCGUAUAUUCAUACCCCCUCUUUGUUUUUGUUAAAGCAUUAUCAUAAAAUUGAUGAAUGUCUUCAAUUUUGUUAACAUGAUCGACAGCUAGGGUGUGGGUCUGUCGGAGUGGAUUUCUUGGCCUCCGUCUCUUCUUAUCCUAAACCUGAUGACAAAAUCCGAAGCACUAGCUUAAAGGUUCUUCUUUUCUAAAAACCCUUGCUUCCUACUUUUAUUUACUUAAUCUACUGAUGAUUGACUUUCUUUGUAAAGCUUUGGGGUAUAGAGUAUGUGUCUGACAUGGGUAUUUUGGUUCGACACGAUUAUCUUAUUCGGACCUUCUUUUAGUGUAUUUUAAGUGAGCAAUGUAGUUCUUAUUUGAUCAAUGUUUCAAUUUGCCCUUCUCUGUUCAGUUUCGUUGUAGAACCUCGUAGUAGGUUAUGUUACUUGGGCUCAUGAGUGUUGGGUAUGUACAUGUGUCCAAUACGAAUAUUUUUGUCUAUCAAUGUUUUAAUUUGCUCUUCCGUCUUCCAUUUCUUUGUAGAACCUCCCAGUAGUUUGUAAGUCUCAAGUAUGGAUAUGUCUCCAACAUGAGUAUUUUCAUUUUAUUUUCUAAGUUUUUAGCUUGUACUUGGAGAAUCCUUGGAGGGUCAUGUUUUCAUAUCCAAGUUUAAAUAUGCAUUGGGCACACUUGUUGUAAGAGAAGGAUACUUAAGGAAAAUUGUAAGAGCUUGAGCUAUAUAACUAGUAGGUUUAAUUGAUUAGUUUAGCAUUUUUUUCCACAGGUUCAGGGAGGUGGGAAUGCUGGAAAUGCCUUAACUUGUGUUGCUCGUUUAGGAUUAAAUCCACGACUAAUUUCUAAGGUCUUACAUAUCUUUGUUCUUCUUUAUUUUCUCUAUCUACUUCAAUUCCACCGUGAAAUUUGACUGUUGAAUGAGAUAACACUUUUAUUGCAUCAUAUAAAUCAUUAGGUUGCCAAUGAUGCCCAAGGCAAGAGUAUAUUGGAGGAGCUUGAAUCUGAUGGAGUCGACACUUCAUUCUUUAUUGUAAGGCUUUGAGAUAUUUUAUGGUGCUUACUUAUGGGAAAGAUCCAUAGCCUACUAUUAUCAUUGCUUUUAUCUUGAUUGAUAUAAGAAGGUUAUUUGCCUUGAAGCUUUAUUCCAUUGGUAUUUUUGAAUGUUUGGAUAUUCGAUUCUAGAAAUAAUGCUCCACCCGGAUUUAUGCAAUAUAGUUGGAUCAUUUGCGUUUGUCAAUCAUGACUUGUCCAGACUCUAGAAGUUAGAAGCCAAGAAAAGAACCUAGGAACUUGGACUGUCAUAUAGUAGAGACCGACAUGGGAAGGACUGUAUUUUAUCAUACAUCACAUCAUAGAUGCCUAGAUGAGCUUUGUGCACUGGGCAGCCUUUUUUUUUCAUAUAAGACAUAUUUUACUGCCAUUAAAUGUCUCAUUACAACCUGGACUCCCGCUUUCUGAACUAAUUGUGUGGAUUUCAGGUUUCUGAGGAGGGGAAUUCGCCAUUUACUUAUAUAAUUGUUGACAACGAAACGUGAGCACCUGUUGCCUUAUUCCAUGCAUUAUAUAAUCAGUUAUCCUUUCAGUAAGAAGUGUAUUUCCUUGAAAAAUCCUUCUUUUCUCUCCGAUUCUGUGUAUAGGCAUUCGAGAUCUGCCUAUAGCAGGUUUAAAGCAUGGAAAAUUAUCUUCUUCAGAGUGGCUUAGAUGGCUUAAGGUCACCUUUGACCAGCUCUUUCCAUCCUUUAUUUAAAAUAGUAUUUAUUUACAUUUUCUUUGGGUGUAUAUAUAAGCCGCAACUCUUAACACUUGUGCCAAGAACCCAAAGAAAAAAAAGAAGUUUUGCUUAUGUUAAAAAAUGAAAAUAGAAAGCAUGUGUAUCCAAUCAGUUGACACUAAACUUUCAGGAAAACUCGCACCUGUAUUCACACCCCUGGUUAUCCACCCUUGAUACCAGAUGAACUCUCACAGUCCCAAUUAUUAUCUGCUUUGGAUGGAGCAAAUAUGGUCUAUUUUGAUGGAAGACUGUACGAAACUGCUUUAAUUAUUGCAAAAGAGGUACAUUUUCUUUUUCUUGUUCUACUUAUAGUAUCAAGGCAGAUGAAAUUAAGAGUUAUCAUAUGGCUAGGAGAUGUGUUGCUCCUCCUUCAUUUUGCUUGGAGUAUAUGUUUUUGACAUUUAUUGGGACAUGAGAUAUGAGGAUAUGAAACUAUCAAGUACCCUCUAAAUACAUGGAAAAACUUGGAAAAAAAUGAACAAAUCCUUGUCGGAUACUUAAAGAUUAUUCUUCUUAUUUGGUAACCAUUGGAUUUUCCUUAUUUUAGCUUCUUUGAUUAGCUUUACCUUCAACUUAUGGCAUAUUCGAUGCUGGCAGUUUUUCUGUGAUUGCUAGAAUAAUAAGUCGUUCCUCUACAUUCUUCAUCAUUAAUAUCAACUGAUAGCAAGUCAAUAGCACUCUUUUGUAUGUUUCCAGUACAGGCAGCUUGCAAAAAUAUUCCAAUAUUAGUCGAUGCAGAAAGGGAAAGGGAAGGUUUAGAUGAUCUUCUGAAUUUUGCUAGUUAUGCUAUAUGCUCAGCAAGAUUUCCGCAGGUAAGUUGAUCUUUUGAUGGAUCACUAUAUGGUUCUUUUACAUUGAAGUUCCCCACAGGUAACUUGGUUUUGCAAACAUGUGUCAAAAUUUAAUGAAAUGCCCUACAACUCUUAUCCAAUCUCCAUAGAAUCCUUUUUCCAUAAUCUUUUAUAAGUGAUGUCUUCAUCCUUAUCUUUAGGAACUUAUUUUGUCAUUAUUAGUUAAAUCUAUUUUAGUUUGUCACUCAAUUGGUAAUUUGGAUAUUUAAUUGUUGCCUGGUUCUUUAAUCUUUAGUUACAAAGAUGAUAUACAUGUGCAUUGCCACUGAUAUUUGUUAACUCAGUUGAUUUUCUUUUGGCACGUAUUAUGAACUUCUGAUGAAAAAGGCGUGGACAAAGGCUCCAUCUCUUCCAAGUGCACUUCUUUCUAUGCUUCUGAGAUUGCCAAACUUAAAAUUUGUGAUUGUGACACUGGGUGAAGAUGGAUGCAUAAUGCUCGAAAGAAGUGUAAAUGGUAAAUACCAUAUGAAAUGGAACUGUAAUCUUGUUGGAACCAUAAAAAAAAUCGAUACUUGCUUGAUUCAUUUGAAUUUGCAUUUUUUACAGGUAUUCUCUACUAUGUUUGCAGGUGGUUCCGAUGCUGAAGAAAUUGAUAUUCACGGUUUAUUGGAAUCACUAAAGCAGAGAAAAGAUGAAAGCAAGACCAUACCAACAUGUAUCUCAUCGGUAAUAUACAAAGCAAAGGACUUUAUAAUUGGCUUACAUAUUAUAUCUCAUCAGGAAUACAGUUGCACGAUAUGAACUUCACUGUCUUAAAUCUUUUUCUAGAUUUGCGCUCUCAAUUCAGGAGCAUGCCUCUGAUUCAUGUUGCUAUUUUACACUACAUUACUCUUACUCUUCAUUUCUCUUGAAAUACUUGUGUCCACACUUGUGUCCACACUUGUGUCUGACACACUUUAUGCGGAUAUGCCACACCAAAGGCUCUUUAAAUACAAGAAAAGCUUAGAAAAAUUGAAUAUAUUCAUGCCAGACAUAUACCUGUUUCCAGCACUCACAACUAUUCGAGUAAUAUUUUCUCUAUUAUAUUGCAUAUGUUUAUAUACAGCUCAUCUUAUAGGAUUGCUGCUACAGGUAGUUCAUAUUUCUGAUACUUUAGGAUUUUAAGUUUUCAAUGGAACCCAUUUAAUCUCUGCCGUGAUCUAAUGUUGCUUGAAUCCGAGUUCAAAGUUAUCUCUUCCUAAAUCUAGUUUGCAAGAGUUCUCCGGAGCUACUUCUGGCUUCUGAAAUUCUAUUCUCUUAUAAGUGGCAAUUAUGAAUUUCUGUUUCAUCUUCCAGAUUUUUAUUUGCUAGAUGGCUCCCCUUGUAGGUGGUUACCAAAUUGAGUGCAAAUGGGAUAGGAACAGUAUUUGGUCGGCUAUUUAUUGGAACAGCUGAAAAGAUUCCACCAUCAGAACUUGUUGACACAACCGGCGCCGGAGAUGCAUUUAUUGGAGCAGUAGUUUAUGGUACAUUUAUCCCUUCAGACCUCAUUAGUCUCCAACUUUUGUUUUCCGAGAGAUUAAACAUAUUUAUGUUUAAUUUGAAAGUUGCUAGAAAUAGGUAGCUAAGGUUUUUUUUGCUUUAAAGGUUCUCAUAUUUGUCUUGAUCUCAACCAUCCUUUGUUCCAAAAGUGCAUAACUAUUAAUUAGCAAUAAACCUGGCAGAAAUCUCAGAUUCUUCUGUAUAGCACUCGAUUAAGGUGAAGGUGAUUGUGUGCGUAUAUAAGAUGAACCCUUCAUCAACAGUUUCAUCAGUUAGUGAGGUUUCUUCUAUUAAUCUAUGCACAACUUAUAGCCUUACUGGAAACUUUGUGUCCUCACAGCUGAACUAGUAUCAUUUUAUGGGGAACCAUACGACAUCAUUUCAUUCACCUUACAUUUUCUUAGACUAAUGUAGUCUGCAACAUUUUGCAAUUCGUAACCUGGCCAGAUGGGUCAUUCACUUUGAAAGAGCAUCAUUUCUUCCAUUAUUUCCGCACUGGUCCUUUCAUUUUCUAUUUAUGGAUUAAGCCAUUUACGAGGUUGAUGACAACCCAUUUUUUGUUUUUAGCUCUCUGUGCGGGCAUGCCACCGGAGAAGAUGUUACCAUUUGCUGCUCAAGUGGUAAGCGGAUUUACUCUUUGUUAAUUAGCUGCUAAAAUUUCUAAUUGCCAGGAGAUGUUUUUAUUUUCCUUACCUAUUUUCGAGGCUUCAAUGCAGGCUGCAUCUGGCUGUAGGGCUUUGGGAGCCCGAACGGGUCUUCCACACCGAACAGAUCCACGCUUGGCGACCUUCUUGUGACAUGUCAACUAUGUUAGAGGUUAAGUAAAUUGAAACUUUGCCCUACAACCAAGAGCAUUGAUAUUGCCAUGACAGACUUCUGUAAGCUUUACUUUCAUCAACAUCAUAACAUGGUCCCUAAUACAAGCUAAGACAUCCUUUUAUAUAGAGCAAAGGAUUAUAUAUAUAUAUACAUAUAUAUAGAAACACAACCUUCUUUGCCUACAUUAGACUUCUGGUCUUAAUUCACUUAUGUUACACUGAAUAUUACAGGUCAUGGUCCCAGAGAGGAGUUAUGAAUCUCACAUUGACAGUGUACUAGAGUUUGAUUGAAGACUCACAAAGUGGGAGACACUUUAUGCGAACAAAAUUGUGAGGCUUAAAUGACCGAAUCAGAUAAUUGCUUGUAAUUUGGUGUGAAAGCUAAUUGAAAUUGGGUUUGGGUUAUUAGUGAUGAUAGUGAGGUGUCAUUGGAGUGGGGGAUGUUACGGUCUUAGACAGCAACCAUCAAUCCUCCUACCCCCAUUUGUUGGAAUUACAUUUCAUUUGCAAUAUAAAAAUAUAUUCGCAAAUAUCUGUAAGCAUUUCAAAUUUACCACAAUGCUUGGAAUGAGAAGGAAAGGAUUAAAUUUAUAUAGACAUUACAUUAGUAUAUGAAUUGUGAGGUUGUAAUAUGAUACAAAAUACAACAUAAAAUUACAAAGACUUGAUGGACUAAUCUCAUUUAACUUCUUCAAUCUCAUCCAGUGCAUAGUUGUUGGUAGAUACAUUGGCAUAGUUGACUUUGUUGAAUCGAACCACCACCGGGUACCGAGUCUUGGGGUCCUGCAACUCGUAAAGUGAAUGUUUUAACUCAGUCAGCCAUCACUCGUAAAGAAAUGUCUAAAGAAAAUUUAAAAAUAAAAAUAAACCUGGUCAACUGUAACAACGGAUCCAUAGCCAUUGUACCAGUAGGACUCCCUUCUAAGGAUCCUCACCUACAGGGAUAAAGUUAGAAAAUUCUUUUAUAGGGAUCAAAAUUAAAUUGUAAUUUGUACAAUAAUAAAAAUAUAAUUUUAAUUUUAUUAAUUUAAAAUUUAAAAUUAUUUAAAAAACUGAAAAAUUUUCCAUUUUAGAUUUCGGCCUGUUUACCACCAAUUCCAUGUAAAUAUAUAUUAUGUAGCGUCCUUGUCCACCUAACACCAAUUCCAUAUAAAUAUAUCUUAUCCUUAAUAAAUUUUACCUGCAAUCAUAUUGCUAACCCUAAAUCGAAUUAUUAAAAUAUUAAUAAUAUAAAAAAAUAAAAUAAAUUUUGUAAAAUUAAUAAUAUUGUUUUAUAUUAACUACAUCAAUAGGUAAAUGCAUUAAAUUAAUCUUUCUAUUAUUAAAUAGAAUAAUUAAGUUUUGUAUUAUUAAAAAUUAUGCUAAAUUGUAAAUAUAUCAUUUAUUGAUUAAAAGAGUUAAUAUUUGUAAGUGUUUAUUGUUUUGUAAAUGAAUUUUUUUUCAAAUAAUUGUAUAAAAUAAAUGUUAACUUUAUUCCAAUUUGAAAUUAAAAUGUGUAUAAUAUAUAUUAUUUUUACAGUAUUAAAAUAUAUUUUUAAUAGCAUAAAAUAUAUAAUGUUUUAAAUAUUAUUUGGGAAAAUGUAAAAAAAAUUUAAAAAAAUUAUAAAUAAAUUUAAUAUUUUUGUGAUUAAAAAAUAUAACUAAGCCGUGCGAGGGAUAAAAAAACCUAGUAUUUACUAUAAAAUCCAGCUAACAUAGAGUAUAAUAAUUGCAGCCAACCUUGGUUCCUCUUUUUGGUCCAAUCGGUGGUGGUUUAGGCUUAGGGGCUUCACCACCUUCUGGUGGCGCAGUGGUGGUUGCUGGUGUUGGUGCUGGUGGCGAAGCCUCCUCCUCAGCCGCCCUUACGACGAGCCUUGAGCUAUUGUAGUAGUUGUUUCUGGAAGGGGAAAAGAGCAUGCUGAUGUUAUUGGUCUUAGAAGCAGCAGUGCCGGUGAGAUUGGGCAUUAACAAGAACCUCGAGGCAGCCGAUGCCAUGCCGCUGCAGCUACCCAUCUCUCUCUCUCUCUCUCCGCUAAGCUUAAAACUGUGGCCCGAUCGUUUUAAGCAAAUGAAAAAGAAAAAGAAAAGGAAUGAUUGAGAGGCCUUGAAUUAUUUGGAAUAUUUUUAAAAAAAAAUUAUCAAUGAAUUUUAUCUGAUAUUGAGAAAGUGGACCCCUUUUUACGUUUUACAUCCACUAGGAAGCUGACACCUAUGCACCACAUCUCUUUUGUUUGGAUAAUGUGAUUAUAAUUUUAAAACCCCAUCUUUUCGGAACUCCUUUAUAUCUCUGUUUAUUUUAGUAUUAAAAUUGAAAAAUAUUAUGAAAAAAUUAUUAUUAUUUAUUAUUAUUAUUAAAAUGUGUUUUUGAGAAGAUAAAAUAUUUAUUUUAAAAAUGUUGUAAAGUAAAAAAUAUGUAUUUAAAUUCAUUAAUAUUAAACUUAAAUUAUAAUAAAAAUUAAAUUUUAAUUUAUUAAGUAAUUAAUAUUAUAAUAUAUGAAAUACACGUAAUAUAUAAACUCAAAUUCAUCAGUAUUAUGGGAUAUGAAAUAUAUACACUUAAAUUGUAAUAAAAAAUUAUAGACUUAAAUUUAAAAUAUUAUUAUUUGGAGAAUGCCAAAUUAUUAUUGUUCUGUUGUUUACAAAUAUUCAAUUUAGAUUAUAGUACAAACAUAGUAAAAUAAUUUAUUAUAAUAUAUGAAAUAUAAAAUUUAAAUAUUUUUAAAUAAUUAAUAUAAAUUAGUUGUAAAAUUUAAUUUGAAUGCAUAGAUCAUAUUUAUUUUUUAUAGUUAUCAUAAAUGAGGGAUAAAAUUAUAAUUUUUCAUUUAAAUGGAUUUUUAAAAAAUUAAAAGCUAAAAUUUUAUUUUUUUGGUUUCGCUUGAAAAGGCAAUUUGAAAAACUAGUUGUUUAUUGUUACUUUUGACUUGAAAAACACUUUUGUAACUCAACAAUAAACAAAAGAGUUCACAGUCCGAAAAGGGAAAAAAAUAAAUUUAAAACUAAAUUCAUGACUUAUUUAAAAAUUUAUUUAAUUAAAUAUUUGAAGUUUUUGUUUAACGAUAAAGAAAAAGCGAUUUAAAUUCCUAUUAAUUCUAACAAUUGGUUGCAAAGUUAAUUAUUUGGACCUUUCAAUUCAUAGAUCUGGAUUUUAGAUGUAUGAACAGAAUAUUCCCGAAACUCACAAAGAAAAAAAAAGUGAAAGUUAUUGAUUUAAAUCUCAUUGUGUGUAAGUUUGAUUUAGAUUUAUAUUAAUGAGUUCUCCAGAUAUAUUUUGUAUUUUCAUAACAAAUAGUUUUUAUUUGUUAAGUCAUUUGUUUCUUAUCUUUUGUUUUGCUCAGUAGUAGUGUCAACCUCUAUCGCCCGCAUUUUUUCUCUUUCAUCAACCCUUUCUUCUUUCUUCUUCUCAUUCACUACACAUGUCUUCUCUCUUUACAGUUUGUAGAUAUAUUUUAUGACAUCUUUGUUGUUUUCAUCAUUCGUUAAAACUUCAUUGGCCACCAGUAGUUUUUCUUGGAAAGUGAGUGGCUCUUCGUCAACUUCUUAAUCUGCUUCUGUUUUGAGAGUAUUUCAAAAUAAUAAAUGAUUUCUUGUGUCAAUUUGGACCCGUGUUGUUUAAGUUUUAUGUUUUUUUGCUUGUUUUUUCAUUAUUUAAUAAGUUUCAGUUUUAAAAAUUUUUGUCUGCUCUUGUAGCACGUUUUAGUCUUGCUUAUGCAUGUAAUCUUAGUUUUACAAGUGAUUUUAGGGAUGAUUUUAUUGUUGUCCUCUCUAAUUUGGUGAAUGCUCAAUUAUUUUAUCGAAUUUUACUUGCCGCUUUGGACCAUCCGAGGCUGAUUUUCUUAUCGUAUUAAGUGUUUGCAAUCACUCCAGUUAUGUCGUGCUUGAGUUGUAAAAAGCCAAUUGUCAACAUAUUAUAAUAUUCUAUUGAUGUUGAGGUUAAAGAUUUUAUUGUGUCGAUGGAGUUUAUCAUUCAUCAUUUACAACAAGUGUUUGCUAUUUCUUUUCUUUAAAUUGUAUGAUUUGAUUCCUUGAAUGAAUUAAUAAAUUUAGCUUUCAAAAAUUAAUAGUUUUAGUGUGCAUUGUAACGCACUUUUAAAUUAAGUAGUUCUGCCCAACCUGACUCGACUUGAGUCGGACUUAAACAAAAAGAAAUUUAGAUUCACUUUUUUCACUAUGAAUUGAACAUUCAUGGUAGAAUGCAGAUUCAUGUAGGAGUACUAAAUGUGUGGAACCCCUAAAUACUAUAAAUAGGUUCCUCUCGCAACUCAAACGAUUCAAGUUCCUAAAGUUUUACAUUCCUUUUUGUUGAGCUUCCCAAGUCUUUUAUUCUAUAUUAUUACAAUUCUAUUAUUGUGGAAAGACAUUUCAAUAUUCACUCAAAUCAAAAUCAUUUUAAAUGACAAAUGAGAAUUGCAAUAUUAGACUCAACAAACAAGCUUCAUCAGUUACACACCCGAUUCAAUCAUGAACACCAUUACAAAGUAAUACAGCGAAAUCGAGUCCGAUGACCUAUAUACAAAUCACAUCAAACUUUGUCCACAAAAGGAAAGAAUUUAAAGGAGUAGAGUGCAAUGAUAUGUACUUGAUCAAUUUGAAAUACGAACGAUACUGCCAUCGUUCUACUUCGUCUUCUUACUUGCAGAUGCGUUCUACUUCAGUGAAUUAUAUUUAUCACCGCUUUGCAACCCGAACUGCAAUGCAAAAUUCAGUGGCAUGAUUUAGGAAACAACUAUGCAUAGAAAGAUGCUAGGGGGAAACUAACUCAGCAUAAAUGAAAAGAAUAUUUUGAAAUUGAUUUCAUGGCGCAAAACGGGGUGGAACAACGGAGAUGCUCAUCAUUUUUUCCACUGAAGACAAGCUAUAAGCAAUGAAGUUCAGGAUACCUUUUCUCUUAUUUGUGAGCCCCAGACAUCAGAGCGAGAUCCCCUUCCGUCACCCUUGGCUGAGGUAGAUGAGUGGCUAGACUGAGGGUUUAGCAAUGGCUCCCAAGUUCUACCUCUAAUGCUUUCAUAAUCAUCUUCAUCUUCAUCAUCGAUGUCUCUUCUUCUAGCAGAAACCAUUGCCCGCAAAAUUAUUGCCACUAGCAUUGCUAAUGCCUGAAACAUUGAAGGAACAAAUCAAUCACAGUAAAGAAGCCAGCAGAUUUACCGGACGCUAUAUACAUACAUCUUUUAUUUGCUAGUGGAAAACAAGAUUCUUUUCAUCUAGCCCUUGAAUUUAGUUACCAUAUACAUAUAUAAUAUAUACUCACUAGAAAAUAAACAGUUCAGUGCUGGCAUUAAAAAAACAAAGGGGAAACCUAAACUAAAUACUUCUUUCACAAUGGAGAAACUGCAAAACAUGGUAAGAUCACUGUAAAAUGCCAUUAUGACAAAAUUCAUAAAACCUUACGACCAUAAAAUGAACUUUAGUAGAACUUAACUGAUGAAGUGCAACAAUUAUGACCAUAAAGUGUUCGUUUAGUUACUGCAUCUUCUUUAAAAGUGCAUAAUAAUUGCAAUCAAUUAAUUUAGGAUGUUAUAAACUGCAUGAAGACACGGGCUAAAAAAUUUACUUGAAUAAUGACCACACUGAUGCCAACCCAUUUACAUAUAUCAAUGUUGUCUUCAACAAAGGAUCGGAAGUUAUCAAUUUCUCCAGUUGGGUCAAACGGAAGAUCCUGUCAUAAAAUGCAGUAUUUAGUUGCAGUCUUGUAGAUGAUAAUCUGCACAUGAUCAAAACCAUGGCAUCUCAUGAUAAACACAAUGCACCAAGAAAAAGUAUAUACCUUCUCCCAGCUACGGUCAAUUGCAAUAAAUGCUACCAAAGCAGCUUCUAUUAGAACGAGAAUAAUUUUGAGAAGUGUAUACUGGCAGUUUGAUCAAGUUAAGGAAAAACAAAUAAUAGAAUGCAAUCCACUGGAUAAUUGCCAGCAAGAGCUUAAAACCGUCAAGUACUUAGUUUUAGAGACACUUAACAGUGAAAAGAAGAAUACUAAAUAUUGAAUUUUGUGCUUAAAGUUUUGGUCCUAUAUUAGCACUUCAUCUUCUCCUGCUACUGCCACUUCUCAGAAUACAAAGCAUAAGAAAAGUUAAAGAACUUAAAGCUUCAACACAUAUAAAACCAUUGCCUGAAAUUCACGACUUUCAUUAAAAAUUCAUACUAAUCUCUAUUGUAGAGAUGUUCAGAAUCACUGCAGUUUAACUUAUCAUUAAGCCAACUUCUUUUGAAAAGAAAUAUAAAGACUCAUCUGGUAGGAUACAAAACAAAGGCAGCAUCCGUUAAUAGAUUCAGCAGCUAUGCAACCAAUGAGAGCAAUACAACAUAUCGUAAUUCCUAUUCCCAUAAAAGAGUAUAUGAACCUGAAACAAAGGAGAAAAUCAUCAAGUUGACACACAUGUAAGCACUUGCAAUCCAAAACGUCCAAUCAAAACCACCACAAAAAGCAAGCAUUGUAUCGCCAAUCCAGUGAAAUAACAAAUUGAAAGAGACACAACCCAGUUAGCAACCAGUGACAACCAAGUUCAAAAAUAACAUCUACAGAAAUAGUUACGACAAACUUUAAACUUGUUAAAGAAAAAAGUCUCCGCCUUUUGCAUUAAGCAUAUUCGGUCCUAAAGGUAAGACUUGUAAGUUUGUUUUCUCAAAUCCUAUGUUACUUGGACUUGGGUGUGAUUGUCGAAUAUGGGAAUAUAAUUGAUACAGGAAUGUUCAAUUUUUUAUAUGAGUUUCCAUGUAUUUGGAAGGUCUUUGAAGAGAUAUAUCCCAUACUCAUGUCAUGAAAUGUGUCCAAAACAGAUACCAAACAUGGGUACUUGAAUAAAAAUGAAGAGCUGGAUCAACUUAGUCAAUAAAUAUGGUGAUUUAAAAUUACUGACUACAUAUUAAGAGGCAAAAGUAACAAAACAAAAAAAACAAAAUUAGAAUUGAGCUAGCAAUUUUGUUGCAUGGCAUGUUUUGUUGAAGAACAUAAGGAUCUCACGUAAGCAACUCUUUAUCCAAGUUUUUCUCCAAUGUACAAUAAAUUAUUACCUAAGUACAGAUCAUUAAAUUACAUGAUCAAAGGUUCAACGUAUAUAAAUCCCAAAAUGAGAUUAUUAACCUGUCCUAUCAAACCCCCUUCCCAAACAAUUAAAGUUCGUCCCCCUUUUUUUAUUUUCAAAAGAUUGACAGCAUUUAAUGCAGUCUCCACUUCAAAAUUCCUUAUAAAACAAUCAAUUAAUUAAAAAGAAAAGAACUAAAUAGAGCAAGUACCAGGGAGCAGGUAGUUCAACUGAGCUCAAAUUAAACCCGACAUCAUUGUCCAACCCGGAAACCAAACCGACAGCAAAAUCGUCGAAAACCCUAGCUGCUUGUUCUCCCAUCUCCGGUCCCGAAUUGAAGAGGAUCGAAUUGGAAACAGAAGAAACCGGAGACGGCGCUGAAGGAGGAGGAGGAGGAGAUAUUGGGACGUGAUGGCUCCACUGAUCCAACAUCCAUAUUGAAUAGAGAAUAAUGGAUACUCCAACGAAACCUUGGAGAGAAUUCAAUAACUUGAGAACAAAAGCAAACGAAACGUGGCAGCAAUUGGUUCUCAUUCCCUCAGAUUUUCAAUCGAUUUUGAUGAAUUUCUUUUUCUUUUUGUGGAGGGGAGGGAAUGAGAUCGAAGCUGCGUUUAUUAGCCCUUCUUUUUGUUCUCAGUGAAUUAGACUUUGAAUCUGGGAAGAGACGGAACUGUCUACUGUUAACGACAGUUAUGAUCUUUUGGGCUUCGUUAACUUACGGCCCAUGAGGUUGAGCUCAUUAUUUUUUAUAUUAAAAUGAUUGAAAUUGAAAUAUUAAUUUUUUUUAGAAAAAAAGUUAAAUAAAUUAAAUUGGAUAAUAAAAUUUUAAAUGAACAAAAAUGAUAUUAUACCUUUUAAUCAGGUAGCCAUUACCGGUAUCCCGAUCGAUCCUCGAUCAAACUAAUUGAUUGAGUUCAAUUCAAACAACCAUGAAAAUAGAUAUAAAUAUAUGUCGGACCCAACCAAUACAGUGCAUAAUAAAUAAAGAAGAGAACAAAAGUUAAUUAAUCUGAAAAGUACCAAAACACACACACUUAACGAGAAAAAGACUCACACAACGCAAUUACAAAUGAUAAAACUCAAACUCGAGUCUUCAAUAUUUGAAACUUCAACCUUAAUUAAUUAUUCAACUUUUUUUUCACAAAAUAAAUGAAUAUCAAAAUACAAAAUUUUAUUUAAGUAAAUAGUAAUUGAAUGGAAAAUGGAAAAUAGGGGAUGUUUUAACCUUUUGUGACUGACCAUUUUUAUUCCACAAAUAACAUUCAAAGAUGACAUUAUUAAUAGUUUUAACUCAUCAUCUUCUUCUCUUAAUAUAUAUUAGGUUCAGUCUUAUUCCAAGGAUCCCAUUUAUAUUGCAAAUGAUAUUCUUUAUGCUGAUAGCUGAACAAAUAUACGCCGUUGUCUUGCGAUCUCCACCGGCAGUUAUUCCCGCCGCAGUCGUUUAGCAGGAACUUAUCGUCCACCCAGAAGGCAUCAAUGUACUUUUCGCCGCAGGUCCACCACAUGUGGCGGCUGAACUUGGUCGUUGAGAAGAAAUCGGUACGGAACGUCCAAUUGAACUCGUUGGAGGUACAUUUAGGUAUAUAAUUAAAAUACACUUAGAAUUAAAAUGAAAAUUUUUGUAAAUACUAAUGGCUAAAUUUGUUGAUUUUUUUAGAUUUAAGAUUAAAUUUAUAAAAUAUGUAAACAUUAGGGGGCUAAAUUUGUUAUUAGACCAAUAAAUAAAUGUCCACAUCAGCUUUUCGUCACUAAGAUGACGUAACUAGCGAAAGAGUGACUAAAAUAUAUAAUUUUGAAAUUUUGAGUGACUAAAUCGAAAAUAAAUAAUAACUAGAUGACCAAACUAAAACUAAAAGCAUAUUUAGAUGACUAUUCUUAUAAUUUGCCUUUUCAUUUUAUUGGAACAAAUCUAACUACAAAUCGAAAUCAACCCUAAAUAAUGUAAUAAAAACGUGCUAAAUUGUAUUAUCUAAUAUCCAUUGAAUUUUGAAUUGUACUAUUGUUGGGGGAUUUUAAGUUUUUUAAUAAAAAAAUUUAAUUAAUUAACAAUGAAAUUUAAUUUUAAAUUAAAUAUUAUUAAAUAGUAAAUAUAUUUAAAUUUUAUAUUUAAAUUAUAAUAAUAUUAAUAAAUCAUAUUUCGUUAAAUAUUAAAAUUAAAUUUGUGUUAAUUAUUUAGAGCCAAAGGGAGUUGUUAAGUUAAUGCAAGUAAAUAUGCAAAUAAAUCAUUUUAAAGAUAUUAUUUAAAAACAAAACAAAAUAUUUAAAAUUUUCCUAUUACGAAUUGGAUAAAAAAAUAAAUAUGAUUUCUAUCAGUAUAUAAAUGUAUUAACCUAAUCAUUUAAUAUAUCAUUUAAAAAUAAAAUAUUUUAUUUUUUAAUUUUUAAUAUACAUGCGUAUAUGAUACGAGUAUGAGAGUCCAAUUUUUCUACUGAAUUUGUUUACCCUUUUUAUCGUUUAUUAACGCAUUCUAACACCUUCUUGUUUCUUGUGUUAGUAGGUACAAUGAAAGUCUUUUUUCCUUUCUCCGCGCAACUUCUUUAUUUUGGAGUCGAGCUUUCUUUGACUUCUUAAAACCUUAGGUUUGCUUUGCCAAAAAACACUCACAAUCAAAUUUGAUCGAAUUAUCGGUUUUGUGCACUUUAAGAAUUACAAGUGAAGGAUUCCUGUAUUGUGAGUGCUAACGCAAAGGACUUUUAUUAUAUCACUUUGCUUGUGAGUGUUGUGACUUUCAGGAUUUUCAAUGGCGAAGCAUAGGUGUCGUAUUUGUUCACAAUGCUAAUCAAAUUUCUAUUGUUGACGGAUUUGUCAAGAAAUACAUUGGUCUAAUGGUCAUAGUGACAUGCAUGAUAUUCAAUGACUUUUGGCAAAGCUUAGAGAACACAACUCCAAGUGCAUAUUUUGUGACGAGAGGGAUCACCAAAGUAUUGACUGGUCAACAGUUUCAUUAGGUAACUUUUCAUCUUUGUAAACCAAGAAAAGUACGUAUGACACUGAGCCUAUUAAAAAGUCUUCUUCUAGUGCUACCGUUAAAGAUGAAGAUAUGUGUGAACAAGAAGCUUCUAGUGAUGUAAUUUGUGAAGAAAUUUUACGUGGCCCUAUGUUCAUUGUUGAGAUUUCUUCUAGUGACACAAAAAGUUGUGAUGGCAAAUUUAUCAAUCAAGAAGACAUUGAUAGUGAAGAAAGUUCACACCUUUGGACGAGCUUGUUACUUCAAAUCCUACCACAAAUUUGUUCUCUAACACAUGCUACAUUUCAAAUAACGUUUCUAUCUUCUUCAAUGACACACAAGAUUCAAAGACAAGUUUUUUUAAGGAAAAGCGAAUGAUACGAGUAUGUGGCCCAAUUUUUAGCCUAAGAACAUGUUGAGCUUAACCUUCUAAAAAACCCAUUUGAAGCCCAACUUUGGAUGGGAUUCGAGCAUCCUUGGAGGAGAGCAAGAUCAUCAAAAGUUUGAAUCUUGGUUUCAAGAAAAUCAAGAAAAUAAAUCUUCAUUUAAAAGAGACAGACUUGAAGAUUCUAAGUUCAAAGAAACCCUCGAGUUUCAAAUUAGUUACUCCCUUCCUAUUCUUUUGUUUUCUUCAAGAUUCUUACAACUUACAUUCGAAGAUCUUUCUUGUGCUACUCCUACAAUUUCAAAUAAAUCAUUUACAUUUUAAUUAAAAGUUAAUAAAAUAAGUUGGACACUAUGAUUUAUUUAAAUAUUUUUUGUUUUGAGAAAUAAGAAAUGGAUGUCAUUAAACUUGAAAAUUAAAUACAAUCUUUAUAUGGGUACCACACGUUCUACUCUCCUACAUUCGUCAGUUGGUAGAGCAAUUCCUAAUUAAUACAAAAGUUGUAUCCUACUCAAUUCCUAAGAGACUUAAAUCAUCCAUUCCUAAAAGAAACAAACACUAAAAACCAACUACAUCCUAAUUUUUAGAAGAAGAAAAAAACCCCAACAAUUUCUCCUCCGGCAAUCUAUUCUUUCAUCUACCACCACUACACCAAAACAGGCUUUUAGCAGCAUUUUUAGCGGCGUGUGGACAAAAAACGCCACUAAAAAUCAAGCAUUAGCGGCGCUUUUAUAAAAAAGCCGCUAAAGGUCGAGCAUUAGCGGUGCUUUUUGGAAAACGCCGCUAAAAAUAAGCAUUAGUGGCAUUUUUUGGAAAGCGCCGCAAAACCCUAAGCCGAACGACACCGUUUUUUGAGUUUUUGGGGCAUUUAGCGGCGUUUUUGAAAAAGCGCCGCUAAUGCUGGGGCCUCUAGCGACGCUUUUUAGAAAGCGCCGCUAAUGCUAGGGCCUUUAGCGGCGUUUUUGAGAAAGCGCCGCUAAUGCUCGGGCCUUUAGCGGCGUUUUUGAGAAAGCGCCACUAAUGCUCGGGCCUUUAGCAGCGUUUUUGAAAAAGUGCCGCUAAUAAUAAAAAAAUCUAAAACCAUUUCAAUUAUCUCAUUCUUUGAUAUAUUCUCAAGUAAUGUUUCAAUUAUAUUUUUUAUUGUAAGUUGAAAAAAUUGAUAUUUCGUUGUAUUUAUUAUAUAUUGGUCAAAUUUACAUUUAAAUGAUAACAAAUAAUAUUGUUUAAUACAAAAUGUUUUUAUUAAAGAGAAGUCGUCCUAACUCCUAACUAUUUAUUAUUAUUUUUCAAUCACAGUUUAUUUAAACUACUUUACGAGAAAAAUAUAUUAAAUUAUGAGUAAAAUAAAAUAUCAUAAAACUUAAAUUGUUGUGUUGUAAAGAAUAAAAAAUAGAAUAAAUUUUUAUAAGAAUGAUAAAUUUUGAUAGUUCGAUUAAAUAAAUCAAAGAAAGUAAUAUAAAACACCAAAUAUCGUGAUAACUAAUAUUAUAUAUUGAUANNNNNNNNNNNNNNNNNNNNNNNNNNNNNNNNNNNNNNNNNNNNNNNNNNNNNNNNNNNNNNNNNNNNNNNNNNNNNNNNNNNNNNNNNNNNNNNNNNNNNNNNNNNNNNNNNNNNNNNNNNNNNNNNNNNNNNNNNNUAGAAAUUAAUACUAGCUAGGUUUUUUAGGCUGAGAAAAGGGUUAUAGGAAAAUAUUAUAAAAUUUAUUAAAUAUUGAAUUUUAGAAAAUAAUUAAGUGAAGUUGGGAUUCAAUUUAGCUAGUAGAGUCAGUGGGGUUAGUUGGACGAUUUGCUCCCGAAAAAAAAAGCUGCUUGUUUUUUCUUGAUAACAAAAAGUGUUAGCUGGGUCGGUGGGAUUUAGGGUUUAUGGAUUUGGUGUCAGGUUAUGGUUUAGAUUAAUUAGUGUGUUUUAAUUUAUAUAUUAAAUAAUGUUUAGGGGUUAGGGAUUCGGGGUUGGGUUAGGGUUUAGGGAUUAGGAAUUCAGGGUCGGGUUAGGGUUUAGGAUUUAGAUUAAUUAGUGUUUUUUAAUUUAUAUAUUAAAUAAGGUUUAGGGGUUAGUGGUUAGGGGUUUGGUGUUUGAGAUUAAGAGUUAGUGAUUUAGGGUUUAGAGAUUCGGGGUCGAGUUAGGGUUUAAGGUUUAGAUUAAUUAGUAUUUUUUAAUUUAUAUACUAAAUAAGUUCUUAUAUAAUUGUAAAAGAGAUAAUAAUAAAUUGUAAAGAUUAUUAAUUUAAAAUUGAUAUGCAAUAUACAAUAAUUGAAUAUAAAAAAUUAUAAAAUAUGUGAGUUUUGGUGGCGUUUAUAGCAAAAAUGCCGCUAAUAUGUAUUAGAAUUUUCAUUAUAGCAAAAACGUUUUUCUAAAAACGCUGCUAAAGUUAGCAACGCGUUCUUUAGUGGCAUUUUUUCCUGCGCUUCUCAAAGCGUCGCAAAUACUUUUAGCGGCGCUUCUAAAGUCCUAAAAAAGCACCGCUAAAAGCCUGUUUUGGUGUAGUGACACCAUCGUUCCACCUUGGAAUUAAUAUUUUAUUUUUUAAGUAAAUGAAAUGAGAGUUAAGGCUAAUUAUUAUUAUAUGUAAACAAAAAAAAUUAUCUAACAAUAUGGGAUGAAUAAAAGAUAUGGUAAAAGUUAACAAGAGAAAGUAAUUAAAGCGCAUGAAAAAUAAUAUAAAUAUGGUAUAGUGAAAAAAAAAACCUAUAAGAAUUUAUAAUACUUAAAAUUUGACAAAGGUGAAAAUAUUGUUAGAAAUACAGAUUGAGUCCUAGUUUGACUGAUAUUGAUAUUCUUGUCGGUGCAAGAGGACAUGUAUUCGAGUGUCUUGAAAUGCAUUAUCCUCCUAUUUAAGAGAUAGAUAGUUUUAAGCAUUUUAUUAAGGGUAAACUACAAAAAUAGUCACUUUUGUUUAUCUCAGAUUACAUUUUAGUCACUUACGUUAUCGUUCUGUUACGCAGUGACACUCUACCGUUAAACUUCGUUACCUCCUUAACGGCAGUUCUACGUGACAGUCCAAAUGGGUUUUAAAUGCCAAUUUAGAUGCCUAGUUACUGCGAUGAAAAUAGGUUUUUAAUUAAAAAAAUUUAAUUUGGACUACCACGUAGGACAUCCAAAUUGGCAUUUAAAACCCAUUUUGGACUGCCACGUAGGCCCGUUGUUAUAAAGAUAGCGAAGCUUAACGGUAGAGUAACCACUUCGUAACAAAACAAUAACGUAAGUGACUAAAAUGUAAAGUAAGGCAAAUAAAAAUGACUAUUUUUAUAAUUUACUUUUUUAUUAAAAAAGAGGAGAUAUGAUAAUACACUUAGCCAGCCUUGAGGAAUUAAUAAAGAUUAAAAAAUAAGCAAGAAAAUUAUCAUGAAGAAUCAACGGUUAUAAUUUGUAUAUAUGGUGAGUAAUUAAUACUAAUUAACUUUUUAUUGCAAUUACAUAUAGAAAAAGGAUAGGUCUAAUUUUUUACUCAACAGUAGUAACCCAAUUAUAAGUUUUCUUUUUAUCAUUUAACUAUAGAAAAUUAUAAAAUAAUCAUUUAAUUAUUUAAUUAUUUCUUUUUUAGAUACUAUCUUAAAUUAUUAACGAUAAUGACAAUUUUUAAAAUUGGUAUAAUGACAACUUUAAUCCUCAAAAUUUAUAUAUUGUGUCAAUUUAAUAUUGAUUCUAAAAGAUUUAACCCUUAGUGUUUACGCUUUGUGUAAUUUUUUUCUUUUCUUUUGUGACAUUGAGGGUUAAUUUUAAAAGAAUAAGAAAAUAUAAAAAUUCUAUUAUCUUGACUUUUUUUGGUGUUUUUAUUUUUGAUAUAUAUAUUUAUCAAAUUUAGCUGAUAUAUAUAUAUAUAUAUAUAUAUAUUUAGCUUCUUAGGUGACAAAGUCAAAAGAAAAUAAAACUCCAAAAAAGACCAAAUUACACAAGGCGUAAAUGUUAAGGGUUUGAUUUUUUAAAAUCAAGACUAAAUUGACAUAAUAUAAAAUGUUAAGGGUUAAAAUUGAUAACAUGCCAAUUUUAAAAGCUGCAAUAUCAUUUUUCCAUUAGCCACUUAACAAUUAGUGACAAAAAAAAAAGAAAAAAUAAAAUAAUUGAGUGAUAAUUUUAUAACUUCUUAUAAUUAGAUAACAAAAAAACUUUAUCAAACUAAAAUUAUUUUUAUUAAGAUCUUUUAGUAUUUCCUUCCUUUAAAUUGCAUUUUGUUCUAUCUAAAUUUGAAUUCGAGUUUGGCUUCCCAUAUUUUUUUUGUUGAUAAGACUUGAACCCGAAAUUUAUUUAAAGGUUAUCAAACUUUUUUUUUAGUAUAAUCAAUGUAUCUUUCAUAUUCAUUUUACGGUUCAUAAAUACCAAUUCUUUUGAAAUUUAUGGAGAGGACAUUGAAUUGUUAAGUACUUAAAAUUUGGAUUUAAAAAUCGAUCUUAUUUAUCUUUCCUAUCUUAACCAGUGAUUCAGGGUUCGAUAUUCACCUUGGGUAAGAAGCAAUUUUAGAACUCGUGGCUAACAUAUAUCCUUUAAUGAGCCUACAAAAUGCAGAGAAUAAAUUACUUAGUUGGCUUCAAAUGUAUUGAGAAAAAAAAAUCCCAUUUUUUAACCUGUAUUAACUAAUCAACUUUAUUCCAAAAAUAACAUUCAAAGAUAACAUAAUCAAUGGUUUUAACUCAACAUCUUCUUGUCUAAAUAUGAAUGAUUUUUAGUCUUAUUCCAAGGAUCCCAGUUAUAUUUCAAACGAUAUUCUUUAUGCUUAUAGCUGAACAAAUAUACGCCGUCAUCUUGCGAUCUCCACCGGCAGUUAUUCCCGGCACAUUCUUUAUCAAGGAACUUGUCGUCCGUCCAGAAGACGUCAAGGUACUUUUCGCCGCCGGUCCACCACAUGUGGCAGCUGAACUUGGUCGUUGAGAAGAAAUUGGUACGGAACGUCCAAUUGAACUCGUUGUAGGGGAGGAGGUGGCGGACACCGAGAUCGUCGUCCUUGGAUCUGCAGUGAGCUUCCAGAAACUCGCCGUGGCUGAACCCGUUGCUGACGUGAACGUGACACUUGUUUAGGAUGGAGUGAGUAACGAGUGACUGAGUCAGGCAAAGCGCCAUAACCAGCAUCAUCUUCUUCGUAACAACAUUUUGGGCGGGACUCAUAUUUGAUAUAUAUAUAUAAAGGUUGUUGAUAUGGUUAAUUUGCUUUCCCCUUCUAUCCUUUUAUAGCAAAAGAGGCGGGGCUUGUCCAAAAAAAUAGAUAUUUGGAUAAUUAUGAAUAUCUUAAAAUUUAUUUCAAAAGAUUUAAUAGCACAAAUUAAGUAUUUUAAAAAAUAAUUAAAUUUGUCUAAUUUUAUGAUUUUGAUUAAAUCUUUCCAUAUAUUAAUCUUUUUUAUAAUUGAAAUUAUAAAGGUUAAAGGUUUCUAAAAGUGUAUAAAAAGUUAUUAAAAUCUAUAAUUUGAAAAAAUAGAAAUGAUUUGAUGAGGACACGAUAAUUGAAUUUCUGUUAAAAUUGAAUUAACCGAUCAAAUCGAUUUAAUUUGAUUAAUCGGUUGGUUAACCGAUCUAACUCAGUCGGAGGUUGGUUAAUAUUUUUUGGAAAUUUGAUUAUCGGUUAAUUUAGUUUGAAACCGAGUAAUUAACUGAAUUAAUCUAACUUAAUAAUUAAUAAUUUUAUGUAAUUUUAAUUCAGUUAAUUUGGUUAAUUCAGUCAAAUGAACAUUAUCAAUUUUUUUAUAUGUUUUAACAAAAAAAUAAAAACAUAUAAAUUUUGGUUAAUUGACUGAAUUAACCGAAAUAUUUCAAUUCGGUUAAUUUGUUUUUGAAAACAUUUCAGUUCAAUUAACGGUUAAAAGAUUAAAAAGUUCAGUCAAUUUGGUUAAUACCAGUUCAGUUCGGUUAACCGUUUGAAUACUACUAAAUAAUACAAGCUAUUUGAAAAUUAUUUAUAUUUUAUAUCUAAUUACUUAAAUUAUGAAAUCAUAAAUUUCAUAAGCUUGAUAAUAAUAUUAAAAAGUUUCUUAUUUUUUAUUUUAUUUAUAAUUUUUUUAAAAUAUCAUAAUUACAAUUAUUAUAUUAAACAUUAUCCGUAACCUCCAAGAUUUUAUUUCUUAAUAAAUUUUAGGCAAUUAACUUCAAAUUUAAUGCAUAACCCAUAACUCCAAUUAAUAUAUUAAUUUUAUUGUAUUUACUGUUAAAAUCUCAAUUAAUUUAAUUUUCAAAAUUUUAAAAUUUCCAUUUAAUCCCUUUAAGAUCUUUAAUUAUAUCAGUUUUAAUUGAAAAUUUUCAUUUAAUCUCUUUAAAUCUUUAAUUAUAUCAGUUUUAAUUAGAAUAAUAAUUUUAGUGGGCAUAAAUAGGUCCCUUAAAAUGAUAAAUAUCCCUUUUAGUUCUUUUUUUAAGUAUAUAAAAUUAUAAAUUAGUAUAAUGGUAAAAUUAUAUUUUAACUCCCUCUAAAUCUAUAAUAUAUCUCUAUCUCUUCCUAAAACAAUUUUCUAACUUCGCUCUUAUUAUUACAAUAGUGAGGAGAAUUUUUUUUUUGAAUUUUUUAUUAUAUUUUAGUUUUAUAUUUGGUAUUUGUACUUUCAUAAAAUGUCCAAUGUGGUACUUAUCCUUUGAAUAUACUCAAUGUGGGACUUGAACUAUCAAUCUGUGUAUUAUUAUUGUACUCGGAGUUAAUACCUAUAAUAAAAGCUAAACCAACCAAUGGAAAUUCAACAUGUGGAUUUUUUUUCCAAAUCAUUGAUUCCACGUGAAUAAUAUAAUAUUAUAUGAAAAGAUAAAUAAAACAAAAAAAAAUGAAAUGGUAGUCGAAAUCAAGUUAUUCAACCUCCCAUUCAAGCUCAAUAAGUCAAGCAAAAUACAUAAAUUUGGGGAAAUUUUGGCUUGUAUAAAUUUCAGAAAAUUUAGGGUUUUUAAAAAUUGAAUAAAUUUUGAGUUAAAAUUUGAUUUUUUUAAAGUUAAACUUAUGUUUUGUAGGUUUAGUUAUUUAUUUAUUAAUUUAAUUCAAUUCAAUUUAAUUCCAUUUUUUGUUUUAUUUAUCUUUUCACAUAAUAUUAUAUUAUCCACGUGGAGUUUAUGAUUUGGAAAAAAAUCCACGUGUCAAAUUUUCAUUGUUUGGCUUAGCAUUUACUAAGGGCAUUAACUACAUAUAUACCAUAAUGAUACAUCGAUUGAUAGUUCAAGUACCACAUUGAACAUUUUCCAAGUAUAAGUACCACGUUGGGCAAUUUAUGAAAGUACAUGUGUCAAAUAAGACACAAAUUGAUAGUUCAAGUAUCACAUUGGACAUUUUCAAAGUACAGAUAUCACAUUAGACAUUUUAUGAAAGUACAGGUACCAAAUAAUACACAAAUUAAUAGUUCAAGUACCACAUUGGACAUUUUAUGAAAGUAUAAGUAUCAAAUGUGACAUUAUCCCUUUAUAAUAUUAUAUCUUUCAACUUAGACUAAUUAAAUAGGAGUAAUUCAAGGUUUCUAAUUAUAUUAUUAGGAUAAUUAGAAUAGUGAAUUUUUUUCCUUUUAUAUUAAUAAUUUAAUUUAAUAUAAUUUAUUAAUAGAUUGUAUACUAAACUUACUUAAAAUAAUACAAUUUUAUAUCGAGCUAAUUAUUUAUUUAUUGAUUAGAUUAUAGUAUAAAAAUUUAAAGGUUACAAUUUAUUCAAAAUUUUUACAUUUUUUAUAUAUUUGGAAUUUAAUCUCUAUACUUUUAUUUUCAGAAAUUUAGUCUCUCUAAUUUUUAAAUUUAAAAAUUCAGGUCUAUUUGUUAACAUUGUUAGAAUUCUUUUGUGUUGGUGUGACAUUUUAAAAAAUAAAAUAAACUUGGUAUUCAUGUAAAAAAAACAUUGUAACAGACCUGAAUUUAAUAAAGAAUUUUAACGGUACUAACAAUUCUUAAAAAUCCACAUCGUCAUUUUAAGUAGAAUAAAGUAUUUAGACUAACUAUUGUGAUUAUAAAAGUACGCUGGGGCUUUUAUUUUUAUUUUUUAUAAUUUUUAUUUAAUUAAGAUUUAAAAUUAAUUUCAAAAUAAACUUUAAAAUUUUAUAAUUAUUUUGUGUUAAUCCCUAAUUUUGACAUUAGUUAUUUCAAAUAGUUAUCGCUUUUAACUAUGUUAAAUAAAAUAAUGUCGUAUAUAUUUUUUUUCUUAAAAUAAUUGCUUCUAACUAAAUCAUGGCUUAAUCACCUUCUAACUAAUUAUAAUAACAUAUAUAUGUUUCUGUUGGAAUAAAUAUAUUUAAAGAAAAAUUGAUUUCUGUCAUGAAUAUCUUAUUAAGUGGAUGUCCAUCAUGAUCAAAACAAAGUUUUAAUGUAUUUUAAAUUCUAAUAGUUAUCACAAUUAAAUCUCUAAUUCUUUUAUAUUUUUCAUGACUAUAAAUAGAAACUCUGAUGAAGUAUUGUAAUUACCCAUUUUGAUCAAUAAAGUAUAUUCUCUAUUGCUUUCAUGUUUUCUUUGUUCUUUAUUCUCUCCAUCUCUCUUUAUUUUAUAACAAUUUCAACAAACUCCAAUGAUUAUAUUAUAAAAGUAAAUGCAAAAUUAUUUCAAAUUAAAUUAUAAUGAAUAAACCUAAAAUUGAGUAUAAUAAAAAGACCAGGGGUGAAACCAGGGGGUUGGCAAGGGCCUCGCGCCCCCUAAAAUAGAAAAUCUUUAAUUUAAAUCCUUUAAUAUUUUUAAAAAUUUAAAAUAGUAAAAGUAAAAUUGUACUUUGCCUCCCUAAAAAAUAUAAAAGUUUGAUUUAAUCCUUUAAAAAUUAUAAAGAUAUAGUAUAUUAAAAUGGUGAAAUUGUAUUUUUACUAUCGUAAAAAUUACAAUUUAAUUUCGACCUGCUUAAAAAAAAUUUGAUUUCAUCCCUGACCAAAACCAGAAUUUGAUAUUAUGAAAAUAAAUGAAAAAUUAUCUCAAAUUAAAUUAUAAAUAAGAACUAAAUCUUAUUUGAUAUUAUUUUUCUUACAUUUCUCUUUCCCCAUCCUUUUUGUCUCCUCGGAGGCUUAGUCCCUUCUCUUCUUUUUCCAAUAUCUUAGGGGGUUCAAACGGUUAACCAAUCGUUUAACUGAACCAAACUGAACUAGUAUUAACCAAACUCUUUAAUCCUUUAACCGUUAACUAAACCAAAAUUUUUUUCAAAAAAAAUUAACUGAAUCGAAAUUUAUAUGUUUUGCUUUUUUGUUAAAACAAGUAUAAAACAUAUAAAAUAAAUAAAUUGAUAAUGUUUGUCGAAACCGUUUUUUGAAAACAAAAAUUUAGUUGUCGACUUUAAAGAUAAAACUGGAGUCGCCACCGAUCCUUUAUUAAGGUGUGAUCGGCCCACCUUAAAAAUAAUUUUGGUCUGCGAAAUUUGAGAAAACAGGUUCGGGAGUCAGUUACGCACGAAGAAGGAUUAGCACUCUCGUAACGCCCAAAAUCGGUAUCAAAUUGAUUGUUUAAUGUCUUGGUGUCGAAAAUUUGAAAAGAUUUUAAAGAAAACUUUUUAUUUCAUGAAUGAAUCAAAAUAAUAAGACAUUCUUAUUUCAAAGAAAUAAAACACCACACCCAGUGAGUUAGGGCACAAUGUUUUUAAAUCUUCAAAAUACCCGAAUAUUGCCUUUUGCUUUUGAAAAUUCUUAUUUCGAGAAGAAAAUGUCAUGACCAGUAAGUUAGGACCCAACAUUUUUGAAUUCCCGAGAAUAAGCUUUUAUUUAAAAUUUGCGAAUUUAUUGCAAAACGAAUACUUGACUUUCUAAAUUCAUCGAAAAAUAAUCGCAAUCCAGUAAGUUAGGACACAAUCUUCCUCAAGAAUCAUGAACGCCAAAUAUCUCGAAAAUUUAUGAAAUAUCAUGAUUUUAAUACCUUGACAAAACCAAAAUAUACAUUUUUUAAAAAGGAUAUGCUAAAAAGGGUUAAUGCAUAACAUGAAAUCAAUAUUCUAAUCUCAAGCAUAUAUAAAUAAACAUUCGUCAAUAUAUAUACAAGUGUAAUAUACAAGUAAAUUUGAAAAUAUGUGUUCGCAUAUAUGUAACACACAUAUGAUAAUACAUAUACAAAGAUGGAAUAUAUAUAUAUAUAUAUAUAUAUAUAUAUAUAUAUAUAUAUAUAUAUAUAUAUAAAAUGCAUGUUGGGGUGAAUAUGAAAAUCGUAAAAAAUAUAAAAAUGUACAUACGUUAAUACACAUAUAAGCGUACAAGUGAAAAGCAAAAUUUAUAAUAAUUUCUAAAGACAUGUGUAUGUAAAAAAAUGUACAUAUUUAUUUACAAAACUAUGAAAACAUAAUAUGCAUUAGAGGUGCUCAUGGGCCGGCCGGCCCGGCCCGGCCCGACGGCCCGCCCGAAAUAUGGGAGGGUUUGGGUAAAAAUAUAGGCCUGAAAUAUGGGCUUGGACAAAAAAACGAGGCCCGUUUAGAAAACGGGCCGGGCCUCGGGCACCACUUUUUCGGCCCGAGCCCAGCCCGGCCCGGCCCGAUUAAUAAAUAUAUUUAUUUUUUUAAUUUUAAAAUAUUUUUUACAUACUUUUUUAAAUUUUUUUAAUUUUUAAAAUAUUUUUAAAAUACUUUUUAAAAUUUUUUUAAUUUUAAAAUAUUUUGAAAAUAUUUUUUUAAAUUUUUUAAAUUUUUAAAAUAAAUAUGGGCCGGGCCGGCCCGGGCCCGGGCUUAUGAUUUUUUCCCGGGCCGGGCUUGGGCAAAAUCUUAGGCCCAUAUUUUGGGCCGGGCCGGGGCCGGGCCCGGGCCGAAAUUUUUUAUGGGUCCGGCCCAGCCCGGCCCGACCCAUGAGCACCUCUAAUAUGCAUAAAAAUGUAUAAAAUAUGUGUGUAUGUACAUGUAUCUAUUUUAAAAAAUUGUAUAGGUAUAUGUAUGGAACAUAAAGUAUGAGAAGGUUAAAAACUGAAACACUGUAAAAACAAGUUUAAAAAAUGUAUGAAUGCAUGUGUUCAUGAAAACUAAAAACAUAUAUGUAGAUUCAAAAUAGGCGUAUAUAUGAAUGGAAUAAUAAUAUUAAUAAUAAUAUUAAUAAUAACAAUAAAUAAGAUAAAAAAUGAUAUAGCAUAGUUAUGAUAAAAACAAAAAAAAAUGGAUCAAAUUGAAUUAAAAAUGAGAAAAUGGGGCGAAUUUUGGAUAAAAUUUAAGAAAGGAGGGACCCCCUUGAACGCGCGCGUAACAACGGAGGACCAAGAGGGAAAUUAUCCCGUCUUUCCAAAACGCAGCGCGAUGGGGGACUAAAUUGAAACGGACAUCGAAUAUGCAGCCCAAUUUUAAGGGGAAAAAACAGGUUUAAUUGAGACGCGUUGCAAAAGGGAGGGGUCAAAUGCGCAAUUUCCCCUUUGAAGCCAAACGCGCGGAUCCUCCCCAUCGGGUCGGGUCACCGCGCGGGUCGCACCUGGCUAAAUCGGCGCCGUUUUGAUCUGUUAUUUAAAAUAGAUUUUUUUCUCUAAAACAUCAUUUGCAACAGAAAAGAGGAUAAAAAAAAGAAAAAUAAUAAAACCAGUGCCCCCUUUUACUCUGCUAGGGUUUCGACCCUAGCAUCCUUGCGCCGCCGUUCAAUUGGCCCUCUCACCAAAACUCCGACCACGACGGAGAUGGCGGUGGCACGGCGUUUUCGGGAAGCUUUCCUCCCUUUUUGUUAUCUUAAAUGAAAUAAAAUGAAGAAUAAAGAAAAUAUAAAAAAAAUGCAAAUAAAAACGAUGGUUACUGCAAAGAAAACUAAAAGAAUCACCUUAAAAAACUCGUAUUUUCUGUUCUUUAUUGAUUUUUUCUCUUUUUCUCUGUAUCCUCUCGAUACAAUAUCCAUCCCCCUUUUACAGAAUAAAAGUCGGCUUUAUAUAGCCCGAAAAAUCAAAUACAAGUGUUGUUUUUCACUGUUUCUUUUCUUUUGGACUCCUUCGAGUCCGUGUUUGCAGGUGCUUGUGGAGCGAACGGCGCGCGUGGAGAGGGCUGUCUCCGAGUCUUGCGGCGACUGGACACUUGCUGGAGGCGAGGGCUUGCUACGGGUAGGUUUUUUCUUUUGAUUUUUUUAGUUUUGCUGUGUUGGGCUGCUAGUUACUGGGUCUAGGGUUUGGGUCUUGUUUGUUGGUUUGGGCCUGAGUGUUAUAAUGUAAAAUGGGUGUUAGAUUGGGCCUGGGCACAUUUGGGUUUAUACAAUGUUCAUUUGACUGAAUUAUUCGAAUUAGUAAUAGCCUAAUACAUAUAAUAUAUAAUAUUAUUUAUAACGUUCGGUUAAUUACCCGAUUAUGAACCGAAUUAACCGUAAAUAGAAAUUCCAAUAAAACAUUUAACCGACCUCUAACUAAACUAGAUCAAUAAACCGACCGAUUAACCGAAUUAGAUCGAUUCAAUCAGUUAAUUUAGUUUUAACCAAAAUUUGAAUACCCUCACAAUACUCCACCCAACUAAAUAAAAUAACAAAUAGAAAUGGUAGGUGUCAAUGAUGGGCUAAACAUUUCUACAGUGCUUAGCUACAGUAAAACAUGUGUAUUUAUCAAAAGGAUGGGUAAUAAUCAUGAAGAAAAUUUUUAAAGGAUGCAUUUAUUUGAAAGUCCUUGAGAAUUCAAUUGAAUUAAAUGCAUGCUUUUCUAAGAGAAAUUUUGUUGU
rnacentral:lncRNA from 1 species